rnacentral:lncRNA from 1 species
UGCUCACAAUUAAUCCGACUACACACGAGCUUCUCUCCCUGGCCAAGACACAAUCAUAGUAUGAUGAAGAACAUGGCACUAGCCGGCAAUGGUAUGAAGAAGUUAAUCCUCGCUGUUCUCUUACUCUGUCUAGUUAUAGGGCAGAUACAAGUGGAAGCUAAGAGCUGCUGCCCAUCCACCACUGCAAGAAAUAUCUACAAUACCUGCCGUUUCGGGGGUGCAUCCCGUUCAAUGUGUGCAAAACUGUCAGGCUGCAAAAUUAUCAGUGGGAACAAAUGCAAGCCCCCUAACGACCACCUCACCCUUGACCCGGACACUGGUAAAUAAUAAAUUUAUCUCACUUGAUUUCUUCGUGAUUUGAGUCGUUAAUGUAUUUUCCAUCUGAUGAAACGUAUUGGUUUUGCAUUGAAGAGGAAGUUAAUGUGCUUAACUUCUGCAAGUUGGGGUGUGCGUCGUCUGUGUGCAACAACAUCAACGCUGGUAAGCACCUUUUGCUCAGACGGAGAAAACAAUAAUCAUUAAUUAGCGGCAGCUAGAAUCCUAUAAUCUAAUAUAUUUAUAUAUAUAUAUAAUUUUAUCAGCUCUGGGAAAUGAAGAGGCGAACGAUGCCGUUGAGAGUUGCGACCAAGCCUGCUCUAGCUUCUGCAGCGUGCAUGUUGGCAGCGCCACCGUGGUUGCUUAAGCAAAUGCAUGCAACUAGAUCGUCCUUGUGCUGAAUAAUUGGAUAUCGUAUCCACUUAAAGCUGCCUUGUGUAGUACGUCUUUGUUUGUGUCUCUCUUUAUAUUCCACUAAGGUCGGUGAUCUUGAUGCCACACACACUCAGAUGUGUGUUCAUCUCCAGAUACUACUCCAUGCUACCUGCCCUUUUUGUUUUGUUCAAUAACUGGGUAUCAUAUCCCGGCCAGUGUGCCAUCUAUUUUGUGUUUGUUUCCUUCUAGUUCCAAAGGGGUCAUCAUGAUGUUACCUUCUUUCGAUAUGGUGCUUUGCAUGACAACUGUUGUAUGGUACCAUCUUGUUGGCCAAUAAAUACAUCUUAUCCUAUGACCCUUUGCUAUGACCCUUUGCAAAUAAGUACAAGAUUGUUAUAAGCGUCAAUACUCAGUAUAAUUGAUCGCUGCUGUGAGUUCCCUUUCAGCUUAUCGUAGGCACACAUUAUUGCUAGCACGGUAAAGACAACCAACACGAAUGAUGAAGUAAACGUAGCGGUACUUUUGUAUACCAACACCCUUACUUAAAUGUACUGGUGUCAUUCCCUACUGGCACAUAUAUUCUUAUAUGCUAGCCAGAUUGGAAAAUUAACCAAUUAAAAUAAUUAUUUCAAGAUAGAAAUAACUUAUCGGCUUCUCGAAGCAUGUGUAAUUUUAAUUCAAGGACUCAAUGGAAGUUGAAUCACUUCAUCUAGAUUGCCUUCUGGAUUUUGGUUAACUAAAUUUAACAUUUGUGUCGGGGGGAAAUAUUAACGAUUUUCUUACGCUCUCUAAUUAACGGAUACAAGGGCUAGGGCCCACCCCUAAUACCCAUAAUCUCCGCUAACAACACAUCCCAGAGGCACUCCGCUCCGCCUCGCCCGACUUCAGGGUCGCAGGGUCGGACGUGCCCGACCCCCCAAGGCCUCGCCUCGUCUCAGCCGAUGGAGUUCCGCCUCGCCCGACCCUGAGCCCAACGGAUCGGACGCGCCCGACCCCUCGAAGCAGGACUCCGCCUCGCCCGACCCUGAGCGCAAGCGGUCGGACGUGUCCGGUCCCACCUGACAGAGCUCCGCCUACCCGAAGGUACGAGCAGGUCAUCAGACGGAAGCGCGGGCUCUGUGAGUCCCCCUGGGCUCACCCAACCGAUGGGACCGCGCAAGCUUCCAGAUACAGUUCUGACACAUGGAGAGGCGCCCGCGUUCCUCGACAUGACCUGUCAAAAUGUUGGUCUGCGCACUGCUGCCACGACUGCACAGGGCUACACCUGCACCGUCCUACCCCACUGUGACAUCUGUCAUAGGGCACUCAUCGCUCAUACCAUCUAAUGGAGGAGGGAAAACCGCCUAGUUUUCCACGUGGGCUAGCAAGAAGAGCACGUCAGCCACGCCGCCCCGUCAGGGUGCAUGGCUACAGUGGUUGACCAUCACCCGCGACGUGCACAGUCACAGUGGCCAGUCGUCACCACCAACUUGCACAGCUACAGUGGUCGGCCGCCAUGCACGACUCGCGUGUCCGGCUACAGUGACCGACCGCCGAGUCACCGAUGGGACCCAACGGCAACCCCUAUCCCUUAGUAGCAGUACCGACAAGACGCAGAGACAAGAAGGGAAGACGACGUCUCUAGUAGCCCCACUUGCUUCCCUUUUUACCUUUCUACCUGUUUACCUUCCUUACUCCCGGCUCAUUUGUAACCUCUGUAUCCUCCUUGCACUAUAAAAGGAGACCAGGGGGUCUGAGGGCAAGGGACCCUCGGAGACCGAACCCCGAAUUCACCCAAGUACAAACCAACCGAACCACCAGACGAGAAAGACUCACAGAGAUCUGGGAACCAGCUUCCCUCUCUCACCUAUUUGUAGCCUCUACUCCAGACUUGGUACGAGUAACACGAGCAGCCACCCGCACUGGACUCCUCCGCCAGAAACUGGUCCAACCAGUCGGGUCCCUCCCCCUGCUCUUCGUCCUCAUCAUCCUCAUCAUCGUCGUCCUCAUCCGUUGCCGUGUCUGGCCCCUCCGCAGCCUUCAGAACUCCGCUGCAGCUUUCUUUUUCUUCCUCACCGUCUCCUUGUCCUUCCUCUUCUUCUGUGCUUCGUCGAGGAGGCGGUUCCGCUGCCUCUGCACCACGUCCUCUGGCACCGGUGGACGGGAGGCUGUGACAUGGUUUAAGUUACCCUGCAGAUUCGAAGACUCCGCGUCAGAAUAGCAAACCAGGAAAUGCAGGAAAGAAGAACGAGAGUGCAAAUUUCUAACCAGCAGGACAUAGGCCUCGUCCGGGCGCAUCGGAGGGUGCCCCGGCACCGGGAACACGACAUCCCUGUCACCCAAUGCAUCCCGGACACGCUGCUCGAUCUCGGCGUCGGCAAUUGCACCCGUCGCAAGGACGGUGCUGUGGUACGCCCCAACAACUCCGGCCCCGGUCAGGCCCUCCUCCUUCAGAAGGUUGAUGGCUUCGAGGAGACCCCGGAUAUUCUUCUUCUCCUUCUCAACAGGGCCAUAUGUCCACGUUCCCGGUGCCUCCACGAUGACGCGGCCAGUGAACUCCGUCAAGAGGACAUCGGGGCGGUUCUUCACAUAGAGCCACUGCUGAUGCCACCCUUUGUGGGAUGACGGGGUCUUCAUCGAUGUAUACUCCUUGGGCCGAUGGCCACAGAGGUGGAUGCCGGCACACCCCAUCAGCAUCGGAAUCGUCCGCGUCUGGUUUCCUCUCUUCUCGGUCCUCUGAUGAAGAGUGACAGCGAAGAAGUACUUCCACAGGGCGAAGUUGGGCUCGAUCCCCAGGUAUCCCUCCCAAAGCACGACGAACGCCGCGAUGUGCUGGAUUCCGUUGGGGUUGAGGUGCUCCAGCUCAAUGCUAUAGUAGUGCAGCAGCCCCCGGAAGAAGCGACUUGGGGGAACCGCGAACCCCCUCUCGUGGAAGUGCGCGAAGGAGACGAUGUACCCGUCCUCCGGCUGUAGCACGGCCUUGUUCCCGGGAUACCGCCACUCGUUCUCGGCGAUCCUAUCGCGAAGAAGGCCCUUCUUCACGAGACCGAUCACGCGCGCGGUGUUGAAGAUUGACCAAGACCUUGAAUCCAUCGCCGAGGAAGGGGAAGGCUCGACGGCGGUGGUGGAAAGGUGAAUGCUCUGGCUCGAAAGAGGAUGAAAAGUGAACAAGGAGGCGAGAAAGGCUGAAGACGAGUGCGGAGCGGAGCAAGCAAGGUAAGCUCUCUCGUUUUACAGGGGGCGUGCGAGAAACGAAAGGCGAACCGAACGCAUUUAUUGCGACGUCAGGUAUGCCCCAUCGCCUCCGCCUUUCUUCGGAAACCGUACGCAUGAUUUCUUUUUAACCGCAGGGAACGCUACGCCCCCUCGCCCCACGAGCCCGGUGUUUUUUGCCGCUUCGUCUCCUGGAGGUCAUGCGCACAACUUCCUCCACAAGCGGCCCAGGGCCCGCUUCAGGUAAAAAAGGGAUACAGAGCUGAAAACACUCUAACGGCCCAUUACGGUCCAGGGGUUCGAAGGCUGGCCCUCUAGAGGGUUCGACAUCCACCCCAGGACAUUUCUUGAGCAAGGGGUGAGAAGGGACGGGUCCGCUAGCGACCACUACCCUGGUGAACAAAAGCCAAGGGCGUCCCGACCUCACAUUUGAGUCUCGAUUGGCGUUUAAGUUCAUGGUUUUUCCCCGAAGAAAGGCAAAGUGCCCCCGGAUCCGGUUGAACAGACCUGGGAACUAUAUGAACUGGCCGUCCGAAAUCUGGAGUACGCCACCAGCUUGGCCCAAGCCGGACCCGCCCGAACAGGGACCGGGACUCCACUCGAACUGACCCGUUAGCAGCUCACCGAGCACCAUGGUUCGUCCGAUGAGGAUAACAUGGCACGGCUCACCCCCUCCGUCCCAACGAACGGACGCUGAGGGGUAACGACUAAAAGACGAUCCGACCUCUCGAUCGGUCCCCUGCAAUGCGCGGGGGCUCGAGGGCUGGAAUCACAACGAAACGACCAUGCGCAUGGUUACGACUCGGAAUUUUGAGGCAGGAAUGGUCAUUGAAACAAUAGGGAAUCUUCCCAAACCGUACCAUCCUCAGAACACUCUGGCUACCCAAAACUCCCCGGCCAGGCCAAACAAGCAAAACUUUUCUCCUGAUCAAAUCAAGGUACAUGUUAAACAAGACCCCUGACAAACACUCUGCCGAGAGCCAAUCACAGCCUCUGGAGGAGCACCUUGCUCCACCAAAGGCUCGGGGCCUACUGUCAGGGGGAAAUAUUAACAAUUUUCUUACGCUCCCUAAUUAAUGGACACAAGGGCCAAGGCCCACCCCUGACACCCGUAAUCUCCACCAACAACACAUCCCAGAGGCACUCCGCUCCGCCUCGCCCGACUACAGGGUCACAGGGUCGGACACGCCCGACCCCCCGAGGUCUCGCCUCAUCUCAGCUGAUGGAGUUCCGCCUCACCCGACCCCAGGCGUAAGGGGUUGGACGCGCCCAACCCCUCAAAGCAGGACUCCGCCUCGCCCGACCCCGAGCGCAAGGGGUUGGACACAUCGGAUCCCACUAGACAGAGCUCCGCCUCGCCCGAAGGUAUGAGUAGGUCAUCAGACGGAAGCGCGGGCUUUAUGAGUCCCCCCAGGCUCACCUAACCGAUGGGACGCGCACAAUUCUAGAUACAGUUCUGACACGUGGAGAGGUGCCCGCGUUCCUCGACAUGACCUGUCGGAAUGUUGGUCUGCACACUACUGCCACGACUGCACAGGGCUACAACUGCACCGUCCUACCCCACUGUGACAUCUAUCAUAGGGCACUUAUCGCCCAUGCCGUCUAACGGAGGAGGGCAAACCGCUUGGUUUUCCGCGCAGCCUAGCAACUACAGCACGUCAGCCACGCUGCCCCGUCAGGAUGCAUGGCUACAGUGGUUGACCGUCGUCCGCGACGUGCACAGCUACAAUGGCCAGUCGUCACCACCAACUUGCACAGCUACAGUGGUCGGCCGCCAUGCACGACCCGCGUGUCCGGCUACAGUGGCCGACUGCCGAGUCACCAAUGGGAUCCAACGGCAACCCCCAUCCCUCAGUAGCAGUACCGACAAGACGCAAAGACAAUAAGGGAAGACGGUGUCUCCAGUAGCCCUACUUGCUUCGCUUUUUACCUUUCUACCUUUUUACCUUCCUUACUCCUGGCUCAUUUGUAACCCCUGUGUCCUCCUUGCACUAUAAAAGGAGACCAGGGGGCCCGAGGGCAGGGGACCCCCGGAGACCGAACCCCGAAUUCACCCAAGUACGAACCAACCGGACCACCAGACGAGAAACACUCACAAAGAUCUGGGAACCAGCUUCCCUCUCUUGCCUGUUUGUAGCCCCUACUAUAGACUUGGUACGAGUAACACGAGCAGCCACCCGCACUGGACGUAGGGCUAUUCCUGCCCGAACCAGUAUAAACCUCGCGCCCUCUCGUACAACCAUCCAAGCCUUACGCGUAGAGAAACAAAUUUACUAAGCCGGUAGUCUUGACCCGUGAUUCGUGAGACCGACAAUUUGCACAUACAAAUGUUAAAGUACAAAUGUUAAAUCUAGUUACCAAGCAGAAUACGAAAUAGCGGGCUAUAGUGAGGCUAUAGCGGCGCUAACUGCUGCAACAACAGUGUUGUACUAAUUAGCAGGCUAUAGCGGAGCUAUAGCGGUUGAGCACAGCUCUACGCUAAAUAUCAUAGCCCUCAAUUUUGUACAUUGUAUAUACUAUAUAAAUCUAGUUAACAUUUAGUCUAAAUGUUAAAUCGAGUUACCUAAAAUCCUGAAAGCAAAAUGUAUAAAUAUAUAUCUUUUAGGGUAGUAUAAGCUUCGAUUCCUUUUGCUGCUCUGUUAAAUCUCAUCUUUCGUUGUAGCCCAACACUCUAGUAUUGAUUUUGCACCAAGCUUCUUUGAGCCGCUCUGCCCUCUGAUUUUGCUGCGUAGGGGAAUCUUUAUCAGGUUGGGCUACUUCCAGUCGUGCGAUGUAUACCUUUGUAUCUUCUAGAAGGUAGACAGAAAACCCGCGUUCUCUUAAGGCAACAACCAGAAGAUUCUGCAGCGCACGGGGCAUAUCAUUGUUGUAGAAACGACCUUUAGUAUCGAUCUCCAACCCCUUAUAGUACUGGUUUUGCAACCAGUACCGUUAUGUCGGACCUUUAGUACCAGAUCAAAUAACCGGUUCUAAAGGGACUCCUUUAGUACCGGUUGGUAACCAGUAUCAACUUGUUUUGCGGCCAAAAAAAUAAAGAAAAAAAUAGCCAGAAGGCUAGCACACACACACAUCCCACGAAAUAUGCGCGUGCGCGGUCCAUGGGAUUCGAACCCAUGAAAUCAAGCUGCGCGCAACCCUUCGUUACCAUCUCACCUUCAGUACCGGGUCAUAACACCACCCGGUACUAGUAUCGGAUGCUGUAAUGACUCGAUACUAAAAGGCCUCUAGGGACCCUCAAAUUUGGACCCGAUACUAAUGCUAACAUUAGUACCGGGUCAAAGUGCAGCCAGUACUAAAGCAUGGGACGAAAGGUCAUAUUUCUAGUAGUGUAUAGUUGUUGUGUAGGACUGACUUGGCUGUCCUCUCUCUUCUCCAUCCCAUUGGUCUUACGCCGCCGCUCGCACGCGAGCCGGCACCCAACCAGAGGAGUGAGAGCUAGGGGCGGGUUGGGAGGUGGGGGUAGCGACUGGUGGCUAGGGUGAUGGUUGAUGUUGGCGGGGUUAGGGUUUCAUGGUUUUCAAGCUACCUACGGCCGGCGAACCUAGAGGAGGAGGUCGACAUCAGCUGCAACCCGCGGUGGUGGUGGUUUGGCCGGCGCCCCAGGCGAGGCAGCGUGGGAGUGCUGCUGGCGGGUUGGUGUUGGCGCUCAUUAUUGACACAUUUUUAGUACUAUUUUGUUCAUGGAAUAACACUCAAACGUGCUGGUGCUGCUGCCGCCAUCGCCGCCCUAGCCAUAAUAUAAAGGCAAAAUUUGCUAGAGGACAUGCAAAAUGAUGCUAGUUUGCUGGAGGGCACCGUUGACCAUGUAAUAUGCUACAAGACACUCUAGUUGUUCUAGAGUGUAUCAAUUUGCUGAAAGACAUUGCUACGACUAAAAUAAUGUUUCUGGACUGAGUUGGAGAGAGAGAUGGAGUGAAAUGUCUGUUUUGCCCAUGACCCCACUGAUCAGAUCCUUCUUCUUCCACCCUCCUUUCUUCUUUCUUCAACCAUUACCCAGCUCUAGUGUGUUGCAGAUCUACGAGGGUGGCGGCCCGGGGCGAGGGGCAUCGCUUGCCCUCAGACGAGCGCCGCGAGCGACGGCGCGGGGGCAGCAACGGCGCGUCGGAACCUGACCGUUCGUUAGCUCCUCUCGCUGCUGGGGAAGGAGGGGGAGGGGCCAUGGACGGGGUUCCCUCGAAAACCUUAGCCUCGAGCUCAGGCGGCUACGCGCAGGCAGCACUAGGCUCUUCGCGGGGAGGGGGCGCGGCCAAUCAUUGGCACCCCACUGGUCCAAUGCUGAUGAAGAUGGUGCCAGCGUCGUGAAGAUGGUGCCAGCGUCGUGUGAGGACCUCUCAUCUCCUCGAGUUCCAUGGCCAGCACAGGUGAGCGUCCGCUACCACAAAACAGAGGUGUCGUGAGAGUCAAAAAAACUCAUGAAAAUAGCUAAAACCAUCAUGAAAAUAAUCCAUGACACGACACUCUAACGAAAAUCCUCUCACAAAUAUGGUGCCAUCAAAAUACCAUUUUCAUGAGAGUGAACUGUCAUGAUUUUAUUUCGUGAGAGUAUUUCCUAUCAAUGACCUCCACGAAAUACUUUGUGCCACCAGGUCUUCAAGAUCAUUUUCAUGAGAGCCGAACGUCACGAAAGGUCCGCCACAAAUGUUUUUCCUGGGAGCCUCUAACUCUCAUCAAAAGCAUGUGGGCCGCCGCGAAAAACAGCCUGACCAAAUGACAAUUUUCAUUUUCAUGUGCUCUUACCGCCAUGAAAAUGGUCAUUUUCAUGAGAGUUGAUGAAACAAAAAAAUAGUGCCAUUUUCAUGAGAGUUCAAGCAACCAGGAAAAGGCACUAAUAAACAUCCAGAUCCCAUCCAGCACACAUCCAUGCACAUAUAUAACCCACAUAUUGCUCCAGCAACAUCCAUGCAUAUACAAGAUCCAAAUGUCUUGGUAUGAACCUACAUGCAUGUGAUGAACCAGUAACCUGCAAAAAGAGCUCAUAGGAUCUUGUCCUCAUAUUGUAGCUGUGAAAUUCUUGCAAGUAGUGUUGCAAUCAGUUCACUUUGAACCAAAAGAGCUCAAAGGAUCAUGUCCUCAAAGUUCCUCUUAAAGCUUAUGGGUUUGCUGGUGGAACUGGAAGGGCUUGAUGCAGCAUGCCAUUCUGCAAUAGAGAAAAAUUUAGAAAGCUGUACUAGUUAAAAUUGGAUGCAGCAGAGACACAUGAAACUAGUAUUUAUACAAUUCUAUAUAUAUAAUAAUUUGUCCCCUAAAUUUUUAGGAUCCUCUCGACGGUGGUGAGUCUUCCAGUAAGGCAAUUGAAUGUCCAUCGUGAUAAAAUUCUCCUUUGGAUUUAUCAUCUUCUCAACCAGAAAUCCUAGGAGUUCAUCCUUAAGCCUUACCAGUUGUAAUUUGGAAAUAUGUGAAAGUUAAACGAACAAUUAAAAUCUAAGGAUCCUUAUCAUCAUUUCCAUACGUUUGCGAAUUAAAAUAAUGAAGGAUACAAUGUUAGGUGAAAAUUCAAGAAACAAAAUUUUGUAUAGAGAUAAUGGUCCGACAUUAUUACAAGUUAAAGUUGUUUUAAAUAUCCUUGUAAUCUUCCUUUGGUUUCCUCGACGAUUCCAAGACAGUAACCUUGCUUCUAUCAAUGAUAAUUAUAAGGAGAACCCAAUGAAAACUGUGUAUUCAUAUUAGAACUAACUAAGGUUAAUUCGGAUAGGAAAGGAAAUCAAAAAUAGAUGGUACCCACACUUACUUAAAGUUGUAGGGUAGUAGUAUGUAAUGCUUGUAAUUCUGUUGCUCCAAGAAUUUGUAUAUGUGGUUCAAUGUAGACUUUGGUUGAUCCUGUAUCUGCUGUUGGUUGAAUAAGUGUUUCUAACCAUUUCUAGCCGUUAGAACUGGGACUAAAGGGAGCUCUUAGUGCUGGUUGAUAUUACUAGUCGGGACUAAAGAGCCCCCGUUAGAGUUGGUUUUCGGACGUGGAACUAACCACUCCUUUAGUCUCAAGUCCAAAAAUGAUUGAGACAUUUGUUGCUGGAUGGAACACUAGUAGAGAAUUGGCUUUCGAUGCGCCCCCUUUUGUCCCGGUUUAAAGUUGGACUGGGACAAAAGAGGGUGCGCCACGGUAGGUAAAAAUGGAGGGGGGAGUUAGUCCCGGUUGGUAAUUGCAACCGGGACUAGAGGCCCCCCUUUAGUCCCGGUUGCAAUGGCUAGCUGGGGGGCGUCGGUGGCGGCACCUUUUUGUCCCGGUUGGAGUCUCCAACCGGGAUAAAAGGUCCACCCUUUUAUCCCGGUUGGAGGCUCCAACCGGGACAAAAAGUUUAGUCCCGGUUGGAGCUUCCAACCGGGAUAAAAGGGUGUCCCUUUUGUCCUAGUUGGAGCCUCCAACCGGGACUAAACUUUCAACCGGGACAAAAGGUGUGGUUGGAGUUUUUAACUGGGAUAAAAACUCAUCCCCCAUUAUAUACCAAGACAGAGGACUUUCUUCCUCCUCCAGCCCGAGCCAGUCCAGCACAUUCACAGAGAGUUGACCUUCACCUACUCUCCGGUGGUGCCGAAGCAAGGAGGUGCUGCCCGAAGUUUUUUCCCUCAUUUUCGUGGGAAUUUCACUCAGCUAACACAAGUGUUGUGAAGGUUUGCUACUUCAUCCUCGUUUAUGCUUUGAUUUAUGCUUUGGAGAUGGAAAGAUUAUUUGUUAGAAUGUGAUGAAGUAGAAAAUGGAGAGAAUAUUUUGAGCUAGAAUGUGAGGGAGAUUGAUGUGUCAUAUAUAGUAUGCAUUCUUGCAGUGGUUUAAGAAUGAUGCUACCUUGUCCAGACAAUUUAUCUUAUCAAAUUCAAUAUAGUUUUUCAAAUCCAUACUUGUUGAACUUGCAUACCGUGUUCAUCUCUACGAGGAUAUUCUCUGCCGAGCAGCAACGUAUGUCAAGAAGGAGGUUCGAUUCUACGAGGAAGAGUGGAUACGGACAUCGUGACCGUGUCCCCUUUUCCGUAGCAUCUAACCUCUUUCAUGAUGAAGUGCGGUGCCGCCCAGUUGAGAACAUGCUCGCGAGAUGAACACAGUAUGCAAGUUCAACAACUUCUGCAGUAGUAAGGAAAGAAUUUUUGUACAUAGAUGACUUCUGCUACUUGUUGAACUUAUCAAAUUCAAGAAGGUUUUUCAAAUCCAUACUUGUUGAACUUGCAUACCGUGGUCAUCUCGCAGAGGAUGUUCUCCGCCGAGCAGCAACGUAUGUCAAGAAGGAGGUUCGAUUCUACGAGGAAGAGUGGAUACAGACAUCGUGACCGUGUCCCCUUUUCCGUAGAAUCGAACCUCUUUCAUGACGAAGUGCGGUGCCGCCCAGUUGAGGACAUGCUCGCGAGAUGAUCACGGUCUUUAAGUUUAACAACUUAUGCAGUGUUAAGGUAAUAAUUUUUGUACAUAGAUGGCUUCUGCUACUGGAGAAAGUGGCGAUGGUGGGGGUGAUCGUGGUUCCUCUUUCGGCAAGGGGAAAAUCAUAGUUGGCCCUCAGCAUAAGCCAAAGAAAAAGAGCGCACUGGAAAAAGCAAUGCUUCGUUAUUUGCAGCAACGUCAUGAAGAAGUUGUUGCCGCGGGUCAGGAACCUCCUUUUGGUCGUCGUUAUGCUCCACCCUUAGUCCCGGGUGUUUCACAUCCACUUAGUACUACCGUUUCAGGCGGCACAAAUAAACCUAAGGAUGAGGCUAGGUCAGCGGAACUUUCGUCUUCACUGUCCAAGGAUGCUUAAAGUCCUCCUAGAUAAUAACCAGUGGAUGGCUUGUUGUAUUGUAUCAUGUUGUUUGGAUCUUUAAUUUAAAUAUGUGUAUUUGGAUCUUCAUGUUGUUGUAUUGUACCAUGUUGUUUGGAUCUUUAAUCAAUUUUCACACGUAAUCCAUUGUCAAGUGUAAUCCAUUUUCAUGCAUAAUAAGAUGCAGAUGGACCGGCAAUGGAUGUAUAAUGCAGACAGGCAGAGCAAGGUGUUUAUUGAUGGCUUGCAUUAUUGUCUCGAAGUGGCCAAAGCGAACAAGCCAGAGAAUGGGUUCGUAUGUUGUCCAUGCUUCCAAUGCAAUAACAAGAAGGAGUAUUCAUAGGAUUCCUGGGGGACUAUUCACAGCCACUUGUUUAAAUACGGUUUCAUACUUAACUAUUUGGUUUGGACCAAGCACGGUGAACGAGGGGUCGUAAUGGAAGAUGGCGAGAAGGAGGAGGAAGAUGACACCAUUCCAGACUGGGUUGUAGGCCAAGCUUUUGCAGGUACUACAAUGGGCGAGGCUCAUGAAGAUGAGUUUGCAGAAAAUGGCCCUAUUGAUGACUUUGGUCAGGUGAUACGAGAUGCAUACAGAGAUUGCGAAAUUGAGAAGGAAGCAGCAAAGUUGCAGCGCAUGAUAGAUGAUCACCAAAAAUUAUUGUACCCAGGUUGCCAGCUGGGCCAUAAAAAACUAGGUACGACACUAGAAUUUGUGCAAUGGAAGGCAAAAAAUGGUGUGUCCGAUAAGGCAUUUCAGGGGAUGUUGACCAUUGUCAAGAAGAUUCUUCCCGAGAAUAAUGAAUUACCGUCCACAACAUAUGAAGCUAAACAGAUUAUUUGCCCUCUCGGAUUGGAUGUUCAGAAGAUACACGCAUGCCCUAAUGACUGUAUCCUCUAUCGUGGUGAUGACUACGAGAAAUUGGAUGCUUGUCCCGUGUGCGAAGCCCUGCGGUAUAAGAUUAGGUGAGAUGAUCCUUGUGAUGUCGAGGGGCAGUCUCCCAAUAAGAGAGUUCCCGUGAAGGUGAUGUGGUAUUUCCCUAUAAUACCACGCUUGAAGCGCUUGUUCAGGAAAAAGGCGAAUGCUAAGUUGAUGUGAUGGCACAAAGAAGACCGUAAGGAAGAUGAGAUGCUGAGACACCCCGCAGAUGGGGCACAGUGGAGAUCAAUUGAUAGAGCAUUCUCGGACUUUGAAAGUGAAGCAAGGACAUAAGGUUUGGUUUAAGUACUGAUGGAUUCAAUCCAUUCGGUGAGUUGAGUAGUGGCCAUAGUACUUGGCCUAUGACCCUAUUUAUGUUGAACCUUCCUCCUUGGCUAUGCAUGAAGUGGAAGUUCAUUAUGAUGCCGGCGCUUAUCCAAAGUUCAAAACAACCCGACAACGACAUUGACGUGUACCUAAGACUGUUGGUUGAUGACCUUUUACAGCUCUGGAAGGAAGAAGGUGUACGUGUGUGGGAUGAGGAUAGACAAGAGAUCUUUAAUCUACGAGUAUUGUUGUUUGUAACCAUCAAUGAUUGGCCUGCACUGAGUAACCUUUCGGGACAGACAAAUAAGGGAUAUCGGGCAUGCACCCACUGUUUAGACGACACAGACAGCAUGUAUUUGAAGCAUUGUAAGAAGGUCGUCUACAUGGGUCAUCGUCGAUUUCUCCCUGCUCACCACCAGCUGAGAAAGAGCAGGAUGCAUUUCAAAGGGGCGCCAGACCAUCGUAAAAAACCUGCACACCAUAAUGGAAAGUGUGUCUUCAAGAUGAUGAAGGAUGUAAAUGUAGUCUUUGGAAAGGGUCUUGGUAGCCAACCUAUUCCAAACGACAAUAACGGACAUGCACCCAUGUGGAAGAAAAAGUCAAUAUUUUGGGAGCUACCUUAUUGGGAAAUCCUAGAGGUUCGCAAUGCAAUAGACGUGAUGCACCUGACGAAGAAUAUUUGCAUGAACGUGCUAGGCUUCAUGGGUUUUUAUGGGACCUCAAAAGACACAUUGGAAGCACGACAGGACCUGAAAGCCAUGGGGCAACGAGAUGACCUACAUCCGAAAAAGAGAGAUAAUGGAUAGCACUACUUACGUCCUGCCAGUUACACUCUGAGCAAGGAAGAGAAGGAUAGCAUGUUUGAAUGCUUGAAUAGUAUGAAGGUCCCGUCUAGGUACUCCUCGAAUAUAAAGGGAAUAAUAAAUAUGAAAAAAAAGAAGUUUAUAAAUCUCAAGGCCCAUGACUGUCACAUGUUGAUGACCCAGUUGCUUCCGGUUGCACUGAGGGGUGUUCUACUAGAAAAUAUCCAGUUGCCGCUCGUAAAGCUAUGUGCGUUUCUAAAUGCGAUUUCACAGAAGGCAAUCGAUCCAUCCAAGCUAUCAAAGCUACAGAACGAUGUGGUGCAAUGUCUUGUCAGUUUUGAGUUGUUAUUUCCACCAUCCUUCUUCAAUAUUAUGACGCACUUACUGGUUGACCUAGUAAAAGAGAUUGGUAUUCUCGGACUUGUAUACCUGCACAAUAUGUGGCCUUUCAAGUGUUCAUGGCAGUCCUAAAAAACUAUGCUCUUAAUCGUGCCCAUCCAGAAGGAAGCAUCGCCAAGGGAUAUGGAACAGAGGAGGUGAUCGAGUUUUGUGUUGAUUUUAUUGAUUCAAUUGACUCGAUUGGGGUUCCAACUUCACGCCAUGAGGGGAGGCUCCGAGGAAUGGGCACCCUUGGAAGGAAAUCAAGUUUGAGCAAUGAUACUGAUUUGUUCGACAAGGCACACUACACGGUUCUACAACAGUCAUCCUUUGUGUCUCCAUAUAUUGAGCAGCACAGGCAGAUGGUAGUUUCCAAAAACCCGACCAAAUCCGAUGCUUGGCUUACCCGUCUUCACAUGGAAACUUUUCCCUCCUGGUUGCGCCAACAACUUAUGGGUAACUCUGAGAUUCACCCACAGCUUGCCUGGUUAGCCAGGGGACCUGCUAGCACAAUUGUGAAAUUUCAAGGCUAUGAGAUAAAUGGUUAUACAUUUUACACGAGAGCCCAGGACCAGAAAAGCACGAAACCAGAAUAGUGGUGUCCGCAUACAUGCCAUGGACAGAAAUAAUAGCAAGGAGUCGUAUUAUGGUUUCAUAUAGGAGAUAUGGGAACUUGAAUACGGACCGUUGUACAUCCCUCUAUUUCUUUGUAAUUGGGUGAAGCAAACUGCCGUAACCAAAGAUCAGUACGGAAUGACAAUAGUAGAUCUGAGCAAGACUGGAUACAGUGAUGACCCAUUCGUACUUGCCAACAAUGUGCAACAGGUGUUCUAUGUGAAGGACAUGUGUAGCAAACCCAAGAGAAAUCCAGAAGAGACAUGGGAGCCAAAGUGCCACAUAGUUUUUCCAGGUAGAAGAAAAAUCGUGGGAGUCGAGGAUAAAACAAACCAAUCAGAUGAUUAUGAUUAGUUUGAUGGCAUGCCUCCAUUCGCCGUUGAAGUUGAUCCAAGCAUCCUGCUAUCCAAAGAAGAGGCUCCGUACUUACGCCGCGAUCAUGAUCAAGGAACUUUCGUGAAGAAGAAAUUCUACAACGUUGUAUUGUAAUGCGCUAAAUUUACAUGACCUUUGUGUAGUAAUUGAUACAAUUUUUAAUUUACCCUAUGUAUGAUUUGAUGUGUUCUUAAAUUUGUUAGGUGAAGAUUUAUUAGAUAAACAUGAACAAUGUUAACCACAUACAUACAUGGAUUUUUCUGCGCAUUGAAAUUAUUUAAUGGAAUAAUUUCUUGAUCACAGCGAUGUAGUAAAAUAAAUAUUUUAGAGCCUAAAUGAACUGGUAUAGAAUUAAUGACUAACUCACACUUAUUGUCAAUUUACUCGCUAAUUAAAUAUAUUUUUGCAUGUACAAAAUAUGUGAAGGUUUUUGUUUUUCAUCCUGAAUUGCAGUGAAAAGAUAAAUAAAAUCCAUUUCCAAAAAACAGGCGGGAGAAGAAAACUGGGAAAAGGACCUUUUGUCCCGGGUGCCAACAGAAACCGGGACAAAAAGCCCCCCCCCUUUUAUCCCGGUUGGUGGUGGCACCCGAGAUAAAAGGGUAGGCUCCAAGCCCCACUUGGCGGACGCACCCUUUUGUCCCGGGUCCCGUCACCAACCGGGAUAAAAGGGGGGGCCUUUUAUCCCGGUUGGUGAGGGGACCCAGGACAAAAGGCCCUUUAGUCCCGGGUGUCAUUACGAACCGGGAUAAAAGGGGGGUUAAAAGGCACUAUAGCCCCUUCUACCCCCCACGCCAGUUACAGUUAGCAAAAUUUUCACCAAGAUCCCGCGCGCACUCUGCUCCGUCGCUGCCCGUCCGCCUUCCUCGCCAGCCGUCAUCGUCGUCGUCCCCCAUUGCCCCGGCCGUCGUCGUCCCGCCGGCUGACCGUGCCCAGAUAGCCUCCUCCUCCAUCGCCCCGGCCCGCCUCGAUCCUCCUGCGUCGUGCCCGGCCCCUACCUCAUCGACGCCGGCCACCUCCAUCGCGGGGCCUCAUCGCCGCCUCCAUCCUCGUCGCCACCUCGACGCCCUGGGUCGCCGCCUCGUCGCCCCUCGUCGCUGCCUCGUCGCCGUCCUGCCUCCGCCGUCUCGCCGUCCCGCGCGCCUUCGCUCCGUCGUCGCCUCCGCCGUCCCACCGCCCCAGCCACCGCCAUCCCGCCACCCCGGCCACCUCGUCGCCCCGACCACCGUCGACCGCGCGUGAGGUCCGCCGCACCGGCACUGGCGCCGGGAGUACCGCCUUGCUGACGCAAGCCCACCGGCUUGCGUCAACAAGGGCCUUUUUUAAGUUAGAAAAUAAAUAGAAAGGAGUAGUAAUUAGGUAGAAAUUCAAUAGAUUUUUGUAUAUGUGUUACAAAAUCAAAUUAGUGUAAAUUAGUUGUAAUUAGGUUCGUCGCUCUGCCUAGGUUAGAAAUGAAUCGUGUUUCGUCGUGGUUCCGUCCCCGCCUCCGCCGUCCCGCCACCCUGACCGUCGCCGUCCCAACCUAGGCACCGUCUGUGGUUCCGUCCCCGCCUCCGCCGUUCCGCCUCCAUCGCAAAUUCAUGUUAUUGCUAGAAAUUCCAAUAAAUAUGAACAAAUUAGUAGAAAUUUGGUAGAAAUUAAUCAUUGCUGCGGCCACCUCGCUCCACAAAUUCAUGUUAUUGCUAGAAAUUCAUAAAAAUUCAUGUUAUCACUAGAAAUUCGUACAAAAUUCAUGUUAUUGCUAGAAAUUCGUAAAAAUUCAUGUUAUUGCUAGAAAUUCGUACAAAAUUCAUGUUAUUGCUAGAAAUUCGUACAAAUUCAUGUUAUUGCUAGAAAUUCGUCACAAAGUACUACUAAUUUGCAAAAAUUUGUAUAAAUAUUCCGGACUUUGUGGGAUUCAUGUUAUUUUCUGAUUUCAUGUAUAUACCCUUAUGUACAUAUAACUAAGGAGAUUUCUAUGACUUUCAUGUAUGUUUCAAUCAAUAGUUGAAAUGGCAGACGAUGAGACCGCAAGGUAUCUCAUGGAGCAGAUAAUCGCUGGUGAUGGUAGUGGCGACAACCUUCCACUAUCGUACACCGAUGAAGAGGGCACCCAGGCGGACAUGUUCCUCAACAUGUCCGCCGAUGGGAAUGAAGAGCAAAAGCCCCAGCAACACCUUGCCGGGGCGGAAGGUUCCGGCGAGGUAUAUAUAACGAUUCUUGUAUUGUUUCACACCACCGUUACUACUACGUACUAAUUAACGAAUCAUGAACCGUUAGCCCUCUGGAUCGACGCAAGGGCAGAAGACACGAGGUCGUACAAAGGUGAUGGAAGGGAGGCUUGUCAUCACGGAAGUGAUAGAAGAGGGCAGGCCGGUUGCUCCCGAGAAAGUAGCAAAGAAGUACGUGAGUCAGAUCGGGGCAAUCGUCCGGGACAACGUGCCUAUCAGCAUCAGAGAAUGGAAGGGCAGAAGCACUAAUCCGUACGCCCUCCUGGAGACAGAAAGAAUAUGCUGUGGGAAGAUGUCAAGAGACAUUUCACAUUCACCGAAGGAUAUAUUGAGAAGGAUGUGAAAGCGUGGACGCUUAAGAAGAUGGCUACACAAUUUCCAGACAUUUAAGAAGAUGCUAGAUACCCACUACAUUAAGAAGGGCCGAACUCCAGACUUCAACGCGUGGUCAAAGUUGAGGGACCACUAGGAUGCAUUUGUUGAAUAUAAGAGGAGUGAAUACGAUGUGAAAAAGAUCACGACCAACACAACAAAUGCUAGUCAGAAGGGCUACCAUCAUCAUCUGGGGCGAGAUGGUUAUGGCUCAGCAAUUCCCAAGUCGAGGAAGAUGGAACAAGAUCUGAUUGAACGGGGAAUCGUACCGGCAACUAUUGAAUGGCCCGAACGAUCAAAAAAUUGGUACUACGCUCAUGGAGGCUCCCUGUGCCAAGAGGAUGGGACGUUGAUUUUCAAUAACACAAUACGUUAGAAGGCCAAACAUCUUGUGAAGAACAUUGAAGAUUCUAAGGCUGGGAGGUUGAAGGUGGACCGAGAAAAUGAUGAGCUCACAUUGGCCCUUGGUAAUCCAGAGCACCCAGGAUGUUGCCGAGGGUUCGGGGUCGUUCCGUGGAAGUUUGUUUUCCGAGGCGACAGCGCCUCGUACAGAAGCCGGAAGCGAAGAAAGGAACAGAUCGAGGAGAGCUGGUGGCAGAUGCUAGAAUCCAAAGUGCAGGCACAAGAACAAAGAAUGAUGGAGGAAAUCAAUCGUCGAGUGGCCCACGCAGUUGUGGAGUUGGCCCAAUCUGGAGCAUUGCCGAAUCCUAACAACGCCAGCCCUUCUCAAUGCCUCUUGAGCAGUUAUGCUUCUACAGGGGUCCCCGAUGCGCACACGCCCAGGUUACCCGUGGAGGAGCAACGGUUCCCCGUGGAUGCCAUCACGCAACACACCACAUGUGAGCUGCAUGCACCGGUCGGCAACCUCACUAUUAAGGUAUACUUAUACAUAAUAUUUAUGCAAUCUUGUCAAUUGAUCCACGCCUCGAUAUCGGAGUUUAACUUGUUUACUUCUACUAUAUGUACAGGUAGCGUACGGGAGUGCGUUAGCAACCCUGGCGGGGCAGAGCAGUCAUGGCAUGAAGAUUCCACCUGGCUACGCUAGCGUCCGCGUAGAGCAAAUAGUUGAUAGCCAAUAUGAAGGUCUAGAGCUCGACCUCCCGGGAGGUGACAGGGAAAGAACACUGGCAGAUGCGCUUCAUGGGAUCAUUCUAUGGCGAAAACGCUACAUCAUUAUUCCCGGCACGGAGCCAUCUCCUCAGAGCUCAAGACCACUCCCCGUAGAUCCCCAGCAGCGACCUUCUCCUCAUAGCUCGAGACCGUCAUCUCCUGCACAACCUGCUCCAGGACCGUCCCUUCCAUCUAUAUCAAGGUCUCCAUCUCCACCACAUCCUGGUGGUGGGAGCGACGACGACAAUAACAACACCCCUUCCUGAUCACCAUCGCCGGCACCAAGAGCGGCCCCCAUGAAGGAACCUGCACCACCACUAAAAAAGUCACGAGCACCGCCUCCCAAGCAAAGACAGAGAAAGAAGAAAACAAAGGAGCCUGAAGUGACUCGUAAGGAACGCUGGGAGACAAUGUCUCAUGCGGAACAGUGGGCAGAAAUCCAACAAGAGGCCAGUGAGUGGUUCAAGAAACAAGCCGAAGAAAAAAAAGCAACGGAGAUGCAGCCACCGCCAGUAAAUCGAAGAGAUUUAAACUUUUUUAUCAGGAUGGAAGAAGGAGCCAAGAAAAGGAUACCACUCUUAUCAAACUAUGAACGGGCUUUAGUAAAGGCUGAUGAAAAGGAUAAAAGGAAAGGAAAGUCAUCUUCCAGCGGUGCUGUCCCCGACCUCAGCCAUUUAUCAAAAAAAGAUGCUCAACGGGUAAAAGCAAUGCCCUUGGAUCAACAAGCAGAAGUAUUGAAGUUCAUGCAAGAAACAGGUCUGGGACUUGAUGAAUGCCUAGGGCAAGUUGAGACGCCAACUGCACCGCCCCCUGAGCCGAGAUGGCCUUAUGAGCUAGGCAAACCUCUAGUAAAGCCUUCAUUGGUACGAAAGCUAUCAACAAAGAUGUACGCAUUCCAUCAAUGGUACAUGAUGGCAUCCGCUGACUCAAGGGAGAUGCUCGGCCUGAAGGUAAAACCGAUGGAUUUUCACGACAGAGGCGAGAAAGUGCUGUGGCUAGACUUCAAGGAUAUAUACGAAGUGUACCAUCAUGAUGCCAUAGACGUCUCUCUGAUCCGCGCUUGGGUUCUGUAAGUGUCCGUUUAUCUCUACAUGUAAAUUUUGGCGUGCGUCACCGUACUAACUUCGUCUUCCAUUUCAUGUAGGAUGCUAAUUCAGACAUGCCGCCGAGAGGCGUACCUACAUAUAGGCUUCAUGGAUCCAUCUGUAGUUAACCAACAGCAGAUACAAUUAGCAUCGGAGAAAACCUUGGUGGAAGUAUACAAUUUCCUAGACAAACAAACAUUCAAGGAUUUCAUACUAUUUCCAUACAACUUCAAGUAAGUGUGUGUAUACCGUCUACUUUCGAUGUCUUUUUCCUUAUCUCUACAUGUUAGUUAGCUCUAAUAUGCAUGAACAUUUUACGCACGCAGCUUCCACUGGAUCCUUAUUAUAAUUGAGCCUCAAAGAAGCCACGUCACUGUCUUCAAUUCGUUGAGGAAAGAUCCAGUGGAGCACCAAGAAAUGCAACACAUGCUAGGCUUGUAAUAAUUCUGGACCUUUAUCUCUAUGCAAAAGUUUGUUUCCUAAAUUCUAUCCCUGUUACACUAUAUCAUUCAUUAUUCUAAUCCACAGCGUAUGGAAACAAUUCAUAAGGACACAAAAAGGUCCAUUCAAAGAAAAACUUACAUGGAACACAGACUUCCCGGUACAUAUGAAGUCUGCACAUUUAUUACAUUGUAUAACACGAAUAUUUCAUAACUUAUUUUUUUCCGUAUUGAAGUGCUUAAGACAGGAACUCGGAAAUAAUCUAUGUGGCUACUACAUCUGUGAGCACAUGCACAGUUUUAUGGGACCCAAGGGACUAAAGAUGACGCCGCACAACUUUAAAGUACGUAAAAUAAAACUAUUACUAGUUAAUUAUUUUCUAGCUCCUUAUAUGUAUUUGUUCACGUAACAUUCACAAAUUUCCAAAUUAUAGAUGUUAAAUAUUCAACAAGGACUCUUGAAGGAAGAAAGAGUAGCGGCAAUAUGUGAAGGUCUCAUUGGAUUCCUAAUGGACAAGGUGGUAGAUCCAAAAGGAGAAUUUUAUUUUGAUGGACGACAAUUAGACACUCUGAUCAGCAACACCUCGAUGGGAAGAUUGUAGAUAGAUACUUUGAUUUAUUUGUAUAUAUAAUACGCGCUAAUUAUGAUCGAUUUGUACUAGUUGAAUUCUGUAUAUGAAUUGUGUAUAAGAAUUGUGUAUAUAUAUAGUAACUGUAUAAUUACAAAUCCCAUUCGUUUAAAUACUAGUUAAUUUCAUUCUAAAAAAAUCUCAACUACUUAAGGUUAACAAAAGGGCUGCGGUACUACGUACGUGAUGCAUGCAUGAAAAAUUCAGGCGCCAGGCAGGUGCCAUGCAGGGCAUCAUUUAGUCCCGUUUGGAAUCCAGCCGGGACUAAAGGGUAACCCUUUACUCCCGGUUGGGAAACCCAACCGGGACUAAAGGGGGACCGUUACUCCCGGUUAAAAGACCCGGGACUAAAACCCCCCCUUUUGUCCCGGUUGGCUUAUCCCGGAUAAAUUUUCGGGAGAUAUGCACCCUACCAACCGGGACUAAAGGCCAAUUCUCCACUAGUGGAAGGUCCUUUCUCUACCAUGAAUAUUGCCAGAAAGAAUUGAAAGAGACCGCUUGCUAAAAACAUGUCAUAGAUGCGGACCAAGCUACCAAGGAGGUAGACCAAACAUGAUACACACCAUGCGUACCUUGCUGUGCAGACUAUGCAUGGACAAGAUACCCGACCACAUGUUGGCUUUGGUCACAUCAAAAGAAUCAUGUAGGCCAUUAAUAAACUACUUGAAGCGUCAUUCCGUAUCUUAUAUCCAUCAUCUGCAUUACAUUACAUUAAAUAUUAUUAACUAUUUGAAUAAAAUGAACCAAUUUAAAAAUAAUGAAUUGUACAUUACUACAAAAAGCCCUAGCACUGCCAGUUCCAAAAACAUCAUUGUUGACGGCCGUUAAGUACCAAAUAUGACGGUCAAUAUCCUAAAGAAUAAAGGACAAUUGGCAUUUCUUACACACAUAUUUGGUUUCGAAUAAUGUAGUUCUACAUGUCCUUGGAGAUUAUUUGGGUGUGGGUGAAAUAAUACAAAAAGAAGGAGAAAACACACUCCCAUGGCAAAGAAACAUAACUCCGACCAAUGAGAGAUAGCCACAGGGGCAGCACAUGGAUCCAUGGGCCCACAAACUGCAUCAAACCAUCUUACAAGGCGGGUAGCACCCACAACUGUCAUUAGGACCCACCUGGAAGUCUAGCAAAGAAGAAGGUUGUGAGUGGGGCCACGAGGGGUUCGGUUGAAUCAUCUCUAGCUCCCUUCAUCCCCAGCUGGCGCGUGGCGGUGGUUCAUGGUGUCCCGACAUCGGUUAGAGGACAUUCCCCCAAAUAUUCCUCCUGUAAACCAGCUCUAUGAACCUAUAAAUAGAGGGGUGUGCUCUCCAUUCCAACACACACCACAAGUUGAAGCACUCUCUCCCUCUUUAGUUUCCAAGUUUACGGAGAUAGGCUGGAGUAGCUCUGCUAAAGGUUCCAAGUCCACUUGGAGUUAAGCGUAUGUCUCUUGUAUCAUUAUUUCCUAGAGAGACUUUAUGCUAUUCAAGUUAUUUAUCUUCUUCAUAUAGUGUUAUGCUUAGUUCUUAUAUGCAUGAGUUAGUCUAAUACCCUUGCUCUAUUGAUAUGCUCAGCUUAUGUGCUCGUAUGCUAGUCAUGUACCCUUGCUGUCAUAGUAUAGGGUUAUAUGCUGUCAUGUGUGCCUAUAGACCUUGCUACAGUAUAUACUUGUUGUGUAUACAUACCAUUUGUAUAUACAUUAUUACAAGUUAAGGUAGUUUUAAAUAUCCUUGUGUUGACAACCAAAGCUUGAUCUUUUGUUUCCAUUGCCAGCGGAUUCAUCGGCUCAGAGUAGGAUCAAGACAUCAAGUUGAUGGAGUUCUUUAUAUUUCAAGAGGAGUCAUGGAGUUCUUUAUAUUUCAAGAGGAGUUGAUGGUGCUUUCAAUAUUGCAACCAGACAUCAUUGGCUCUGAAGACACCGAAUCAUCGGAGUUCUAUGAUCAGUUUCGGAACAUGAAGCCUUCAUACUCCGAAACUGGGGGGCCUGUGUUGACACCGAAUUAUCGGACUUCUAUAAUUAGUUUCGGAACAUGAAGCCUUCAUACUUCGAAACUGGGGGGUAUGUGUUUACACCAAAAUUUAGAAAUGUGCUCUGAAAGGAAGGACCUGGGAGAUCUAUUGGCUGAAAUACAAAUCCAUCGAAACUAGCCUUAUGCUAAGAGAUCAGAAUAUUGUACAAAGUCUAGAAAGUUCUAUUUACAUCUAAGUAACUCGAUAACUAGCCUUACGCUAAGAGAUCAGAAUAUUGGACAAAGCCUACAAAGUUCUAAUAUAGGUAACGUAAUGACCAGGUGAGGAUAGUUACAAGCUCGCUUGAGAUCGAAGCCGAUGUAGCCCUGCGCGCAAGAAGAAACUCACCUAUUUCUACUCUACUCUUACUCCUAGGGUUUGAUGGCGUGGCGUCAAAAGAUUGUAUUGAUUGAUUGAUUAUUUGAUACAAAGCUCAUGGGCCUAUAUUUAUACCCUUGAGAAAGCUAAAAUCCUAAUCAGUUAUGACAUGAAUCGUGACAGAAAAUCUAACUAAAGAUAGAUCUCCAUGCUUUCCCUUAUUUGGUGGAGUCGAUUUCACUUCAUAUCGGAUCCCUCCCGAUCUUCUAUCGGCUUCUAGCAUCCGGUCAUCUGCGACUGGCCUUGGUCAACAUCAGGUGUCAACAGACUUAUUUCUUCUACAAGUUCAUCGGCUGUCAGAGCCUUGUCUUAGUCAGUUGACUCUAGUAAAAAAUCGAUGUCAAUACAUGCCCCCCAAUUUUUGAAUAAAAUAUUAUAUUUCAAAAUUCUCUUCUCUUGUCAACAGCUUUUGAAAGAAAAAGAGUCACUGCUGCAAUCAUAAUCUUUUUCCCCGGGUUUUGUGAUAGCACCCUCCUCAUUUUAAGGGAUUCACCAUGUGGAAAUUAUAAUAUAACUGCUUCACCCAUUUCGUUUUCUUCACCAAACCAACUAUUGUCAGCCGCUACAACCAAAAAUCAAUUAUUCCCUUCACAUGCCUAGCGACUGCAUCCAUCACUCAUCGUCACCAUUAGUCUCCAUGUGUCAAGGCUUCUUCAACCAGCAAUGGCGACAUUAUCUUCCAUUCCACAGGUACCAUGUAUCCUAGCCAUUCCUUUCCCCUUUCAACCUGAAAUCCAAUCUAGUCACUAUAUAUCAAACCUGUGUUCUUAAUCAAUACUUGCCCCCUUGUACUUAGAAACACCCUUUUGAUCCCCAUAUCCGAUACGCAAGCAGAAUACUUUCUAGGCCCCAUGGGUAGUGAAGACCCAAUAGAAUCUAUUAAUGCUGAAAUACUUGGACAAAGUCUAGAAAGUUCUAUUUACAUCUAAGUAACUCGAUAACUAGCCUUACGCUAAGAGAUUUAAAUAUUGGAUAAAGCCUAGAAAGUUCUUAUAUAGGUAACUGAAAAGUGUGUUGACGCAAAAAUUGGAUGGUUGACUCCUGCGUACUAACACACGGAACCAGGGAGAAUCUGCUUAGCUACUGUUCGGGUUAUAGCCCUCUCGAUCCGUAGCGUGCCAGUUAAUCUGACCUGCUGAUUGACAAGUAAAAAUGUCAAAUUAAGAGCAAAUCAGCUGGUGUUCCGAAUCGCUCCACGGGACGUAUCAGUAGACAGCCGAUACGGGCAAACGACAAUCAGCUAGAUCAGCCGAUUUGCUCUUGUAUUUGACGUUUUACUUGUCCUUCUCAAUCAGCAGGUCAGAUUGACUCGCACGACGCAGAUCGAGAGGGCUAUAACCUAAACAAGAGCUAAGCAGAUUCUCCCGGGUUUCAUGUCUUAGUACACAGAAGUCAACCGUCUGAUUUUAUCAUCAACACGCUUUUUGGCACGCUCAGUGGGACCCGAUUCAUAUCUUAAUGGUAAUUGGUGAUCAAGUUUCAAACAACGUAUCCACUGGUAGAAAACUGAGCAUUAGUCCCGGUUGGUAAGGGUCAUAUCUCUCGGAUAUCCAUCCGGGAUAAACCAACCGGGACAAAAGGGGGGGGUCUUUAGUCCCGGGUAUUUUAACCGGGAGUAAAGGACCCCCUUUAGUCCCGGUUGGUGUCACCAACCGGGACUAAAGGGCCUGCCACGCCAGGCGCGGGACAGGCCCUUUAGUCCCGGUUGGUGACACCAACCGGGACUAAAGGGGGUCCCUUUAGUCCCGGUUGGAUUUCCCAACCGGGACUAAAGGGGUCCCCUUUAGUCCCGGCUCAAUUCCAACCGGGACUAAAUUGCGCUUGCAUGGCACUGGUGACGCCUGAAUUUUUCAUGCAUGCAUCACGUAUACGUAUAGUAGUACCGCGGCCCUUUUAAUUUGUUAACCUUGUAGUUGAGAUUUUUUUAGAAUGAAUUAAAUCAACUAGUAUUUAAACGAAUGGGAUUUGUAAUUACACAACUACUAUAUAUAUACACAAUCCUUAUACACAAUUCAUAUACACAAUUCAACUAGCUUAAUUAGUACAAAUCGAUCAUAUAUACAAAUAAAUCAAAGUAUCUUCCUACGAUCUUCCCGUCGUGGUGUUGCUGAGAGGAGUGUCUAAUUGUCGUCCAUCGUAAUAAAAUUCUCCUCUUGGAUUUACCACCUCGUCCAUUAUGAAUCCAAUGAGACCUUCACAUAUUGCCGCUACUCUUUCUUCCUUCAAGAGUCCUUGUUGAAUAUUUAACAUCUAUAAUUUGGAAAUUUGUGAAUGUUACAUGAACAAAUACAUAUAAGGAGCUAGAAAAUAAUUAACUAGUAAUAUAUUUAUUUUACGUACUUUAAAGUUGUGCGGCGUCAUCUUCGGUCCCUUGGGUCCCAAAAAACUGUGCAUGUGCUCACAGAUGUAGUAGCCACAUAGGUUAUUCCCGGGUUCCUGUCUUAAGCACUUCAGUGCGGAAAAAAAAUAAGUUAUGAAAUAUUCGUGUUAUACAAUGUAAUAAAUGUGCAGACUUCAUACGUACCGGGAAGUCUGUGUUCCAUGUAAGAUCUUCUUUGAAUGGACCUUUGUGUGUCCUUAUGAAUUGUUUCCAUACGCUGCGGAUUAGAAUAAUGAAUGACAUAGUGUAACAGGGAUAAAAUUUAGGAAAUAAAUUUUUGCAUAGAGAUAAAGGUCCAGAAUUAUUACAAGCCUAGCAUGUCUUGCAAUUCUUGGUAGUCCACCGGAUCUUUCCGUAACGAAUCAAAGACAGUGACGUGGCUUCUUUCAGGCUCAAUUAUAAUAAGGAUCCAGUGGAAGCUGCGUGCGUAAAAUGUUCAUGCAUAUUAGAGCUAACUAACAUGUAGAGAUAAGGAAAAAGACAUCGAAAGUAGACGGUAUACACACACUUACUUGAAGUUGUAUGGAAGUAGUAUGAAAUCCUUGAAUGUUUGUUUGUGUAGGAAAUUGUAUAUUUCGGCAAAGGUUUUUUCCGGCGCUAAUUGUAUCUGUUGUUGGUUAACUACAGAUGGAUCCAUGAAGCCUACAUGUAGGUACGCCUCUCGGCGGCAUGUCUGAAUUAGCAUCCUACAUGAAAUGGAAGAUGAAGUUAGUACGGUGACGCACGCCAAAAUUUACAUGUAGAGAUAAUAAACGGACACUUACAGAAUCCAAGCGCUGAUCAGAGAGACGUCCAGGGCAUCAUGAUGGUACACUUCGUAUAUAUCCUUGAAGUCUAGCCACAGCACUUUCUCCCCUUCACCGUGAAAAUCUAUCGGUUUUACCUUCAUGCCGAUCAUCUCCCUCGAUUUGGCGGAUGCCGUCAUGUACCAUUGAUGGAAUUCGUACAUCUUUGUUGACAGCUUCCGUACCAUUGCCGGCUUCACUAGAGGCUUGCCUAGCUCAUAAGGCCAUCUCGGCUCAGGGGGCGGUGCAGUUGGCGUCUCGACUUGCCCUAUGCAUUCUUCAAGUCCCAGACCUGUUUCUUCCAUGAACUUCAAUAUAUUUUCUUGUUGAUCCAAGGGCAUUGCUUUUACCCGUUGAGCAUCUUUCUUUGAUAAAUGGCUGAGGUCGGGGACUGAACCGCUGGAGGAUGAUUUUCCUUUUCUUUUAUCCUUUUCAUCAGCCUUUACUAGAGCCCGUUCAUAGUUUGACAAGAGUGGUAUCCUUUUCUUGGCUCCUUCCUCCAUCCUGAUAAAAAAGUUUAAAUCCCGCCGACUUACUGGCGGUGGCUCCAUCUCCCUUGCCCUUUUUAAUUCGGCUUGUUUCUUGAACCACUCACUGGCCUCUCGUUGGAUUUCUGCCCACUGUUCCGCAUGAGACAUUGCCUCAAAGCGUUCCUUGCGAGCCACUUCAGGGUCGACCUUUGUUUUCUUCUUUCGAGGCUGUCUUUGCUUGGGAGGCGGUGCUCGUGACUUCUUGAGUGGUGCUGCAGGUUCCUUCGAGGGGGCCGCUCUUGGUGCCAGCGACGGUGAUCGGGGAGGGGUGUUGUUAUUGUCGUCGUCGCUCCCAGCACCAGGAUGUGGUGGAGAUGGAGACCUUGAUAUAGAUGGAAGCGACGGUCCUGGAGCAGGAGAUGCCGGUCUCGAGGUAUGAGGAGAAGGUCGCUGCUCGGGAUCUACGGGGAGCGGUCUUGAGGUCUGAGGAGAUGGCUCCGUGCGGGAAAUAAUGAUGUAGCGUUUCUUCCAUAGAAUGAUCCCAUGAAGCGCAUCUGCCAAUGUCUUUUCCCCGUCGCCUCCCGGGAAGUCGAGCUCUAGACCUUCAUACUGGGCAUCUACUAUUUGCUCGACGCAGACGCUGGCGUAGCCUGUUGGAAUGUCCAUGCCAUGACUGCUCUGCCCUGCCAGCGUUGGUAACGCACUCCCAUACGCUACCUGUACAUAUAGCAGAAGUAAACAAGUUGAACUCCGAUCUCGAGGCCUGGAUCAAUUGACAAGAUUGCAUAAAUAUUAUGUAUAAGUAUACCUUAAUAGUGAGGUUGCCGACCGGUGCAUGCAGCUCACAUGAGGUCCGUUGCGUGAUGGCAUCCACGGGGAACCGUUGCUCCUCCACGGGUAACCUGGGCGUCUGCGCAUCGGGGACCCCUGUAGAAGCACAACUGCUCCCGAGGCGUUGAGAAGGGCUGGCGGUGUGAGGAUUCGGCAGUGCUCCAGAUUGCGCCAACUCCGCAACUGCGUCGGCCACCCGCCGAUUGAUUUCAUCCAUCAUUCGUUGUUCUAGCAUCUGCCGCCAGCUCUCCUCCAUCUGUUCCUUUCUUCGCUUCCGGCUUCUGUAAGAGGCGCUGUCGCCUCGGAAAGCGAACUUCCACGGAACCACCCCGAACCCCCGGCAACGUCCUGGGUGCUCUGGAUUACCGAGGGCCAAUGUGAGCUCAUCAUUUUCUCGGUCCACCCUCAACCUCCCAGCCUUGGAAUCUUCAAUGUUCUUCAUGAGAUGUUCGGCCUUCUCACGUAUUCUGUCAUUGAAAAUCAGCGUCCCAUCCUCUUGGCUUAGGGAGCCUCCAUGAGCGUAGUACCAGUUCUUUGAUCGUUCGGGCCAUUCAAUAGUUGCAGGUAUGAUUCCCCGUUCGAUCAGAUCUUGUUCCAUCUUUCUCCACUUGGGAAUUGCUGAGCCAUACCCACCUCGCCCCAAAUGAUGGUGGUAGCCCUUCUGACUAGCAUUUGCAACGUUGGUCGUGAUCUUUUUCACACCUUCUUCACUCCUCUUGUAUUCAACAAAUGCAUCCCAGUGGUCCCUCAACUUGGGCCACGCGUUGAAGUCUGGAGUUUUGCCCUUCUUGAUGUAGUGGGUGUCCAGCAUCUUCUUGAAUGUCUGGAAUUGAGUAGCCAUCUUCUUAAGUGUCCACGCUUUGACAUCCUUCUCGCUAUAAUCUUCGGGGAAUGUGAAAUGCCUCUUCACGUCUUCCCACAGCAUAUUCUUUUCUGUCUCUGGAAGGGCGUACGGAUUAUCGCUUCUGCCCUUCCAUUCUCUGAUGCUGAUAGGCACGUUGUCCCGGACAAUUGCCCCGAUUUGACUAACGUACUUCUUUGCGACUUUCUCGGGAGCAACCGGCCUGCCCUCAUCUGUAACUUCGGUGAUGACAAGCCUCCCUUCCAUCACCUUUGUACGACCUCGGGUCUUCUGCCCUUGUGUCGAUCCGGAGGGCUAACAGUUUAAGAUUCGUUAAUUAGUACGUACUAGUAGCGGUGGCGUGAAACAAUACAAGAAUGGUUGUAUAUACCUCGCCGGAACCUUCCGCCACGGCAAGUUGUUGCUGCGGCUGUUGCUCUUCAUUCACAUCGGCAGACAUGUUGAGGAACAUGUCCGCCUGGGUGCCCUCUUCAUCCGUGUAUGAUAGUGGAACGUUGUCGCCACUAUCAUCACCAGCGAUUAUCUGCUCCAUGAUAUACCUUGCGGUCUCAUCGUCUGCCAUUUCAACUAUUGCUGCAAACAUACAUGGAAUCAUACAUGACAGUCAUAGAAAUCGUCUUAAUACAAAUUUGUAUAUAAUCACAGUUCGGAAUCAUACAUGUAUAUAAUGAAAUCAUAAAAUAACAUGAAUCGUACAAAGUCCGGAAUCUUUAUACAAAUUUCUAUGAAUUUAUACAAAUUUCUAUGAAUUUAUACAAAUUUCUAUGAAUUUCUAUGAAUUUCUAUGAAUUUCUAUGAAUUUCUAUGAAUUUCUAUGAAUUUAUACAAAUUUCUACGAAUUUCUAUGAAUUUCUAUGAAUUUCUAUGAAUUUAUACAAAUUUCUACGAAUUUCUAUGAAUUUCUACAAAUUUCUACGAUUUUCUAUGAAUUUCUACAAAUUUCUACGAAUUCCUACGAAUUUUGACGAAUUUCUACGAAUUUUGACGAAUUUCUACGAAUUUCUACGACGGCGAUAAGGGCGGCGAAGGCGGGACGGCGGCGGUCAGGGCGGCGGAGGCGGGACGGCGGCGGUCAGGGCGGCGGAGGCGGUUCACCGGAACCACGGGCGGUGCCUAAGCUACUACGUUGUGAUGGGCGGCAGGACGGCGGCGAUCACGGCGGCUACUCGGCGGCGAUCACGACGGCUACAAGGCGACUGUCACGGUAGCUACUCGGCGGGACGGCGGCGAUCACGACGGCGGGACGGUAGUUAACAACCUAACUACAAAUCUAACUUAACAAACUAACUAGAAAUCUAAAAAUCUAACUUAACAAAAUUAGAAAUCUAAAAAUCUAACUUAACAAAAUUACAAUUCCAUCUAAAAAAACAAAAUUAAAAAUUAAAAGAAAACGGCCAGCUCUCCCGGCGCACCGGCCGGCGCGGCAGACCUCUCGCGCGCGGGGCGGCGGCCGGGGCGGCGGGACGGCGGCGGCCGGGGCGGCCUGACGGCGGCGGCUGGGGCGGCGACGAGGACGAAGACGACGACGGCGGGAUGACGGCGGCCGAGGCGAAGACGACGACGGCGGCCGGCGAGGGGCGACGAGGAUGGAGCUGGCGACGAGGGGCGAUGCAGCCGGCGAGGGAGGCGGACGGGCGGCGACGGGCGGAGAGGGAGGCGGACGGGCGGCGACGGGCGAGGGAGGCGGACGGGCGACGACGACGGCGCAAUGCGGGACUUCGACGGCGCAAUGGGGGACGACGACGGCGGCGGCCGGCGAGGGAGGCGGACGGGCGGCGACGGGCGGAGAGCGCGGGACUUGCGAAAAUUUCGCUAAGUGUGGAACUGGCGGGGGGUAGAAGGGAGUACAGUGCUUUUAACCCCCCCCCCCUUUUAUCCCGGUUCGUAAUGGCACCCGGGACAAAAAGGGCCUUUUGUCCCGGGUCCUGUCACCAACCGGGACAAAAGGCCCCCCCUUUUAUCCCGGUUGGUGACGGGACCCGGGAUAAAAGGGUGCGCUCCCAGCCCCACCUGGCGGGGGCACCCUUUUAUCUCGGGUCCCGUUACCAACCGGGACAAAAGGCCCCCCCUUUUAUCCCGGUUGGUAACGGGACCCGGGACAAAAGGGUGCCCCCGCCAGGUGGGGCUGGGAGCGCACCCUUUUAUCCCGGGUCCCGUCACCAACCGGGAUAAAAGGGGGGGGCCUUUUAUCCCUGUUGCAAAUGGCAACCGGGAUAAAAGGGUACGUUCGGGCGGGAGACGAAACGUACCCUUUUAUCCCGGUUGCCGUUUGCAACCAGGAUAAAAGGGGGGCCUUUUAUCCCGGUUGCUGUUAGCACCCGGGACAAAAGGUCCUUUUUCCUAUUUUUCUUCUCCCGCCUGUUUUUUGGAAAUGGAUUUUAUUUAACCUUUUCACUGCAUUCCAGGAUGAAAAACAAAACCUUCUCAGAUUUUGUACAUGCAAAAAUAUAUUUAAUUAACGAGUAAAUUGACAAUAAGUAUGAAGUAAUCAUUAUUUCUAUACCAACUCAUAUAGCCUGUAAAAUAUUUAUUUUACUGCAUUGCUGUGAUCAAUAAAUUAUUCAAUUAAAUUUUUUGAAUGCGCAGAAAAAUCCAUGUUAGUAUGUGGUUAACAAUGUUCAUGUAUAUCUAAAAAAUCUUCACCUAACAAAUUUAAUUACAAAUUUUAUCAAUUAAUACACAAAGGUCAUGCACAUUUAACGCAUUACAAUACAACGUUGUAAAAUUUCUUCUUCACGAAAGUUCCUUGAUCAUGAUCGCGGCGUAAGUACGGAGCCUCUUCUUUGGACAGCAGGAUGCUUGGAUCAACUUCAACGUCGAAUGGAGGCAUGCCAUCAAACUGAUCAUAAUCAUCUGAUUGGUCUGUUUUAUCCUCGACUCCCACGAUUUUUCUUUUACCUAGAAGAACUAUGUGGCACUUUGGCUCCCAUGUCUCUUCUGGAUUCCUCUUGGGUUUGCUGCACAUGUCCUUCACAUAGAACACCUGAUGCACAUCAUUGGCAAGUACGAAUGGGUCAUCACUGUAUCCAGUCUUGCUCAGAUCUACUAUUGUCAUUCCGUACUGAUCUUUGGUGACGGCAGUUAGCUUCACCCAAUUGCAAAGAAAUAGAGGGAUGUACAGCGGUCCGUAUUCGAGUUCCCAUAUCUCCUGUAUGAAACCAUAAUACGACUCCUUGCUAUUAUUUCUGUCCAUGGCAUCUAUGCGGACACCACUAUUCUGGUUCGUGCUUUUCUGGUCCUGGGCUCUCGUGUAAAAUGUGUAACCAUUUAUCUCAUAGCCUUGGAAUUUGACGAUUGUGGUAGCAGGUCCCCUGGCUAACCAAGCAAGCUGUGGGUGAAUCUCAGAGUUACCCAUAAGUUGUUGGCGCAACCAGGAGGGAAAAGUUUCCAUGUGAUGACGGGUAAGCCAAGCAUCGGAUUUGGUCGGGUUUUUGGAAGCUACCAUCUGCCUGUGCUGCUCGAUAUACGGAGACACAAAGGAUGACUGUUGUAGAACAGUGUAGUGUGCCUUGUCGAACAAAUUAGUAUCAUUGCUCAAACUUGAUUUCCUUCCAAGGGUGCCCAUUCCUCGGAGCCUCCCCUCGUGGCGUGAAGUUGGAACCCCAAUCGAGUCAAUUGAAUCAAUAAAAUCAACACAAAACUCGAUCACCUCCUCUGUUCCAUAUCCCCUGGCGAUGCUUCCUUCUGGACGAGCACGAUUACGAACAUAGUUUUUUAGGACUGCCAUGAACCUCUCGAAAGGCCACAUAUUGUGCAGGUAUACAGGUCCGAGAAUACCAAUCUCUUUUACUAGGUGAACCAGUAAGUGCGUCAUAUUAUUGAAGAAGGAUGGUGGAAAUAACAACUCAAAACUGACAAGACAUUGCACCACAUCGUUCUGUAGCUUUGAUAGCUUGGAUGGAUCGAUUGCCUUCUGCGAAAUCGCAUUGAGAAACGCGCAUAGCUUUACGAGCGGCAACCGGACAUUUUCGGGUAGAACACCCCUCAGUGCAACCGGAAGCAACUGGGUCAUCAACAUGUGGCAGUCAUGAGCCUUGAGAUUUGUAAACUUCUUUUGUUUCAUAUUUAUUAUUCCCUUUAUAUUCGAGGAGUACCCAGACGGGACCUUCAUACUAUUCAAGCAUUCAAACAUACUAUCCUUCUCCUCCUUGCUGAGAGUGUAACUGGCAGGACGUAAGUAGUGCUGUCCAUUAUCUCUCUUUUCCGGAUGUAGGUCAUCUCGUUGCCCCAUGGCUUUCAGGUCCUGUCUUGCUUCCAAUGUAUCUUUUGAGGUUCCAUAAACACCCAUGAAGCCUAGCACGUUCACGCAAAGAUUCUUCGUCAGGUGCAUCACGUCUAUUGCGUUGCGAACCUCUAGGAUUUCCCAAUAAGGUAGCUCCCAAAAUAUUGACUUUUUCUUCCACAUGGGUGCAUGUCCGUUAUCAUCGUUCGGAAUAGGUUGGCUACCAAGUCCCUUUCCAAAGACUACAUGUACAUCCUUCAUCAUCUCGAACACACGCUUUCCAUUACGGUGUGCAGGUUUUUUACGAUGGUCUGGCGUCCCUUUGAAAUGCAUCCCGCUCUUUCUCAGCUGGUGGUGAGCAGGGAGAAAUCGACGAUGACCCAUAUAGACGACCUUCUUACAGUGCUUCAAGUACAUGCUAUCUGUGUCAUCUAAACAGUGGGUGCAUGCCCGAUAUCCCUUAUUUGUCUAUCCUGAAAGGUUACUCAAUGCAGGCCAAUCGUUGAUGGUUACGAACAACAGUGCUCGUAGAUUAAAGAUCUCUUGUCUAUCCUCAUCCCACACACGUACACCUUCUUCCUUCCAGAGCUGUAAAAGGUCAUCAACCAACGGCCUUAGGUACACGUCAAUGUCGUUGCCGGGUUGUUUUAGGCCUUGGAUAAGCGCCGGCAUCAUAAUGAACUUCCGCUUCAUGCACAGCCAAGGAGGAAGGUUGAACAUACAAAGGGUCACAGGCCAAGUACUAUGACCACUACUCAACUCACCGAAUGGAUUGAAUCCAUCAGUGCUUAAACCAAACCUUAUGUUCCUUGCUUCACUUUCAAAGUCUGGGAAUGUUCUAUCAAUUGAUCUCCACUGUGCCCCAUCUGCGGGGUGUCUCAGCAUCUCAUCUUCCUUACGGUCUUCUUUGUGCCAUCGCAUCAACUUAGCAUUCGCCUUGUUCCUGAACAAGCGCUUCAAGCGUGGUAUUAUAGGGAAAUACCACAUCACCUUCACGGGAACUCUCUUCUUGGGAGACUGCCCCUCGACAUCACCAGGAUCAUCUCGCCUGAUCUUAUACCGCAGGGCUUCGCAGACGGGACAAGCAUCCAAUUCCUCGUAUUCAUCACCACGAUAGAGGAUACAGUCAUUAGGGCAUGCGUGUAUCUUCUGAACAUCCAAUCCGAGAGGGCAAAUAAUCUGUUUAGCUUCAUAUGUUGUGGACGGUAAUUCAUUAUUCUCGGGGAGAAUCUUCUUGACAAUUCUCAACAUCCCCUGAAAUGCCUUAUCGGACACACCAUUUUUUGCCUUCCAUUGCACAAAUUCUAGUGUCGUACCUAGUUUUUUAUGGCCCUGCUGGCAACCUGGGUACAACAAUUUUUGGUGAUCAUCUAUCAUGCGCUGCAACUUUGCUGCUUCCUUCUCAGUUUCGCAAUCUCUGUAUGCAUCUCGUAUCACCUGACCAAGGUCAUCAGUAGGGUCAUUUUCUGCAAACUCAUCUUCAUCAGCCUCGCCCAUUGUAGUACCUGCAAAAGCUUGGCCUGCAACCCAGUCCGGAAUGGUGUCAUCUUCCUCCUCCUCCUCGCCAUCUUCCAUUACAACCCCUAGUUCACCGUGCUUGGUCCAAACCAAAUAGUUAGGCAUGAAACCGUAUUUAAACAAGUGGCUGUGAAUAGUCCCCCAGGAAUUCUUUGAAUACUCCUUCCUGUUAUUGCAUUGGAAGCAUGGACAACAUACGAACCCAUUCUCUGGCUUGUUCGCUUUUGCCACUUCGAGAAAAUAAUGCAAGCCAUCAAUAAACACCUUGCUCCGCCUGUCUGCAUUAUACAUCCAAUGCCGGUCCAUCUGCAUCGUAUUACGCACGAAAAUGGAUUACACUUGACAAUGGAUUACGCGUGAAAAUCGAUUAAAGAUCCAAACAACAUGGUACAAUACAACAACAUGAAGAUCCAAAUACACAUAUUUAAAUUAAAGUCCCAAACACUGCAUAAGUUGUUCAACUUGAAGACCGUGAUCAUCUCGUGAGGAUGUCCUCAACUGGGCGGCACCGCACUUCGUCAUUAAAGAGGUUAGAUGCUACGGAAAAGGGGACACGGUCACAAUGUCCGUAUCCACUCUUUCUCGUAGAAUCGAACCUCCUUCUUGACAUACGUUGCUGCUCGGCGGAGAACAUCCUCGGCGAGAUGAACACGGUAUGCAAGUUCAACAAGUAGCAGAAGUCAUCUAUGUACAAAAAUUCUUUCCUUACCACUACAGAAGUUGUUGAACUUGAAGACCGUGUUCAUUUCGCGAGGAUGUCCUCAGCUAGGCGGCACCGCACUUCGUCAUGAAAGAGGUUAGAUGCUACGGAAAAGGGGACACGGUCACGAUGUCCGUAUCCACUCUUUCUCGUAGAAUCGAACCUCCUUCUUGACAUACGUUGCUGCUCGGCGGAGAACAUUCUCGCCGAAAUGAACACGGUAUGCAAGUUCAACAAGUAUAUGGAUUUAAAAAACCAUAUUGAAUUUGAUAAGAUAAACCGUCUAGACAAGGUAGCAUCAUUUUUAAACCACUGAAAUAAUGCAUACUAUAUAUGACACAUCAAUCUCCCUCACAUUCUAGCUCAAAAUACCUCUCCAUUUUUCUACUUCAUCAUCACAUUGUAGCAAAUAAUCUUUCCAUCUCCAAAGCAUAAAUCAAAGCAUAACACGAGGAUGAAGUAGCAAACCUUCGCAGCACUUGUUGGCUGAGUCAAAUUCCCACGAAAAUGAGGGAAAAAAGUUCGGGCAGCACCUCCCUUGCUUGGGCACCACCGGAGAGUAGGUGAAGCUCAGCUCUCUAUCAAUGUGCUGGACUGCUCGGGCUGGAGGAAGAAGAAAGUCUCUGUCUCGGGGUAUAGUGGGGGAUGAGUUUUAAUCCCGGUUAAAAACUCCAACCGAGACAAAAGGAAACACCUUUUGUCCCGGUUGGAAAGUUAGUCCCGGUUGGAGGAUCCAACCGGGAUAAAAGGGACACCCUUUUAUCCCGGUUGGAGGCACCAACCGGGACUAACCCUUUUAUCCCGGUUGGUGCCUCCAACCGGGAUAAAAGGGUGUCCCUUUUAUCCCGGUUGGAUCCUCCAACCGGGAUAAAAGGGUCCCGCCACCGACGGCCCCCGCUAGCCGUUGCAACCGGGACUAAAGGGGGGCCUUUAGUCCCGGUUGCAAUUACCAACCGGGACUAAUGCUCCCCUCCAAAUUCCCGCACCCCGGCGCACCCCCUUUUGUCCCGGGCCACUUUUAAACCGGGAUAAAAGGGGGUUGAUCGAAAGUCAGUUCUCUACUAGUGAUCGGUGACUCCGCUCGAGGAGAAUUGUUUAUAUCAAGCAUAGAAAUGACAACGUUGGAAGUGGAGGAUAUAUUUUGCUCUGUUGAUUUAAUUGCCGCGAGAGUGGCGGACAAGUUCUAAUGAUUGAAGAUCAGAAGCGUCUCGUGGAGAAUUUUUCAGAAGCUAUAUUUGGAAUUAUUAUAUUAUCUCAGGAGCAGAUUAAAUAUAACGCCACCACUGAAAGCCGAUGAGAUGUAUCUAUCGGCUACAUGCUAUUCAGAUGAAUUUGAUGACAGAUUAAUUACGGAGGAGACCGACCGAUACAACAUUAUGGUUUCUUACUGCUGAUCUGUUAUGAAAGAGGAUGUGAGAAGCUGAUAAUCAAGCAACAAUAAAAUGAUAUACACGCAGGGCAUUAAAUAUUGAGUUAAUGAUUGGGAGUACUACCAUUAUCUUAUGAAAAGUCCAUCGGCUAACCAAACAGCGUCAGCCGAUGGAAGCAAAUAGUGUCAGCCGAUAGAAUGAUGUUAUAUAAGUAUAUAUAUCGGCCUCCGAGCCAAUGGGAAGUAGGAACUAUCAGCCGAUGCACACAUCCAUGGACAUAGCCGAUAAGACAUUGUAUCGGCUGCUUGGCAAAUAAAAAUAGCAUCGGCUGACCGCUUGUUAAAAUAUUAUCGGCCGAUUGCUUGGCAAAAUAGUAUUGGCUGACUGCUUGGCAAAUAAAAAAAUAAUAGGUUGACCAAAAAAGGAUAGCAUUGCCUGAUUGCUUGGCAAAUAAAAAAAAUUACGUCGGCUGAUUGGUUCCAGCAAAAUAGUAUCGGCUGCUUGUUGAUCAGAAAAAGCCGAUACUGUUACAGCUCCCGCAACUGUGCUUUGCUGUCAUCGGCUGGGUUGUUCGUGCUCCAUCUGCAAAUAUUUGUCCCGGCUAGAAAGUAUCGUACGUGCAUUGGGAUUCGGCAGUACAAAUCACGUACACGCGUAUGGUCUGCUCAGAAGCUGUCUGUUCGACGAAGUUCCAGGCCAAUGGUGGAGACUUGAUGACCAUGGUGACCUGCAUUAAUCAACAUGAAGUAUGUAUCGGCUGUUCGGUGAUUGGUAGCAAAUCAGCUUUCUCAUAGCCGGUGACAUAUGGGGCAAGAAAUAUCAGGCUUAAAAAAGGACAGUACGAUCAAUGUCGAAAGUUGUAGCCGACGGUUCUAUUAUUGUGCAGUCGAUGGAACAUAGAAGAUGCAUCUGAAUGAGCAAAAGGAAGGGAGCCGAUAGAAGGGAAUUUAAGUUGCAUGAGAUCCAAUUAAAUUAAGAUGACGAGAGGUGUUGACAUCGAAUCAUCGGACUUCUACGAAGUCUUCAUACUCCGAAACUAGGGAGUCUGUGUUAACACCAAAAUUUAGAAAUAUGCUGAUGCAAAAAAAUAAUGAAAUCUCCUAAAUAAGGCUCAAGAAAGAAAAAGCAAGAAAAGAAAAUCAAUCGCACGCGGCAAGAAUUGAAUAAAAUAUUCUAGAGGUAGAGUUGGUUAGGAUAAGCUUAAUUAGGGAUAGAGUUGGAUUAGUUAGAGAUAGUAUUUUGAUUAGAAAAGAUUGUGUACAUGACUUGUACGUGGUGCGUCAGAGGCCAUCCGCCCUAUAAAUAUAAGGGGUCGUGGCCAUUGUAAUUAUCAUCACACGAUCAAUAUACAACAUAUUUAUCUUUUACCUUUUCGGCUUCACGCCAUUGUAUUAGGAGUAGGAGUAAUGUAGCUUCCUGACGAGUUCCUUCUAGCAAGCUGUGCUGCAUUGACCUUGAUCUCUGGCGAGCUGCAAAGUUCCGUCACCAGGUGUUCUAGGCUUUAACCACCGGGCGCAUCGCUUGUGGUUUCGUCUAGUUUCAUCUACAAGGUAUCGAAUAUCAUGGAUCUUUAACUUACGCAUCGCUUCUGUCUUGAUCUACGGUAUUCACCAGUUAUCCUGCCUUGGUUAAGUCUGCAUCGGCUGAUAUUUAUCUGUUCUAUCAUCUUGCCGUUCAGUUUGCUUUAAUUAGCUUUAGAUCGGUUCAUUAUAGAUGAUAGAUCGCUUAAUAGCCUGUUGCAUCUUAAUCUUGGUUACCCCUUCAAGUGCUGUUGGGAUUAAGUUUCGUUAUGAUUGGAUUCAUCGGCUGGUGGGGUUGGUGGGGUUCAGAUUAACAUCGUGCUAAAUAUUUCUAGACUGCAACUACUGGACGCAUCGCUGUGGUUUCAUCUAGAGAUAUUGGUAGAGAGUUUAGUUUAGAUCUCAUCGGUUCGUGGCUCUAGCUAUGGUGGAGCGGCAGCUGAAUAGCAUCCUGUUUUCUAUCGGUCGCCUGGCCGAUAGUUAUUGCAAAAUAUAUUAAAUCGCCUGGAUGGCCGAUGGAUCACUCACGCUCGUCAAGGAUCAUAUCGGCCUGAUCGGCCAGUUGCCUCGGACUUCAAAGGAUUAUUUUCACCUUGUCAGUUGAAUGGUCAAACUGGCUGGCACGCCCGCGCACACCAUGCGCGCCGAUUUGGAUUUUGCACUGGAGUUAAGUAGAUCUUCCAGGUCCUCAUGUGGUGACGAAGGAUCCACCACCAUCAGGAUUUUGCGUCAACACAUUUUGGCACGCCCAGUGGGACACGGUUAUAAGGUUCAUAUUUUUAUUCAUAUAAAAAAGCAUCUUCGGCAUCAUCGGCCAAAUGAGUGUUCAUCGGCUUGUUAGAAUUAAUUCAAUAUAAUAUUUCAGCAAAAGCAGCCGAUGUAGCGAUUGGAGAUAAGGCCAAGUCAAGUCUGCGUGUAUACGCAUGUUCCGGUGGGAUCAUCUUCAUAAAUGCCAAUGACGAUUAGAGAUGAAGCUUCCUGCAAAAUGAUUGGCUACUCUAUCCGGGAAGAAUUGCUUUUUUAUGAGGCAUAUAUAGAGACCCAUGUUGCAAUUAGGGGGCGUAUUCGUGCAUUGGCUGAAAUAAAAAAAUGCAUCGGCAUAUUGAAAAUUGCAUCGGCCGAUUGACAGUCGUAUCAGCUGAUUGGAAAAAUAAAAAGGGAUCAGGGAUCCGCCGAUUGAAAAUUGCAUCAGCUGAUGGAAAAUGAGAGCAACAGUUACAAUAUUUUUUUUAAAAGAAAGCAAGUAUCGGCAAGCAGUAGCCGAUGGAUUUGUAUUUCAGCCAAUGGGGUUUUUGUUUCAGCUGAUAGUACUACUGGCUGAUGGCAAGUCCAAUGGAGUUAAAAUUGCAUUGACUGAUUGAAAUAAAAAUUAAGUAUCGGCUAAUUUAUGGCCAAGUAGCAUCUGCUGAUUUGUUGCAAAGUAGUUUCGGCUGAUUUAUGGCAAAAUAGAAUCGGCCGAUUUAUGGCAAAGAAGCCAAUAGACAAAAGCAUCGGCUGGUAGAGAAGCCGAUUGAGCAAGCAUCUGUUGAUGAGCUAUGUAUGGGAAAAAGUAUUGGCUGCUUAAACAAUUGACAAAAGCCAAUUGGUCAGACUGAGAAGCCAACUGGGAAAGCAUCGAUCGAUGGAUUGCGUAUGGGAGAGAGUAUCGGUUGAAGUCUUUAGUAUUGACUGCUAGAUAUUUGAGCAAGCGUCGGCCGAUUGACUGCUUGGUAAAAAAAACAUCGGGCUGAUUGCUUGGUUAAUAAAAAAAUUGCAUCGUUCAAGCAAAGAUUGCAUGGGCUGAUUGGUUCAAGCAGAAUAGUAUCGGUUGCUUAUAGAAUAUAUCGGAUAUUAAUUUCGAAGCAUGAAAAUAUUCAUACUCCGAAACUGGGGGGCCUGUGUUGACAACAAAAGCUUGCUGGUUACUGCAUCAAGUUUUGGUGUCAACAUACUUGAUCUUUUGUUUCCAUUGCCAGCGGAUUCAUCGGCUCAGAGUGGGAUCAAGACAUCAAGCUGAUGGAGUUCUUUAUAUUUCAAGAGGAGUCAUGGAGUUCUUUAUAUUUCAAGAGUAGUCGAUGGUGCUUUGAAUAUUGCAACCAGACGUCAUUGGCUCUAAAGAUACCGAAUCAUCGGACUUCUAUGAUCAGUUUCGGAACAUGAAGCCUUCAUACUACGAAACUGGGGGCCUGUGUUGACACCGAAUCAUCGGACUUCUAUAAUUAGUUUUGGAACAUGAAGCCUUCAUACUUCGAAACUGGGGGGCCUAUGUUAACACCAAAAUUUAGAAAUGUGCUCUGAAAGGAAGGUAUCGGCCGAUGAUGCAAAAAAAUAAUGAAAUCUCCUAAAUAAGGCUGAAGAAAGAAAAGCAAGAAAAGGAAAUCAACGCACACGGCAAGAAUUGAAUAAAAUAUUCUGGAGAUAGAGUUGGUUAGGAUAAGCUUGAUUAGAGAUAGAGUUGGAUUAUUUAGAGAUAGUAUUUUGAUUAGAAAAAAUUGUGUACAUGACUUGCCUUGUACGUGGUGCGUCAGAGGCCAUCCGCCCUAUAAAUAUAAGGGGUCGUGGCCAUUGUAAUUAUCAUCACACGAUCAAUAUACAACAUAUUUAUCUUUUACCUUUUCGGCUUCACGCCAUUGCAUUAGGAGUAGGAGUAAUGUAGCUUCUCGACGAGUUCCUUCUAGCAAGCUGGGCUGCAUCGACUUCGAUCUUCGGUGAGCUGCAAGUUCCGUCACCAGGUGUUCUAGGCUUUAACCACUGGGCGCAUCGCUGUGGUUUCGUCUAGUUUCUUCUACCAGUUACCGAGUAUCUUGGAUCUUUGACUUAUGGCACAUCGCUUCUGUCUCGAUCUACGGUAUUCACCAGUUAUCCCGCCUUGAUUAAGCUUGCAUCGGCUGAUAUGUAUCUGUUCUUUCAUCUUGCCGUUCAAUUUGCUUUAGUUAGCUUUAGAUCGGUUCAUCAUAGACAAUAGAUCAUUUAAUAGCAUGUUGCAUCUUGAUCUUAGCUAUCCUUCGAGUGUUGUUGGGAGUAAGUUCCGUUGUGAUUGGAUCCAUCAGCUAGCAGGGUUUAGAUUAACAUCCUGCUAAAUAUUUCUAGACUGCAACUACCGGGCACAUUGUUGUGGUUUCACCUAGAGAUAUUGGUGGUGACGUUAGUUUAGAUCUCAUCGGCUUGUGGCUCUAGCUAUGGCGGGGCAACAACUCAACAACAUCCUGUUUUCAAUCGACCGUCUAACUGAUAGCUAUUGUAAAUUAUAUUAAAUCGGCUGGAUGACGAUGAAUCACUCACAUUCAUCAAGGUACUGGAAUCGGCUUCACAGCCGAUAUAUUUGUCAUGAUUUAUUUUGUUGCACCAUUAUCGCUACUGUGCUAGGAUUAUAUCGGCCUAAUCGGCCAGUUUCCUCGGACUUCACAACGACUAUCAUCUCCUUGUCAGUUGAAUGGUCAAACUGACUGGCAUGCCCGCGCACACCACACGUGCCGAUUUGGAUUCUGCACUGGAAUUAAGCAGAUCUCCCAGGUUCUCAUGUGCUGAUGCAGGGUCCACCACCGCCAGGAUUUUGUGUCAACACCUUGUAAUCUUCCUUUGAUUUCCUCAAUGAUUCGAAGACAAUAACCUUGCUUGUAUAAAUGAUAAUUAUAAGGAGAACCUAGUGGAAACUGUGUAUUCAUAUUAGAACUACCUAUGGUUAAUUAGGUUAGGAAAGGAAAUCGAAAAUAGACCGUACCCACACUUACUUAAAGUUGUUGGGCAGUAGUAUGUAAUGCUUGUAAUUCUGUUACUCCAAGAAUUUGUAUAUGUGGUCCAAUGUAGACUUUGGUUGAUCCCAUAUCUGUUGUUGGUUAAAUAAGUGUUUCUGGCCAUUUCUAGCCGUUAGAACCGGAACUAAAGGGGGCUCUUUAGUACGGGUUGAUAUUACUAACCGGGACUGAAGAGCCCCCAUUACAGUUGGUUUUUGGACGCGGAACUAACAACUCCUUUAGUCCCGAGUCCAAAAACGACUGAGAUAGAAGAUCCUUUCUCUACCGUGAAUAUUGCCAGAAAGAAUUGAAAGAGACCGCUUGCUAAAAAUAUGUCAUAGAUGUAGACCAAGCUACCAAGGAGGUAGACCAAACAUGAUACACACCAUGCGUACCUUGCUGUGCAGACUAUGCAUAGACAAGACACCCGACCACAUGUUGGCCUCGGUCACAUCAAAAGAAUCAUGUAGGCCACCAAUAAACUACUUGAAGCGUCAUUCCGUAUCGUAUAUGCAUUGCCGGUUCAUCUGCAUUACAUUACAUAAAGUAGUAUUAACUAUUUGAAUAAAAUGAACCAAUUUAAAAGUAAUGUGUUGUACUCUACUAUAGAAAGCCCUAUCACUGUCGGAUCCAGAAACAUCAUUGUUGAUGGUCGUUAAGUACCAAGACGGUCAAUAUUCUCAAGAAUAAUGGAGAAUUGGCAUUUCUUACACACAUAUUUGGUUUUGAACAAUGUAGUCCCACAUGUCCUUGGAGAUUAUUUGGGUGUGGGUGAAAUAAUACAAAAAGAAGGAGAAAACACACUCCCAUGGUGAAGAAACAAAACUCCGACCAAUGAGAGAUAGCCACAGGGGCAGCACACGGAUCCAUGGGCCCACAAACCGCAUCAAACUGUCUUACCAAGGCGGGUAGCACCCACAACCAUGAUUAGGACCCACCUGGAUGUCUACCAAGAAGAAGGUUGUGAGUGGGGCCAGGAGGGGUUCGGCUGAAUCAUCUCUAGCUCCCCUCAUCCCCAGCUGGUGCAUGGCGGUGGUUAAUGGUGUCCCUACAUCGGUUAGAGGAGAUUCCCCCAAAUAUUCCUCCUGUAAACCACCUGUAUGGACCUAUACAUAGAGGGGUGUGCUCUCCAAUCCAACACACACCACAAGUUUAAUCACUCUCUCCCUCUUUAAUUUCCAUGUUUAUGGAGUUAGCCUAGAGUAGCUCUGCUCAAGGUUCCAAGUCCACUUGGAGUUAAGCAUAUGUCUCUUGUAUCGUUAUUUCCCAGAUUGACUUUAUGCUUAGUUCUUAUAUGCAUGAGUUAGUCUAAUAGCCUUGCUCUAUUGAUAUGCUCGGCUUAUAUGCUCGUAUGCUAGUCAUAUACCCUUGCUGCCGUAGUAUAGGCUUAUAUGCUCUCAUGUGUGCCUUUAGACCUUGCUACAAUAUAUACUUGUUGUGUAUACAUACCAUGUAUAGGCUAGUCGAUCUAUACCAUGGCAUUGGUUCAAUAGCCAUGUUUUUGGUGGCUCCAACCCUAGUCAGAAUAGCUCGGGACAGCUAGAGUGUUGUUAAAAAUGCAAGAGUGAUGGUUGGGUUGUUUAGCAUCGUUGGAUAUGGGUUUUCCCCACGGGUUUCUAAGAGUAGGCGGCAGCUAGUGACAGCCCUGUCCGUCCUUCGUAAUCCCCCCACAUUCAAGUACGCCAUAGAAGUUCAUAAAUUAGCAGUAACUACACCGGCAGACCGGUAGGGUAUUGUCUCCCUAUAGUACCUUGGUGCAUAGAACUAGGUCAUAUACACUGUGUGUCUAUGUUUACGCUGAUAUGAUCUGUGCAGUAUAUAGCAUGUAUAUAUGAACCUAGAGCUAACUCCUAGUCCAUUCUCCGUAGCUUAGUUAUCUUGAGAUGAUUCUUCUGUGUGUGUAACACUACCCAUCUUAUCAUUAUCCUUAAUCCUGUCUUGUGUAAUAUAUCUACUCAUCCUAUGAUAUACUCAUAUGCAUAGUAAACUAUUUUGACCUACCCGCCUUCCUUUGGGAAAUACGAUACCCUGGAAUAAUCCUAGGUGAAAUGCUACAACGGUAUAUCCAUGUGCUUACGGAAUUAUUCCUGACCAUUAAAUAUACCAACAAUCAUCACUAUCUAUUUUGGGCAUCGUUAGUGAAGGGUCGGCAGUGAUGGGCAUCCCCUUCACCAAUGGAGCUGGAACUGGCGGUGAUGGCCAUUAAAAAAAAUGGGACCCCACCCAGCGUACCCCGCAACCCGGCCGGCUGCGCCUCCCAUCAUCCCCGCCGGUCGCCCUUCCUCUUUGCCGGCCGAGCAUGGUUCCGGCCCUCGUCCCUACCGCCUCGCCUCCAUCGCGACCCCCUGCCGAUGCCCUCAUGCCUGGCCCCCCUCGUCUGGCCGGCCACCCUCCCGAUGCAUCCACCGGGGCCCUCGCACCACCAACCACCCUAGCCUAGAGAGAGAGAGGAGGAGGGAGGUGAGGCCACGCACCUCGUCCUACAACGCCGCUGUUGCUCCUCGGCCCACCGCGCCUCACCCCACACCACAGCCGCACCUCGCCAUCUUACCGGCCGCGACGCCCCAUCUCACCGGCCACCGUUCCUCACCCCCACAUCGGUCAUCGCUGCUCCUUGCCCUACUGCUGCUCUUUGCAGCCGCGAAUGAGGGGCGAGUGGAGGGGGAGGGGCGGGGCAGGAGGAGGGCAAGAUCCGGGAGGAAGGGAGAGAUUUUGGGAGGUGGAGAUGGAAGGAUAUGGCGGAAGGUAGAGAUCUAGAGGGAGAGAGCGGGGGGGAGAGGGGGGCAUGUGGGGAGAGAGCGCAUGUGGGGUGGGGCCGGGCUGGUGGGAUGGAAGGUAGAGGGGCCGGAGGGCGCAGUGCAUUCAACUGGAUUAAGUAAAUAUUUCGGAUUCGAGACCCCAGCUUUAUUAUCACCGCUGGUCCGUAGUACCAUUCGGUGCCGGCUCAUAAUUUAAUUUGAACCGGUGGUGAUGUUUUAUUAUCACUGCUGGUUUCAAUUUUCACCAUCGGAUCAUAUAAAAAUCCGGCGGUUAAAAAUCCGCUGGUUUCGAUGAAAACCGACAGUGAUAGGACGACUGUGAUAGUCUCUUCUCUAGUAGUAGUAUAUUAGUACCGGCUGCCGGAUGGUGUUGCCGACGAGUACUUCUCCAGGGGCGAUUCAGUACUGAUGUUAGCAAAGCUUGUUCUCUAUGAAUUUGGGGAUGGAAAGCUAGUUCUCUAGUUGUGAUUUGUUACAUAUAUCUCUAUGAUAGUCUAGAAAUUGCAUGUCCUUCGUUGACAUAGUUGAAGCUGCUUCAAGAAUUUACUUCGUGCAGUCGUGCAGCAUAUUGGAUUAUCACCUAGACAGGAUACAUAGGUGAAGCAUUGCAUGUGAUUGUGGCUGAUAAUUAUGCAGGACGCUGUUGCAAUCAACCAUCAAGAAGACUGGAGCGAUGGGGUUGCCUCAUCAACAAUUUUUAUAUAUGGCUGCAGUAUUAUUAAGCCCACGUCAAUAAUUUUUUCUCCGCAGCAUAUAUAUGGUUACUCAGUUCGCUGGAGUAUCGCUGUGGAAAAACAUACGUACUGCGCCUCGGAACUAACUGGCAUUCAGGCCAUCAACGACCAGAUAUUUGGGACAACCAACAAAUAGUAGGUGGUUCCUAAGUUGUAGUCGUAUGUACUAAUGCGCCUCGAUGGGGUUUUCUUCAGAUAUUUUAUUGCCGUUCAAUGAACAAGCAGAUACAUAACCUGUGCAGAAAAUUCCAUCUCCACGCAUGCCACUGCACCAACAAGAUCCUCAGUCGACGAUGAUGGCUCAGCCUGUUCCUUCUGCCACCAAAUCCUCAAUCUUCCCUCCAGCAACGGAGAAUGCACCUUUAGUACCUUCAGUAUCAGAUGUUGCAAUCGGUACCGUGAAACCGAGACUAAAAUCCUUACUUUGCAGGGGGCAAAACAAUCUUGCAAAUAUAUAUUUUGAAUUCCAACAAAAUUUAAGAAAUGUUAAAGAUGACUAGCUGAGAGUCAACAGACAAGAUAUGAUAUUAGGAAUGUGGGAGGAUGAAUGCAUUUGUACAGGGGUCAUACUAUUUCCAGACUCUUCUAUAUUUCCAUAUGACUACCUACUUCAAUGUCACGCGAGCCAUUCAAAAAGAUACAUGGUACACUUGUAUGUCUAAUCCAUUAUUGAUUAUUUCCUCUUGUCAUCUCUUACAAGUAUUUCUCCAUACUAUAGAAACGUGCAACACAUUUUUAGGAUAUGGACACGCAUGAUUAAUAUGCUUGGACUAGUAUACAGGUCAUCUUUGGAUGAGUACAUAUGAAUGCCAGGGAGGGACUGAUGGAUAUAAGGAAAAGGGACCAUGCAUAAAUAAUGACAUAUGUAACAUGGCAAUCUUCAUUGCCAUGCAACUCCUAUCAACAAUCAUGGAAUACAUACUACUGCUCCAGAAGGGUGGUGUGCAAAUUUAUUUUACCUCGCGGUGAAAAUCUCCAGAGCAGGCCUGAAGUUAAAAUAAGAGGCAGUCACUAUCGAUCAUGACAGUCUCGAAACUGUACAGCACUAUGCUAGUCCUAGUCCUCAUGUCGUUCGUGCUGUCGUGUAGCAUGAUGGAUUAUUAACUGGGCAGGACACGGAGAUGGCUAGCGAUGACAGAGGAUGACGUACAUGAUAUUCACCUCUGAAAUGAAGCGUAGGCUAAUGAAGCACAAUUGCAUGUGAGUGUGGCAGAUAUUUAUACAGGACAGUGAUUGCAAUAAUCGACCAUCGAGAUCGAAGACAGGGGCGAUGGGGUUGCCUCAUCAAUAAUUCGCGCAACCAGACAAGCUGCAGACUCAAUAUGGUACGAAGCUAUUUGGUCAGCCCACAUGCUCUGAUAUAACAUUGGCAUCUGCUGAUCUACAGUAUAUAUGACCAGAAAUAUUGUGCCACCUCAAUAAUUUUCCGAAGUAUCGUUGGGGAAGCACCUACAUACUAUGCCUCGGAACUAACUGACAUGUUGGCCUAGGCGGUCCAGGCCGAUUGGACAGGCUCUUCCUUAUGGCUCCUCACGUCCCCUUCGUUUCCGAGUAAUCUCAGGUGUUCUGAAGUUUUCUUUUCACUUGCAUGUGGACCUUAUAUAUCAAUAGCUUCGGGAUAAGAAUGCCUCUUGAUAACCUUCCAAAUCGUCGCUUGAUUCACUUUGAUUCCAAAAUCAUCUUGCCAUAUCUUUUGAGACUUAGGCCCUAAGGCAUCAUGGAGGAUUGCUCGCCAAGAAUGAGCACCAUUGGGCUCCUGAGGACCCUAGGCCGAUCAGCCUGGGCUCUAUAGGUUGAUUGGCCCAGGCCCUCUCUGGGCCCAUUGGCCUUCAUCUUUCUCUGAGUCGACGCUUAUUGAGGGCUUUGUCCAAUUAUAGUCCAUUAUAGUCUAAUUUCCAAAAAAAUAGAAUAUCCUCCAAAAUACAAUACAUUUGUGAAAACAGCCCAAUUAUUAGGUAUGAUCAAUAGUCUAGGUAUUAAAUUAAUGUUAUUAUUUAAGAUAAAUAGGGAUAAAGGGUGUCAUUAAUAACGAGCACCAACCAGCGUACCAGCUGUUAACACUAACCGAUGCUAAUAUGUACCCUUUAGUACCGGCUAUUUCACCCGGUACUAAACGAGACAAGAGCACCCUAACAGAGGUUAAUACCAUCCAUUUCAUGAGUAAAAUACUAUGAUUCAAAAAUAAUUCAAAUCCCUUAAGACAAUACCUAUCAAAUGAGUAGAUUGUAAAUAGAGUAAAACAAUGUCCUAAUGAAACGGAACACUUCUGGUUCGUGUAGAGCACAAUAUAGAAAACAGUAGGGUAGCUGUACGAUUGACACGUGGUCCAUUAAUUAUUGAGCCAUCACUAUGGACAUGUCUUCAUGAGUAGUGUACUAGUCAUGACACAUGGUAUGUAGUAGGUGGAGGUAUUGAGUUAGCCAUGCCAUGAGCACUUAGUUACAACAAACACUUUGCCAUUAUCGAGCAUCCCAAAUCACUACAAAAUCCAUAGUUUACCAUAUACUACAAAAUCUGAGUUAAAAUAAGAGCAUACACGGAAGAGUCCGAAUGCACCGGUUUAGGACCAGGCACAUUGAAUUACUAGAAAAAGUUAUCGGACAAGGUUUUGGGUAACCGCAUGAAAAAUGUUGGAUUUUACUGAACACUUAGUUACAAUUACCAUGCCGUGAGCACUUAGUCACCACAAACAUUUAACCACUUUAGAUCAUCCUGAAUCCCUAUAAAUUCUGUACCUUACACCGUACCAUGAAAACGACAAGAACAGAGACAGAUGCAGUGAAAAUCUCCAGAGCAGGCCUGAAAUUAAAAUAAGAGGAGGCAGUCUCUAUCGAUCAGGACACGGAGAUUGCUAGCCAUGACAGAGGAAGACAUGAUAUGAUAUUCACCUCUGAAAUGCAGCGUAGACUAAUGAAGCACAAUUGCAUGUGAGUGUGGCAGAUAAUGGACCAUCGAGACCAUCGAAUGGUAUGAAGCAUGAUUAUCACCUAGACAUGAUAUCCUAGACAGGACGGUGAAUUGUAAAAAGAGUAAUCUUGAUCAAAGAAUGUCCUAAUGAAACGGAACAUUUUUGGUACGUGUAGAGCACAAUAUAGAAAACAGUAGAGUAGUUGUACGAUUGAAACUGCAUCCAUCCACGUGGUCCAUGAAUUGUUGAGCCAACACUGUGGACAUGUCUUCAUGAACACCAUCUAGUGAGGACAGGAUGCAGAAAAAUAUAAAAACAUGUCAUAGGGAGGCAGACCAAUCUUGCAAGGAGGUAAACGAAACGUGAUACACGAUCUGCCUACCUUGUCGUGGAUACCCCAAGAGAAGAUGUCAUAGAGGUGCAGACCAAGCUAGCAAGGAGGUAGAUGAAACGUGAUACACGGCCUGCCUACCUUGCCGUGGAUAUUAGCCCUGAUAUCAUUCUAUUGUUCAAGGAAUAACACUCAAUGCUGCUGCUGCUGCUGACCUGGCUCCAUAAAGUUGUAUUCCUCUAGCCGCUUGCACUAACUUUAUCUGAAGUAUUAUUCUCUCUGCCCUGAUAUCUGAAGUAUUAUUCUCUCUGCUGACUUUGCUGAAGAACCUACAUAAUAUGUCUUGGAACUAACUGACAUUGAUUCACAGACAAACUCUACAAGGUGCUGUUGUUGCCAUAUUUUAGAGCAUCCCAAAGGACUAUAAAUAAUAUAGUUUACCAUAUACCGUAUACCAUUAUAUGUUAGCUAAAAUAAGAGCAUAACAUGUCGCAGGAGUCCAAAAGCACCGGUUGAGGACCAGGUACAUUGAAUUACUAGAAAAAGACAGGGGGCAAUGUUUAGGUAGCCACAUGAAAAACAUUUGAAUUUACUGUUCCAUGAACACUUAGUUACCAUGCCGGGAGCACCUAGUUAACACUAAAAUUUAGCCACUUUAGAUCAUCCCGAAACACCCUCAAUAGCGACAAAUUUUGAUUUAAAUGCCGUCACCAAUGAUCCUCAAUAGCGACGUGUUUAGGUUUAAAUCCCGUCACUAAUAACCCUUGGUAGUGACGUGUUUUGGUUUAAAUCUCAUCCCACUGAUCCUCAAUAGUGACGUGUUUUUAGCAACACACGCUAUGAAUGACUUGUCAUUGGUGACAUGUUAAAUGCGUUAUCUCAAUGGCAAAUCAUUGGUGACGUGUUUUAAAAAAACAUGUCACUGUGAGAGUUAUUGGUGAAGGGUAAUUAAAAUGCAUCACUAAUUUUGUAGCAUUAGUUAUGAUAUAAUUUAGUAACGCAAAAAUCUACCAUCAGUAAUGAGGUUUAGAGCCGUCGCUAAUGUGGGUUUCUUACGAGUGAUGCAAGCUCUACAAGGUGCUGUUGUUGCCAUUUUAAAGCAUCCCAAGUGACUACAAGUUAAUAGCAUAGUUUACCAUAUACCAUAAAAAUAUUAGUUACAAUAAGCACAUCCGCAUGUGGAAGAGUCCGAAUGCACCAGUUGAGGACUAAACACAUUGAAUUACUAGAACCAAAUGUAAGACAAAGAAAGGGGUCAAGGUUUGGGUAACCGCAUUAAAAACAUUGGAUUUUACUGUACCAUGAACACUUAGUUACCAUUACCAUACCUUGAGCAUCUAGUUACCACAAACAAUAAUUUAGCCACUUUAGAGGUUCCAGAAUCACUAUAAAUAAUAUACCAACACCGUACCAUGAAAACAUCAAGAAGAGAGACGGGUACAUGGACCACCAUCAAGUGAGUAGUGACAGCACGCACAAGAAUACCCGGAACCUGUUAGCUUGUCUGUAGUGAUCUGUUUUCUUCCCCAUAAAAUCCAUGAGUAUUGCCACAAAUAAUGAAAGAGGCUGACCAAGCUAACAAGGAGGUAGAGAAAACGUGAUACACGUAGGUUUCAUUCAAGACAUCCAUGUAAGAUUCAUUCAAAACAUUCAUGGAAAUUUCUUGUAAGUUUUCAUGUAAAUUUCAUUCAAGACAUUUGUUAGAGGUGUUGUAUAUAUAUACCUUAACGUACAUAUAUCUAUGAUUUCAUGGUUGUUAGUGAUGGCAGAUGAGGAGCAUGCAAGGUAUUUAAUGGAGCAGAUUAUUGCUAGUGGUAGUGGCUCCAACCUGCCCGUAACGUACACCAACGAAGAGAGCAGCCAGGCGGACAUGUUCCUCAACAUAUCCGGUGAUGGCAAUGAAGAGCCCGAGCAAAACCUUGCCGUGACGGAAGGUUCCAGUGAGGUAUAUAUCAUUUCCAUUGUUUUACCCCAUCUAUAAUUUCAUAUUCAUUAUUACUAUGUACUAAUUAAUGGAUCUUGAACCAUUAGCCCUCUAGAUCAACGAACCGAAAUAAGCCCCGAGGUCUUACAAAGAUAAUGCAGGGAAGGCAUCACAUCACGGAAGUCACAGAAGAGGGCACAUCAGUUGCUCCCGAACAUGUGGCAAGAAAGUACGUGAGUCAAACCGGGCAAUGUGCCCAUCAGCAUUAGGGAAUGAAAGGGCAAUAGAAAUGAUCUAUACACGCCCCCGGAUACACAAAAGGAUAUGCUGUGGGCAAAUAUCAAGAAACACUUCACAUUUCCCAAAGGAUAUGUUGAAAAAGAUGUGAAAGCGUGGAUGCUGAAGAAGAUGGUCACCGAAUUCCAGACAUUCAAGAAGAUGUUGGAUGUCAACUUCAUCAAGAAGGGUCGAACUCCGGGUUUCGAUGAGUGGCCAAAGUUAAGGGACCACUGGGAGUCAUUUGUCAAAUACAAGACGAGUGAAGGUGGUGCGAGUAAGGUUCGCAUCAAUGUUGCCAAUGCUAGCAAGGAGUACCAUCAUCAUCUAGGGCGACGUGGUUACAGCACUGCAAUUCCCAGAUGGCGCAAGAUGGAACAAGACCUGAUCGAUCGGGGUAUCGUACCAGCAACUCCUGACUGGCCUGAUCGAUUGAAAAAUUGGUAUUAUGCUCAUGAAGGCAAUCUGAGCCAACAGGAUGCGACAUUGGUCUUCAAUAAAACAAUACGUCAGAAGGCCGGAAGGCUUAUUAGGAACAUUGAAAAUGCUAAAUCUGGGAGGUUCAAGGUGGAUAGAGAGAAUGAUGAGCUCACAUUGGCCCUUGGGACUAUCAUCUCUAGCAUUUCCAGCUCCAGGACUGUCGUCACCACCGGGACCGUCGCUUCUUGCUCGAUCACAGUCUCCAUCUCCAGCACAUCCUGGUGGUGCGAACGAUGACGACAACAACACCCCUCCCUGCCCACCAUCGCCGGGACUAAGACCCGCAUCGAGUAAGGAACCUGCAGCACCACUGAAGAAGUCGCGACCACCGCCUUCCAAGCCAAGUCAGCAAAAGAAGAAAGCAGAGAAGCCUAAGCCCACUGAGAAGCCAACAACCGAUAUGACCGAUGCGGAAAGAUGGAAGGCACUCAAAGAAGAAUGCAGGGAGUGGUUCUGUAAAAAGAACCAAAGAAAGAAAAGGAAAGCAGAUGGAGCCACCGCCAGUAGAUCCAAGAAAAUUAUAAUUUUUUAUUAAGAUGUCAAAAGGAGCCAAGAAGAUGAUUCCACAACUAUCAAACUACGACCGGGCGUUAGUCAAGGCUGAUGAGAGUUAAAAAAGGAAAGGAAAGUCAUCUUCAAGUGGUACUGUCCCCCACCUCGAGGAUCUACCAGAAAAAGACGCUAAAAAGAUAGUAGCAAUGCUCUUGGAUCAACAAACACAUAUAUCAUGAGAUUCAUGCAAGAAACAGGUAUGUGCCUUGCUGAAUGUCUAGGGCAAGUUGAUAUGCUAGCUCUAGAGCCAUUUGUACCGAAAUGGACCUUUGAGCUAGGCAAGCCUCUAGUAAGGCCUGAGCUGGUACAGAAGCUAUCCACAUAGCUAUAUGAAUACCAUGAAUGGUACAUGAAGCAGUCUGCCAAUGAGAGGAAAAUGUUCGGUCUCAGGGAAAAACUGAUAUUUUUUUUCGGCGAAGGCGAGAAAGUCUUGUGAUGGAAUUCAAGGAUAUAUAUGAAGUGUACCAUCAGGAUGCCCUUGAUGUCUCUCUCAUCAGCGCCUAGGUUAUGUAAGUGUAUGUUUAUCUAUACGUAAUUUUUGUCUCAUAUCAUUAUUUCUUUUGCGUGCGUCACCCUACUAACUUCGUCUUCCAUUUUAUGUAGGAUGCUAAUUCAGAUGUGCCGCAUAGAAGCGCACUUCCAUGUUGGCUUCAUGGAUCCAUCCCUAGUUAACCAAAAGCAGAUACGGAAGUAGCUAGAGAAAAUGUUGGAGGUGGUAUACAACUUCCUGGACAAACAAAACUAUAGAAUAGGGGCAAUAUGUGAAGGUCUUGUAGGAUUCCUAGUGGACAAGGUGAUAAAUCCAUAAGGAGAAUAUCAUUACAACGGACGAGCAUUAGACACACUGAGCAACACCUAGACGGGAGGAUCCUAGGAAUGACCUAGACAGAUUUUGGUAUAAAUAGUAAUUGUGUAAAUACUAGUUUGAUUUGUAUAGGAAUAUACUAAGAAUUGUAUAUAUAGUAAUUGUACAAAUACUAGUUUGAUUUGUAUAAAUACUAGAUUGAUUUUAUUAUAAAAAAGUUUUAAGUCGUACGUGCAUGCGCCUACAAAGGCGCGUAUGCCCUUUAAUCCCGGUUGGAAAAACAAACCGGUACUAAAGGGGCUCGUGCCGCACCUGGCAUGACCGCCCCUUUAGUCCCGGUUGAACGACCCAGGACCAAAGAUCUGCCCCGUCUCAUAAAUUUUAUCCUGGAUGCUUUUUAGAGAGAUUUGAGGCCUAUCAACCAAGACUAAUAUCGAGUUUUCUACCAGUGGAACUAACUAACGUUCACAUGCUUCUGACAUUCACCUGCCAUUUGGUGUAGACAAGGGCACCCUAACAUAUGGUUAAUAUUAUUCAUGAAAGAAAAUCCUUUGAUUCAAAAAUACUUCAAACCUAAUAAUACAAUACUUCUCACAUCUGAAAAAUAUGAGAUGGCCCGACAGUAUUCUAACCGACGCAAUAAUAUUUUGAGGGCAGCACUACUACAGCGACCCUCAUUCGUGCCGGUGCUGGAACCCCUAUCACGACCCUGAUACAAAUGAGGGUACAUUAUUGUUGCCAGUGCUAGAAUAGCCACGAAUAACUUGCUAAACAUGCUGUUACACUCACUACUAGAAAAAUAACCUCUCGUCCUGAGGCUUAGUACCGGUCACUUUUUUGCCCAGUACUAAUGUUAGUAUUAGUACCGGAUCCAAAUUUGGGAUCCCCCAGAGACCCUUUAGUACCAGGUGGAGUCUCCACCCGAUACUAAAGGCUUUGUUACCGGGUGAAGGAUCCUCCCGGUACUAAUGGGGGAUUUUUAGUACCGGGUGGGAACCCCACCCGAAACUAAAAUCUCCCAUGCGGACCCCUCCCCCCCCCACGCGUUGCCUCUGUCCUCCCUCCUCCUCCUCUGAGUAGUUAUCCCUUCCUCAUCCCUCCUCCUCCUCCCACACGUGGGGUGAGGUGAGGUGGCAGUAGCAACGACAGGUGGUGUGGCGGGUCACGGCGGGCCGGAUGCGGAGCCGCAACGGUGGUCGGCGGGAUGGGGUGGGGCAGAGCGGCAUGGCAGGGCGGAGCGGUGGGACGGGGCCGAGGUGGAGGUGCCGGGCGGAGGUGGAGUGGCAGGACAGAGGCGGAGGCGGAGCGGCGGGUCGGCGAGCGGGUGGAGGGUGGCGACGAUGGGGCGGGCAGAGGCAGAGGGGUGGGUGGAGGGGCGGCGUGGUCCACCGGCGGGGGGGGGGGGGGGAGAGGGAGGCGUGGGGGGUGCGGUUGGUGAUUUCAAUUUUCUUUUAAUUUUUUAACACCCUUCAGUACCAGUUAUUUUAACCGGGUCUAAAGGGAUCCCCUCUUGUACCGAAUUGCUAGUACAGGAUGCACAACCGGUACUAGAGGGAGGUUCCCAACCGGUACUAGAGCCACUUUCCCCGGUAGUGACUUUUUCACCGAUUAGAAUAUGUUAUUAUUCUAAUCAGCUUUUGUUGAUCUCCUGUAUAAUUUAGUACCUAAUUCUACUAGCAAUUGUUAACGCCGACACGUAUUGGGUAUAGUCCUAACAGUGUCUAACUAGGGCACUACAUUUGUUAACCUAUAACUACUGGUAUCGAUUAGCCCUGGUUAGAAUACUGUCAAGGCAGCCAGAAAAAAUUGUUUGCCAAUUCUGCUAUCCAUCAGAACCAUGACUAGUACCGUAUUGUAAUAAACGAAUUACACAAAUAACUGAUGCACACAAAGGAAUAUGCACUCGCAUGUGCUAGACGUUCGUAGCAACAACAAAUUACUCUCAUCAUCAAUUAAACAUAAUAGAUUAAACAUUAACUGAACAUAGUUCAACACGUACAUCAACAAGACAAAGCAGUUUAAACAUCAACUGAACAGAACUGAAAACAUACAUCAACUGAUGAUAAACUUCGACAUGAACACAACACAUAAACAUCAACUUCAAUAGAACUUAAUAGAGCAUAUUAAACAACAACAUCGACAAAACAUAUAAACCCAGCUCAGUAGCUCAAGCAUCAACUAAAACUGCUGAAUUAAAAUAACAUAACAUAGUGUAGUUCAUCAUGAUGAUAACUAACAGAACCGAAAAGCCUAACUGGGUAAAAGAGCAAUUCAUUCAUAAUGCUUCAGCACUUACAUCACCGGAGUAUGCAACUGGCGGCGUCGCUUACGUCACUAUCACCGCGCUUGGCGAGUAAAGGAGGAGGAGGUGGCAUAGUAAUCGAAGAGGAGGCCGCUGUCGGCGGGUUUAGACUACGUGGAGGUGUGGGUAGGGUUAAGGUGGCUCUGUGGACGAGUAUAUAUAAGAGGUCUGGGCUUGUUAGAAUAAGAUAACAUUCUAACUGGCCAAAUUCGGAUCCGGUUAGAAUAAAUUGUUCUAACCAGCCUUAAUUCGAGGUGGUAAGGAUAAGUUAACAUUCUAAUCAGCUCUAUUUGGAGCCCGAUUGAAUGUUCUUGUUAUUCAAAAAAAGAUCAAGUUCAUCAAUUUUUUUCUAGAAAAACAUCAAGAUAAUUUAAACACGAUAUAUAACAAGAUUAAUACAUUUAAAAAUUGUUUUCUCCAAUAAUUAACGAUAUUUAACAAAUUCAAAAAAAAUCCAAAUUAACAGAACAUAAUAACCAAUUGUUCGAAAAAAUCAAAAUAGUCCACACAGUAUCAUAUUACAAAUUCAGAAAAAUAUCAAAAUAAUCCCUGAUCCACUCGAUACCGUCGUAGAACUUUGAAAUACUGAGCUUCUUGAUUCAUCUGAGGUCCACGUACUCGUCUCAGUAACACUAGUGGUGGCCAUGCAUCUUGUAGAUGUCUUCUAAUGAAUUAAGCUUGACAUACAAGGUCGUGCCUUCCACUCCUUGAGGAUUGCUUAUGACGUUUCUGCAAAUAACGAAGCAUUGCUUUCUCCAACAUGAUUAUUUUCUUCGGCUUAUCCCAAGGGACAACUAUGGUUUUCCCCUUGCCGGAAGAGGAACGAUGAUCGCCCCCACCAUCGCCACUUCCUCCAGUAGCAGAAGCCAUCUAUGUACAAAAAUUCAUACCUUAGCACUACAGAACUUGUUGAACUUGAAGACUGUGAUCAUUAGGCGAGCAUGUUCUCAACUAGGUGGCACCGCACUUCGUCAUGGAAGAGCUUCGAUUUUACAAAAAAGGGGACAUGAUCUUCCAUGAUGUCCGUAUCCGCUCUUUCUCGUAGAAUCAGAGCUCCUCCUUGAUAUACGAUGCUGCUCGGCGGAGAACAUGCUCACCGAGAUGAACACGGUAUGCAAGUUCAACAAGUAUGGAUUUGAAAAACCAUAUUGAAUUUGACAAGACAAACUAUCUAGAUAAGCGUAGCAUCAUUCUUAAACCACUGCAAGGAUACGUACUAUAUAUGACACAUCAAUCUCCCUCACAUUCUAGCUCAAAAUACCUCUCCAUUUUCUACUUCACAUUCUAGCAAAUAAACUAUCUAUCUCCAUUCUACACAUCAAGUUGUUUUAACUAAUACAAAUCGUAUAUAACAAGCAAAAUAUCCAUCACAUUCUAGCUCAAAAACAUGUAUAAAUACAAAUCCUCUUCAUUCUCCCUUUUUCUAACAAACAAACUCAUUUUUCUCCCUCUCCAAAGCAUAAAUUAAAGCGUAACAUGAGGAUGAGGUAGCAAACCUUCACAACACAUUGGAUGAGUGAAAUUCCCACGAAAAUGAGGGAAAAAAAUUCGGGCAGCACCUCCCUUGCUUCGGCACCUCUAGAGAGUAGGUGAAGCUCAGUUCUCUAUUUUUGUGGUGGACUAGCUUGGGCUGGAGGAGGAAGAAAGGCCUCUGUCUUGGUAUAUAAUGGGGGAUGAGUUUUUAUCCCAGUUAAAAGCUCCAACUGAGACAAAACGGCCAAUCUUUUGUCCCGGUUGGAGCCUCCAACCGGGACAAAAGGGGCACGCCAUCGACGCACGGGAGCUAGCCGUUACAACCGGGACUAAAGGGGGGCCUUUAGUCCCGGUUGCAAAUACCAACUGGGAUUAAAUCUCCCCUCCAUUUUUGCCUACCGUGGUGCGCCCCCUUUUAUCCCGGGUCAACUUUAAACCGGGACAAAAGGGGGCGUCGAAGAUCAGUUCUCUACUAGUGACCCCUCCCCACCUAUCUCUCUCCCUCCAUGCUCCUCGAUCUGUGCCUCCCCUCCCCUCCCCUUCCACUCGCCCCUCACCGACGGUAAGGAGCAGCGGCGGGGCGAGGUGAGGUGGCAGCAGCAAUGGCAGGUGGUGGGUCGCAGCGGAGCGGCUACGGUAGGCAGCCGGACGGGGCAGAGCGGCGGGGCGGGGUGGAGGCGGAGGUGGCGGGUAGAGGCGGAGCGGCGAGGCGGAGGCGGAGGUGGAGGCGGAGUGGUGGGACGGCAGGGCCGGGCGACUAGUAUAGGUGGGCGGGCGGAGGGCGGCGACGGCGGAGCGGGCGGAGGCAGAGGGGCAGCGGGGGCCGCCGGCGGGGGGUGUGAUCGGGGAUUUCAAUUUUUUUUAAAUUUUUUAACACCUUUUAGUCCAACUGGUUCUAAAGGGACCCCUCUAGUAUCAAAAUUGCUAGUACCGGUUGCACAACCGGUACCAGAAGUGGUUCCUAACUGGUACUAGAGCCACUUUCCCUGGUAGAGACUUUUUUACCAGUUAGAAUAUGUUAUUAUUUUAAUCAGCUUUCGCUGAUCGCCAGUAUGAUUUAGUACCUAAUUUUACUGGCGAUUGUUACCGCUGACACGGAUUGGGUAUAGUCCUAACAGUGUAUAACUACGGCACUACAUUUGUUAACCUAUAACUACUUGUAUCGAUUAGCCCUGGUUAGAAUACUGUCAAGGCAGCCAGAAUUUUUUUUUUUUGCCAAUUCUGCUAUCCAUGAGAUCCAUGACUAGUACCGCAAUGUAAUGAAUGAACUGCACAAAUAACUGAUGCACACAAAAGAAUAUGCACUUGCACGCUAGACGUUCGUAACAACAAAUUACUCUCAUCACCAAUUGAACAUAAUAGAUUAAACAUUAACUGAACAGAAUUCAACACGUACAUCAACACGACAAAGCAGUUUAAACAUCAACUGAACUGAACUGAACACAUACAUCAACUGAUGAUAAUUAUCGACAUCAACAGAACACAUGAACAUCAACAUCAAUAGAACUUAAUAGAGCAUAUUAAACAACAACAUCGACAAAACAUAUAAACCCAGCUUAGUAGCUCAGGCAUCAACUAAAAUUGCUGAAUUAAAACAACACAACGUAGUGUAGUUCAUAAUGCUUCGGCGCUUACACCACUGGCGGGUCGCUUACGUCGGCAUCACCGCGCUGGCUGAACCUCCGACACCCCCACCACGGCAAACGGAGGUGAUGGCGGAAGGUGAGGCAACGACAGUAGCUGGUGAGCUCCCGCUCCAAUGUCUCGCGAGUAAAGGAGGAGGAGGUGGCAUGGGAAUCGAAGAGGACACUAGUAGAGAAACGACUUUCCAUCCACCCCCUUUUGUCCCGGUUUAAAGUUGGCCCGGGACAAAAGGUUCACCAACCGGGAUUAAAACUCGGUCACUGGUGGGGGGCUCACCAACCGGGACCUUUUAUCCCGGUUGCAAAGGCUAGUGGGAAAAAAUUACUCUGAGAGGCCUUUUAUCCCGGUUUGAAACACCAACCGGGAUAAAAGACCCCCCCUUUUAUCCCGGUUGGUAACACCAACCGAGAUAAAAGGGUCAAGAGCCUUUUAUCCCGGUUGGAAACACCAACCGGGAUAAAAGGGGGUCUUUUAUCCCGGUUGGUGUUUCCAACCGGGAUAAAAGGGUCCCCCACGAGUUAAUACAAAAGGAUAGUAUCCCCUACAUAGUCAGAUGUGGUGUGUAGGUGGGAUGGUAAGGAAGCUACGCGCGAGGCUGGAGGUUGUGGGUUCGAAUCCCACGAACCGCGCACGCGCAUAUUUCGCGUGAAAAAUCGCGUGACUUGCGACUUGCGCGUGUGGGGGGGCCUCCUGGGAGCUCGGGAAUUUUUUUUUUUUGCAGCGCCGGCCGUGGGUGAACCCUUUUAUCCCGGUUGGUAUUACCAACCGGGAUAAAAGGGGGUCUUUUGUCCCGGUUGAGUGACCCGGGAUAAAAGACCCCCCCUUUUGUCCCGGUUGGUUUAUCCCGGAUGCAUUUUCGAGAUCUUUGCACCCUACCAACCGGGAUAAUAGGUGAGUUCUCCACCAGUGGGAGGCCGCCGCUGGCGGGUUUAGACUACGUGGAUGUGUGGGUAGGGUUAAGGUGACGGUGUGGACUAGUAUAUAUAAGAUGUCUGGGCUUGUUAGAAUAAGAUAACAUUCUAACCGGCCAAAUUCGGACCCGGUUAGAUUAAAUUGAUAUUCUAACCGGUCCUAUUUCUAGGUGGUAAGAAUAAGUUAACAUUGUAAUUGGCUUUAUUUGGAACCCGAUUGAAUCUUCUUGUUAUUCAAAAAAACAUCAAGUUCAUCAAUUUUAAUCCAGGAAAACAUCAAGAUAAUUUAAGCACGAUAUAUAACAAGAUUAAUACAUUUAAAAAUUGUUUGAUUCACAAAUUAACGAUAUUUAACAAAUUCAAAAAAUCCAAAUUAACAGAACACAAUAACCAAUUGUUCGAAAAAAUCAAAAUAAUCCACACACAUUAAUAUAUUACAAAUUCAGAAAUAUAUCAAAAUAAUCCCCGAUCCACUCGAUACCGUCAUAGGACUUUUAAAUACUGAGCUUCUUGAUUCGUCUGAGGUCCACCUACUCGUCUCAGUAACACUAGUGAUGGCCAUGCAUCUUGUAGAUGUCUUCUAACGAAUCAAGCUUGACGUACAAGGUCAUGCCUUCCGCUCCUUGAGGAUAACCAUCUUUGGUGAUCUUGAAAUGGCAGACGGUGGAUGUGCCAAAGGUACGUGACGAUCCUUCUAAAUGUAUGCCACCACAACUUCCGUCUGAUCGCCAUGGGUGACACCAAGAAGAGCUACCAUGCGGCAAGGGACGAACAAUUUAUCAAUUAGUGCCGCUGUCCAUCGCCAUCAUCUAAUCCAGCCAUAUCUUGUUGUAUAUUUAAGUAUAGAAAUUAAGAUUUAAAAAUAAACAGAAUAAAUUGAGAUCGAUUAUGUAUGUAUAUCAGAACAUUAGCUUUUGGAAAAAGGGCUUCGAUGGAAGAGAGGCACGGGGCAUAGAGACAACAACGAGUGACAAUAUGUCAGAAGAAUACCCGAUCACAAUUAUUGGCACACACAGCCGAUAUUUACAGUAGUCAAUACCCCUGGUAAAUAACCACACCAUCAAGAGUAAAUAGUGACAAUAUGCAGUAUAUACACGACAUAGCCUUGGCUGCCGUGGAAGCACCAGAAGGGAGACAAAUAACAGGGACCACUACAUCAAGUAGAUAGUGACAAUAUGCAAAAGAAUACCCGCGCCUGUUAGCAUGUGUGAACUGACCACACCACGAAACGUGAUACACGGCAAGCGUACCAAGGCCUUGCUGUGCAGACUAUGCAUGGACAACACAUGGUACCUGACCGCUUUUGGCCUCAGACACAUCAAAAACUGCAUCGUUCCACGUUGUACAUCCAUUGCUAGUUUAUCUAUAUUACAUAAUAUAUUAUUAGCUAUUUGAAUAGAAUGAACCAAUUAAAAAAUUACGUUGUAUUUUAGUACCGGCUGCAGGAUGGUGUUACCAACCAGUACUAAUUGGCCUGUAGGAGUGAUGGUUAUUAGACUUGGUACUGUUGUUAGCAUCAUUAACCUAAUUGUGCGCCGUAUGAAUUUGGGGAUGCAAAGCUAGCUCUCUAUGAAUGUGAGGGAUGGAAAGCUAGUUCUCUAGUAGUAAUUAUAUAUAUGACAGUCAGGAAAUCGAACACUAUGCUGCUACGAGUCACCAUCAUUUCCUUCAUUGACAAUCUGACAUAGGUGAAGCUGCUUCAAUAAUUUCCUUCGCGCAGUCGUGGAGCUUAUUGGAUUAUCACCAGGACGGGACACGGAAAUGGCCAGCAAUGAAGCUGAUUGCCGUCUGAGGAAGACUACAUACUUACCUAUGAAAUGAAGCGAUUGCAUAGACUAAUGAAGCAUUGCAUAUUUGCAUGUGAGUGUGGCAGAUAAUUCUGCAGGACAUGAUUGCAAUCCACGCACCAUCGAGAAGACUGGGGCGAUGGGGUUGCCUCAUCAAUAAUCACGUGGAUGCAUGCAUGCAUGUUCCCUCAACCGGACAAGGGUCUGAUAUAUGGCUAUAGUAUUACUGAGCCCACAUCAAUAAUUUCCGCUGGUGUAUCGUGUGGGAAGAAUCAACAUACUACACCUCUGAGUUCUUGGAACUAACUGACGUUCACAUGCAACCUCCACAAGGUGCUGUAUGCUUUUGACAUUCACCUGCCAGUUCGUGUAGAGGACACCCUAACGUAUGGUUAAUAUUAUCCAUUUCAUGAGUAAAAUACUGUGAUUCAAAAAUACUUCAAAUCCCUUGAGACAAUACUUCUCACUUGACUAACCACUAACCAACCCCGAAACCCUAACUCAACUCCGAACCCUAACCCCUAACGGCAUAACCACUCCGUUUUGCCGGCGAGAUGGAGGAACUGGCUGGAAGGUAGAGAGGGCAGCGGUCCAGGGUUGAAAACGACGGGCGAGCGCAGUAACAUGUGGAGGAGGAAGUGCCACGUAUUCGUUCACCGCUAUUGGGCAGCGACACACGACACGCCCAAUAAGAUCUUCGCACGGUAGAAGGACGUCAUGUAUUCAAUAAUGUUAUUGGUCCCCCAUGUGCAGAAGGGCGCGCGCGUAUGGAAUAACAAGUAGGGACACUGCAACUAAUCUACUCUGCUCGUCCAGUCCCUAGCCUAUAAAUAGAUGCCAUGCUAGCUCUUGUUGUGCUCACAAUUAAUCCGAUUACACACGAGCUUCUCUCCCUGGCCAAGACACAACCAUAGUAUGAUGAAGAACAUGGCACUAGCCGGCAAUGGUAUGAAGAAGUUAAUCCUCGCUGUUCUCUUACUGUGUCUAGUUAUAGGGCAGAUACAAGUGGAAGCUAAGAGCUGCUGCCCAUCCACCACUGCAAGAAAUGUCUACAAUACCUGCCGUUUCACGGGUACAUCCCGUCCAACGUGUGCAAAACUGUCAGGCUGCAAAAUUAUCAGCGGGAACAAAUGCAAGCCCCCUAACGACCACCUCACCCUUGACCCGGACACUGGUAAAUAAUAAAUUUAUCUCACUUGAUUUCUUCGUGAUUUGAGUCGUUAAUGUAUUUUCCAUCUGAUGAAACGUAUUGGUUUUGCAUUGAAGAGGAAGUUAAUGUGCUUAACUUCUGCAAGUUGGGGUGUGCGUCGUCUGUGUGCAACAACAUCAACGCUGGUAAGCAACUUUUGCUCAGACAGAGAAAACAAUAAUCAUUAAUUAGCGGCAGCUAGAAUCCUAUAAUCUAAUAUAUAUAUAUAUAUAUAAUUUUAUCAGCUCUGGGAAAUGAAGAGGCGAACGAUGCCGUUGAGAGUUGCGACCAAGCCUGCUCUAGCUUCUGCAGCGUGCAUGUUGGCAGCGCCACCGUGGUUGCUUAAGCAAAUGCAUCCAACUAGAUCGUCCUUGUGCUGAAUAAUUGGAUAUCGUAUCCACUUAAAGCUGCCUUGUGUAGUACGUCUUUGUGUCUCUCUUUAUAUUCCAAUAAGGUCGGUGAUCUUGAUGCCACACACUCAGAUGUGUGUUCAUCUCCAGAUACUACUCCAUGCUACCUGCCCUUUGUGUUUUGUUCAAUAACUGGGUAUCAUAUCCCAGCCAGUAUGCCGUCUGUUUUGUGUUUGUUUCCUUCUAGUUCCAAAGGGGUCAUCAUGAUGUUACCUUCUUUCAAUAUGGUGCUUUGCAUGACUACUGUUGUAUGGUACCAUCUUGUGGCCAAUAAGUACAUCUUAUCCUAUGACCUUUGCUAUGACCCUUUGCAAAUAAGUAGAAGAUUGUUAUAAGCGUCAAUACUCCGUAUAAAUUGAUCGCUGCUGUGAGUUCCCUUUCAGCUUAUCGUAGGCAUACAUUAUUGCUAGCACGGUAAAGCCAACCAACACGAAUGAUGAAGUAAACGUAGCGGUACUUCUGUAUACCAACACCCUUACUUAAAUGUACCGGUGUCAUUCCCUACUGGCACAUAUAUUCUUAUAUGCUAGCCAGCUUGUAAAAUUAACCAAUUAAAAUAAUUAUUUCAAGAUAGAAAUAACUUAUCGGUUUCUGGAAGCAUGUGUAAUGUGAAUUCAAGGACUCGACGGAAGUUGAAUCACUUCAUCUAUAUUGCUUUCAGUAUUUUGGGUAACUAAAUUUAACAUUUGCACAUACAAAUGUUAAAGUACAAAUGUUAAAUCUAGUUACCCAAGCAGAAUAUGAAGAUAGUUUAUAGUAUAUAUAUACUAUAUAAAUCUAGUUAACAUUUAGUCUAAAUGUUAAAUCUAGUUACCUAAAAUCCUGAAAGCAAAAUGUAUAAAUAUAUAUCUUUUAAGGCAGUAUAAGCUUCGAUUCCUAUUGCUGCUCUGUUAAAUCUCAUCUUUCGUUGUGGCCCAACACUCUAGUAUGCAUGUUGCACCAAGCUUCUUUGAGCCGCUCUGCCCUCUGAUUUUGCUGCGUAGGGGAAUCUUUAUCAGGUUGGGCUACUUCCAGUUGUGCGAUGUAAAGAUUCGUAUUUUCUAGAAGGUAGACAAAAAACUCGCGUUCUCUUAAGGCAACAACCGGAAGAUUCUGCAGCGCACAGGGCAUACCAUUAUUGUAGAAACGACCUUUAGUACCGAUCUCCAACCCCCUUUAAAACUGGUUUUGCAACCGGUACCGUUAUGUCGGUCCUUUAGUACCAGAUCAAAUAAGUACCGGUUGGUAACCAGUAUCAACUUGUUUUGCGGCCAAAAAAAUAAAGAAAAAAACAGUCAGAAGGCUCGCGCACACGCGCAUCACAUGAAAUAUGCGUGUGCGGGGUCCAUGGGAUUCGAACCCAUGAAAUCAAGCUGCGCGCGACCCUUCGUUACCAUCUCACCUACAUAGCGCAUAUGCUUUCCUGAAGUAACCCGUGGAGGAGGCUUUAGUACCGGGUCAUAACACCACCCGGUACUAAAAAUGACUCUUCAGUACCGGGUCAUAACACCACCCGAUACUAGUAUCGGAUGGUGUAAUGACCCGAUACUAAAAGGCCUCUAGGGACCCUCAAAUUUGAACCCGGUACUAAUGCUAAUAUUAGUAGCGGGUCAAAGUGCAGCCAGAACUAAAGCAUGGGAUGAAAGGUCAUAUUUCUAGUAGUGUAUAGUUGUUGUGAAGGACUGACUUGGCUGUCCUCUCUCUUCUCCAUCCCCUUGGUCUUACGCCGCCGCUCGCACGCGAGCCGGUGCCCAACCAGAGGAGUGAGAGCUAGGGGCAGGUUGGGAGGUGGGGAUAGUGACUGGUGGCCAGGGUGAUGGUUGAUCCUGGUGGGGUUAGGGUUUUAGGGUUUUCGAGCUUCCUAUGGUCGGCGAACCUAGAGGAGGAGCUCAACAUCAGCUGCAACCCGCGAUGGUGGUGGUUUGGCCGGCGCCCGAGGCGAGGCAGCGCGGGAGUGCUGCCGGUGGGUUGGUGUUGGCACUCAUUAUUGACAACUAUUUUGUUCAUAAAAUAACACUCAAACUUGCUGCUGCUGCUGCUGCUGCCAUCGCCACCCUAGCCAUAAUAUAAAGGCAAAAUUUGCUAAAGGACAUGCAAAAUGAUGCUAGUUUGCUGGCGGGCAUCGUUGACCUUGUAAUAUGCUACAAGACACUCUAGUUGUGUAUCAAUUUGCUGAAAGACAUUGCUAUGACUAAAAUAAUGUUUCUGGACUGAGUUGGAGAGAGAGAUGGAGUGAAAUGUCUGUUUUGCCCAUGACCCCACUGGUCAGAUCCUUCUUCUUCCACCCUCCUUUGUUCUUUCUUCAACCAUUACCCAGCUCCAGCGUGUUGCAGAUCUACGAGGGUGGCGGCCUGGGGCGAGGGGCAUCGCUCGCCCUUGGAGGAGCGCUGCGAGCGACGGCGCGGGGGCGGCAACAGCGCGUCAGAACCUGACUGUUCGUUAGCUCCUCUCGCUGCUGGGGAAGGAGGGGGAUGGGCCAUGGACGGGGUUCCCUUGAAAACCUCAGCGUCGAGCUCGGGCGGCUACGCGCAGGCAGCACUAGGCUGCUUCACGGGGAGGGGGCGCGGCCAAUCAUUGGCACCCCACUGGUCCAAUGCUGAUGAAGAUGGUGCCAGCGUCGUGUGAGGACAUCUCAUCUCCUCGAGUUCCAUGGCCAGCACAGGUGAGCUGCCGCUACCACAAAACAGAGGUUUCGUGAGAGUCAAAAAACCUUAUGAAAAUAGCUAAAACCAUCAUGAAAAUAAUCCGUGACAUGACACUCUCACGAAAAUCCUCUCACAAAUAUGGUGCCAUGAAAAUACCAUUUUCAUGAGAGUGAACUGUCAUGAUUUUAUUUCGUGAGAGUAUUUCCUAUCAAUGACCUCCACGAAAUACUUUGUGCCACCAGGUCUUCAAGAUCAUUUUCAUGAGAGCUGAACAUCAGGAAAAGUCCGCCACAAAUGUUUUUCUUGGAGCCCCUAACUCUCAUGAAAAUCAUGCGGGCCGCCACGAAAAACAGCAUGACCAAAUGACAAAUUUCAUUUUCAUGUGUUCAUACCGCCAUGAAAAUGGUCAUUUUCAUGAGAGUUGAUGAAACAAAAAAUAGUGCCAUUUUCAUGAGAGUUCAAGCAACCAGGAAAAGACACUAAUAAACAUCCAGAUCCCAUCCAGCACACAUCCAUGCACAUAUAUAACCCACAUAUUGCUCCAGCACACAUCCAUGCAUAUACAAGAUCCAAAUGUUAAUAUAGUAGACAUCCAUGCCUGAACUAGUCUGCCACACAAGUCAUUGAUGCUACAAAUCCUACAAUCGCAGCAUGUGCAUACAAGUCACAGAAUGAGACAAUGUACCCAAAACUAAAAGGUUAGCAUCAACUGUGCUUCAACCAAAGUUGUCAUCCCAACUCUCCUCUUCAUCCAUGCCAUUCUUGUCGUGGCCGUCACUGUCAGUCCCCAUGGCAUUGCCAAUGCUGUGCAUGUCUUGGUAGGAACCUACAUGUGAUGAACUAGUAACCUGCAAAAAGAGCUCAAAGGAUCUUGUUCUCAUAUUGUAGCUGUGAAAUUCUUACAAGUAGUGUUGCAAUCAGUUCACUUUGAACCAAAAGAGCUCAAAGGAUCUUGUCCUAAAAGUUCCUCAUAAAGCUUAUGGGUUUGCUGGUGGAACUGGAAGGGCUUGAUGCAGCAGAUGCCAUUCUGCAAUAGAGAAAAAUUUAGAGAGCAGUACUAGUUAAAAUUGGAUGCAGAAGAUACACAUGAAACUAGUAUUUAUACAAGUCUAUACAAUUAAAAUCUAAGGAGACUUAUCAUCGUUUUCAUGUGUUGUGAAUUAAAAUAAUGAAGGAUACACUGUUAGGUGAAAAUUCAAGAAACAAAAUUUUGCAUAGAGAUAAAGGUCCAACAUUAUUACAAGUUAAGGUAGUUUUAAAUAUCCUUGUAAUCUUCCUUUGGUUUCCUCAACGAUUCGAAGACAAUAACCUUGCUUCUAUCAAUGAUAAUUAUAAGGAGAAUCCAGUGGAAACUGUGUAUUCGUAUUAGAACUACCUAAGGUUAAUUAGGUUAGGAAAGGAAAUUGAAAAUAGAUGGUACCCACACUUACUUAAAGUUGUCGGGCAAUAGUAUGUAAUGCUUGUAAUUCCGUUGCUCCAAGAAUUUGUAUAUGUGGUCCAAUGUAGACUUUGGUUGAUCCCGUAUCUGCUGUUGGUUAAAUAAGUGUUUCUAGCCAUUUCUAGCCAUUAGAACCGGGACUAAAGGGGGCUCUUUAGUACGGGUUGAUAUUACUAACCGGGAUUAAAGAGCCCCCAUUAGAGUUGGUUUUUGGAUGCGGAACUAACAACUCCUUUAGUCCUGAGUACGAAAACAACUGACAUAUUUGUUGCUGGAUGGAAGGUCCUUUCUCUACCGUGAAUAUUGCCAGAAAGAAUUGAAAGAGACUGCUUGCUAAAAAUAUGUCAUAGAUGUAGACCAAGCUACCAAGGAGGUAGACCAAACAUGAUACACACCAUGCGUACCUUGCUGUGCAGACUAUGCAUUGACAAGAUACCCGACCACAUGUUGGCCUCGGUCACAUCAAAAGAAUCAUGUAGGCCACCAAUAAACUACUUGAAGCGGCAUUCCGUAUCGUAUAUGCAUUGCCGGUUCAUCUGCAUUACAUUACAUAAAGCACUAUUAACUAUUUGAAUAAAAUGAACCAAUUUAAAAGUAAUGUGUUGUACUCUACUAUAGAAAGCCCUAUCACUGCCGGAUCCAAAAACAUCAUUGUUAAUGGUGGUUAAGUACCAAAUAUGACGGUCAAUAUUCUCAAGAAUAAUGGAGAAUUAGCAUUUCUUAGACACAUAUUUGGUUUUGAACAAUGUAGUUCCACAUGUCUUUGGAGAUUAUUUGGGUGUGGGUGAAAUAAUACAAAAAUAAGGAGAAAACACACUCCCAUGGCGAAGAAACACAACUCCAACCAAUGAGAGAUAGCCACAGGGGCAGCACACGGAUCCAUGGGCCCACUAACCGCAUCAAACCAUCUUACCAAGGCAGGUAGCACCCACAACCGUCAUUAGGACCCACCUGGAAGUCUACCAAGAAGAAGGUUGCGAGUGGGGCCAGGAGGGGUUCGGUUGAAUCAUCUCUAGCUAGCUCCCCUCAUCCCCAGCUGGUGGGUGGUGGUGGUUGAUGGUGUCCCUACAUCAGUUAGAGGAGAUUCCCCCAAAUAUUCCUCCUGUAAACCACCUCUAUGGACCUAUACAUAGAGGGGUGUGCUCUCCAUUCCAACACACACCACAAGUUGAAUCACUCUCUCCCUCUUUAGUUUCCAAGUUUAUGGAGUUAGGCUAGAGUAGCUCUGCUCAAGGUUCCAAGUCCACUUGGAGUUAAGCAUAUGUCUCUUGUAUCGUUAUUUCCUAAAUUGACUUUAUGCUUAGUUCUUAUAUGCAUGAGUUAGUCUAAUACCCUUGCUAUAUUGAUAUGCUCGGCUUAUAUGCUCGUAUGCUAGUCAUAUACCCUUGCUGUCGUAGUAUAGGCUUAUAUGCUCUCAUGUGUGCCUGUAGACCUUGCUAUAGUAUAUACUUGUUGUGCAUACAUACCAUGUAUAGGCUAGUCGAUCUAUACCAUGGCAUUGGUUCAAUAGCCAUGUUUUUGGUGGCUCCAACCCUAGUCACAAUAGCUCGGGACAGCUGGAGUGUUGUUAAAAAUGCAAGAGUGGUGCUUGGGUUGUUUAGCAUCGUUGGAUAUGGGUUUGCCCCACGGGUUUCUAACGGUAGGCGGCAGCUAGUGACAUCCCUGUCCGUCCUUCGUAAUCCCCCCACAUUCAGGUACGCCAUAAAUGUUCGUAAAUUAGCAGUAACUACGCCGGUACACCUGUAGGGUAUUGUCUCCCUGUAGUACCUUGGUGCAUAGAACUAAGUCCUAUACACUGUGUGUGUAUGUUUACGCUGAUAUGAUCUGUGCAGUAUAUAGGAUGUAUAUAUGAACCUAGAGCUAACUCCUAGUCCGUUCUCCAUAGCUUAGUUAUCUUGAGAUGAUUCUUCUGUAUGUGUAACACUACCCAUCUUAUCAUUAUCCUUGAUCCUGUCUUGUGUAAUAUAUCUACUCAUCCUAUGAUAUACUCAUAUGCAUAGUAAACUAUUUUGACCUACCCGCCUUCCUUUGGGAAAUAUGAUACCUUGGAAUAAUCCUAGGUGAAAUCCUACAACGGUAUAUCCAUGUAAAUGCGGAUUUAUUCAUGACCAUUAAAUAUACCAACAAUCAUCACUGUGAGUUUUGGGCGUCGUUAGUGAAGGGUUGGUAGUGAUGGGCAUCCCCUUCACCAAUGGACCUGGAACCGGCGGUGAUGGCUAUUAUAAAAAAGGGGACACCACCCAGCGUACCCCACGACCCGGCCGGCCGCACCUCCCAUCAUCCCCGCCAGCCGCCCUUCCUUUUCGCCGGCCGAGCAUGGUCCCGGCCUUUGUCCCUACCACCUCGCCUCCACCGCGACCCCCCGCCGAUGCCCUCGUGCCUGGCCCCCCUCAUCUUGCCGGCCACCCUCCCGAUGCGUCCACUGGGGCCCUCGCACCACCAACCGCCCUUGCUUAGAGAGGGAGAGAGAGGAGGGAGGUGAGGCCACGCACCUCGUCCUACACCGCCGCUGUUUCUCCUCGGCCCACCGCGCCUCACCCCACACCACAGCCGCGCCUUGCCAUCUUACCGGCUGUGACGCCUCAUCUCACCGGCCACCGUUCCUCACCCCCACUUCGGUCGUCGCCGCUCCUUGCCCUACCGCUGCUCUUUGCCGCUGCGAAUGAGCGCCGAGUGGAGGAGGAGGGAUGGGGCAGGAGGAGGGCAAGAUCCGGGAGGAAGGGAGAGAUCUCGGGAGGUGGAGAUGGAAGGAUAUGGCGGAAGGGAGAGAUCCAGAGGGAGAGAGCAGGGGAGAGAGGGGGGCGUGUGGGGAGAGAGCGCGUGUGGGGUGGGGCCGGGCUGGUGGGAUGGAAGGGAGAGGGGCUAGACGGGCGCAGUGCAUUCAACUGGAUGAAGUAAAUAUUUUGGAUUCGAGACCCCAGCUUUAUUAUCACCGCUGGUCCGUAGUACCAUCCGGUGCCUGCUCGUAAUUUAAUUUGAAUCUGCGGUGAUGUUUUAUUAUCACCAUCGGAUCAUAUAAAAAUCCGGCGGUUAAAAAUCCGCUGGUUUCGAUGAAAACCGACGGUGAUAGGAUGACUGUGAUAGUCUCUUCUCUAGUAGUGGUAUAUUAGUACCGGCUGCCGGAUGGUGUUGCCGACCAGUACUUCUCCGGGGGCGAUUCAGUACUGCUGUUAGCAAAGCUUGUUCUCUAUGAAUUUGGGGAUGGAAAGCUAGUUCUCUAGUUGUGAUUUGUUACAUAUAUAUCUAUGAUAGUCUAGAAAUUGCAUGUCCUUCGUUGACAUAGUUGAAGCUGCUUCAAGAAUUUACUUCGUGCAGUCGUGCAGCAUAUUGGAUUAUCACCUAGACAGGAUACAUAGGUGAAGCAUUGGAUGUGAUUGUGGCCGAUAAUUAUGCAGGACGCUGUUGCAAUCAACCACCAAGAAGUCUGGAGUGAUGGGGUUGCCUCAUCAAUAAUUUUUAUAUAUGGCUGCAGUAUUAUUAAGCCCACGUCAAUAAUUUUUUGUCCGCACCAUAUAUCGAUGGGGUUGCCUCAUCAAUAAUUCGCGCAACCAGACAAGCUGCAGACUCAAUAUGGUACGAAGCUAGUUGCUCAGCCCACAUGCUCUGAUAUAACAUUGACAUCUGCUGAUCUACAGUAUAUAUGACCAGAAAUAUUGUGCCCACCUCAAUAACUUUCUGAAGUAUCGUGGGGAAGAACCUACGCGUACUAUGCCUCGGAACUAACUGACAUAUCGGCCCAGGCGGUCUAGGCCGAUUGGACUGGCUCUUCCUUGUGGCUUCUCACAUCCCCUUCGUCCCCAAGUAAUUUCAGGUGUUCUGUAGUUUUCUUUUCACUUGCAUCUGAGCCUCCUAUAUCAAUAGCUUCGGGAUAAGAAUGCCUCUUGAUAACCUUCCAAAUCCUCGCUUGAUUCACAUUGAUUCCGAAAUCAUCUUGCCAUAUCUUCAGAGACUUAGGUCCUAAGGCAUCAUGGAGGAUUGCUCGCCAAGAAUGAGCACCAUUGGGCUCCUGAGGACCCUAGGCCGAUCAGCCCGGGCUCUAUAGGUCGAUUGGCCCAGGCCCUCUCUGGGCCUGUUGGCCUUCAUCUUUCUUUGAGUCGACGCUUAUUCAGGGCUUUGUCCAAUUAUAGUCCAUUAUAGUCUAAUUUCCUAAAAAACAGAAUGUCCUCCAAAAUACAAUGCAUAUGUGAAAACAACCCAAUUAUUAGGUAUGAUCAAUAGUUUAGGUAUUAAAUUAAUAUUAUUAUUUAAGAUAAACAGGGGUAAAGGGUGUCAUUAAUAACAAGCGCCAACAAGCGUCCUAGCUGUUCAAUAAAUUUUUUCUAGUACCGAUUGGUAACACUAACCGGUGCUAAUAUGUACCCUUUAUUACCGGUUAUUUUACCAGGUACUAAAGGAGACAAGAGCAUCCUAACAUAAGGUUAAUAUCAUCCAUUUCAUGAGUAAAAUACUAUGAUUCAAAAAUAAUUCAAAUCCCUUAAGACAAUACCUAUCAAAUGAGUAAAUUGUAAAUAGAGUAAUCUUGAUCAAACAAUGUCCUAAUGAAACGGAACACUUCUGGUUCGUGUAGAGCACAAUAUAGAAAACAGUAGGGUAGCUGUAUGAUUGACACGUGGUCCAUUAAUUAUUGAGCCAACACUAUGGACAUGUCUUCAUGAGUAGUGUACUAGUCAUAAUACAUGGUAUGCAGUAGGUGGAGGUAUUGACUUAGCCAUGCUAUGAGCACUUAGUUACAACAAACACUUUGCCAUUAUCGAGCAUCCCAAAUCACUACAAAAUCCAUAGUUUACCAUAUACUACAAAAUCUGAGUUAAAAUAAGAGCAUACACGGAAGAGUCCGAAUGCACGGCACAUUGAAUUACUAGACAAAAUUUAUGGGACAAGGUUUUGGGUAACCGCAUGAAAAAUAUUGGAUUUUACUGAACACUUAGUUACAAUUACCAUGCCCGUGAGCACUUAGUCACCACAAACAUUUAACCACUUUAGAUCAUCCUGAAUCCCUAUAAAUUCUAUACCUUACACCGUACCAUGAAAACGACAAGAACAGAGACAGAUGCGGUGAAAAUCUCCAGAGCAAGCCUGAAAUUAAAAUAAGAGGAGGCAGUCACUAUCGACAGGACACGGAGAUUGCUAGCCAUGACAGAGGAAGACAUGAUAUGAUAUUCACCUCUGAAAUGCAGCGUAGACUAAAUGAAGCACAAUUGCAAGUGAGUGUGGCAGAUAAUGGACCAUCGAGACCAUCGAAUGGUAUGAAGCAUGAUUAUCACCUAGACAUGAUAUCCUAGACAGGACGGUGAAUUGUAAAAAGAGUAAUCUUGAUCAAAGAAUGUCCUAAUGAAACGGAACAUUUUUGGUACGUGUAGAGCAAAAUAUAGAAAACAGUAGAGUAGUUGUACGAUUGAAACUGCAUCCAUCGACGUGGUGCAUGAAUUGUUGAGCCAACACUGUGGACAUGUCUUCAUGAACACCAUCUAGUGAGGACAGCAUGCAGAAAAAUAUAAAAACAUGUCAUAGGGAGGCAGACCAAUCUUGCGAGGUAGACGAAACGUGAUACACGAUCUGCCUACCUUGUCGUGUGGAUACCCCAAGUGAAGAUGUCAUAGAGGUGCAGACCAAGCUAGCAAGGAGGUAGAUGAAACGUGAUACACGGCCUGCCUACCUUGCCGUGGAUAUUAGUCCUGAUAUCAUUCUAUUGUUCAAGGAAUAACACUCAAUGCUGCUGCUGCUGCUGACCUGGCUCCAUAAAGUUAUAUUCCUCUAGCCGCUUGCACUAACUUUAUCUGAAGUAUUAUUCUCUCUGCACUGUAUAUAUGGUUACGGAGUUUGCUGGAGUAUCCGGGGGGAAGAACCUACAUAAUAUGUCUUGGAACUAACUGACAUUGAUUCACAGACAAGGUGCUGUUGUUGACAUGGUACAGUAAAUAAUAUAGUUUACCAUAUACCGUAUACCAUUAUAUGUUAGCUAAAAUAAGAGCAUAACAUGUCGCAGGAGUCCAAAAGCACCGGUUGAGGACCAGGUACAUUAAAUUACUAGAAAACAAAAGGGGACAAGGUUUAGGUAGCCACAUGAAAAACAUUUGAAUUUACUGUACCAUGAACACUUAGUUACCAUGCCGGGAGCACCUAGUUAACACUAACAUUUAGCCACUUUAGAUCAUCCCGAAACACCAAUGACCCUCAAUAGCGACAAAUUUUGGUUUAAAUGCCGUCACCAAUGAUCCUCAAUAGUGACGUGUUUAGGUUUAAAUCCCAUCACUAAUAACCCUUGGUAGUGACGUGUUUUGGUUUAAAUCUCAUCACCACUGAUCCUCACUAGUGACGUGUUUUUAGCAACACACGUUAUGAAUGACUUGUCAUUGGUGACAUGUUAAACGCGUUAUCUCAAUGGCAAAUCAAUGGUGACGUGUUUAAAAAAACAUGUCACUGUGAGAGUUAUUGGUGAAGGGUAAUUAAAAUGCAUCACUAAUUUUGUAGCAUUAGUUAUGAUAUAAUUUUGUAACGCAAAAAUCUACCAUAGUAAUGAGGUUUAGAGCCAUCACUAAUGUGGGUUUCUUAUCGUAGUGAUGCAAGCUCUACAAGGUGCUGUUGUUGCCAUUUUAAAGCAUCCCAAAUGACUACAAGAGUCCGGUUGAGGACUAAACAAAUUGAAUUACUAGAACCAAAUGUAUGUCCAGAACAAAGAAAGGGGUCAAGGUUUGGGUAACCGCAUUAAAAACAUUGAAUUUUACUGUACCAUGAACACUUAGUUACCAUUACCAUGCCUUGAGCACCUAGUUACCACAAACAUUAAUUUAGCCACUUUAGAGGUUCCACAAUCACUAUAAAUAAUAUACCAACACCGUACCAUGAAAACAUCAAGAAGAGAGACGGGUACAUGGACCACCAUCAAGUGAGUAGUGACAGCACGCACAAGAAUACCCGGAACCUUUUAGCUUGUCUGUAGUGAUCUGUUUUCUUCGCCACAAAUAAUGAAAGAGGCUGACCAAGCUAGCAACGAGGUAGAGCAAACGUGAUACACGUAGGUUUCAUUCAAGACAUCCAUGUAAGAUUCAUUCAAAACAUUCAUGGAAAUUUCUUGUAAGUUUUCAUGUAAAUUUCAUUCAAGACAUUUGUUAGAGGUGUUGUAUAUACACUUAACGUACAUAUAUCUAUGAUUUCAUGGUUGUUAGUGAUGGCAGAUGAGGAGCAUGCAAGGUGUUUAAUGGAGCAGAUUAUUGCUAGUGGUAGUGGCUCCAACCUGCCCGUAACGUACACCGACGAAGAGGGCAGCCAGGCGGACAUGUUCCUCAACAUGUCCGGUGAUGGCAAUGAAGAGCCCGAGCAAAACCUUGCCGUGACGGAAGGUUCCAUCGAGGUAUAUAUCAUUUCCAUUAUUUUACCCCAUCUAUAAUUUCAUAUUCAUUAUUACUAUGUGCUAAUUAAUGAAUCUUGAACCGUUAGUCCUCUAGAUCAACGAACCGAAAUAAGCCCCGAGGUCUUACAAAGAUAAUGCAGGGAAGGCUUCACAUCAUGGAAGUCACAGAAGAGGGCACAUCGGUUGCUCCCGAACAUGUGGCAAGAAAGUACGUGAGUCAAACCGGGGCAAUCGUAAGGGACAACAUGCCCAUCAGCAUCAGGGAAUGAAAGAGCAAUAGAAAUGAUCUAUACGCACCCCCGGAUACACAAAAGGAUAUGUUGUGGGCAAAUAUCAAGAAACACUUCACAUUUCCCAAAGGAUAUGUUGAAAAAUAUGUGAAAGCGUGGAUGUUGAAGAAGAUGGCCACCCAAUUCCAGACAUUCAAGAAGAUGUUGGAUGCCAACUUCAUCAAGAAGGGUCGAACUCCGGGUUUCAAUGAGUGGCCAAAGUUAAGGGACCACUGGGAGUCGUUUGUCGAAUACAAGACGAGCGAAGGUGGUGCGAGUAAGGUUCACAUCAAUGUUGCCAAUGCUAGCAAGGAGUACCAUCAUCAUCUAGGGCGACGUGGUUACAGCUCUGCAAUUCCCAGAUGGCGCAAGAUGGAACAAGACCUGAUCGAUCGGGGUAUCGUACCAGCAACUCUUGACUGGAUCGAUUGAAAAAUUGGUAUUAUGCUCAUGAAGGCAAUCUGAGCCAAGAGGAUCCGACAUUGGUCUUCAAUAAAACAAUACGUCAGAAGGUCGGAAGGCUUAUUAGGAACAUUGAAGAUGCUAAAGCUGGGAGGUUCAAGGUGGAUAGAGAGAAUGAUGAACUCACAUUGGCCCUCGGGACUGUCAUCUCUAGCACUUCCAGCUCCAGGACUAUCGUCACCACCGGGACCGUCGCUUCCUGCUCGAUCACAGUCUCCAUCUCCAGCACAUCCUGGUGGUGCGAGCGACGACGACAACAACACCCCUCCCUGCCCACCAUUGCCGGGACUAAGACCCGCAUUGAGUAAGGAACCUGCAACACCACUGAAGAAGUCGCGACCACCACCUUCAAGGCAAGUCAGCAAAAGAAGAAAGCAGAGAAGCCUAAACCCACUGAGAAGCCAGCGACUGAUAUGACCGAUGCGGAAAGAUGGAAGGCACUCAAAGAAGAAUGCAGGGAGUGGUUCAGCGAAGGCGAAGGUGAGAAAGUCGUAUGAAUCGAAUUCAAGGAUAUAUAUGAAGUGAACCAUCAGGAUGCCCUUGAUGUCUCUCUCAUCAGCGCCUAGGUUCUGUAAGUGUAUGUUUAUCUAUAAGUAAAUUUUGGCUCAUAUCAUUAUUUUUUUUGCGUGCGUCACCCUACUAACUUCGUCUUCCAUUUUAUGUAGGAUGCUAAUUCAGACGUGCCGCAUAGAAGCGUACUUCCAUGUUGGAUUCAUGGAUCCAUCCCUAGUUAACCAAAAGCCGAUACGGAAGUAGCUAGAGAAAACGUUGGAGGUGGUGUACAACCUCCUGGACAAACUAAACUACAGAAUAGGGGCAAUAUGUGAGGGUCUUGUAGGAUUCCUAGUGGACGAGGUGAUAAAUCCAUAAGGAGAAUAUCAUUCCAACGGACGAGCAUUAGACACACUGAGCAACACCUAGAUGGGAGGAUCCUAGGAAUGACCUCGACAGAUUUUGGUAUAAAUAGUAAUUGUGUAAAUACUAGUUUGAUUUGUAUAGGAAUAUACUAAGAAUUGUAUAUAUAGUAAUUGUACAAAUACUAGUUUGAUUUGUAUGAAUACUAGAUUGAUUUUAUUAUAAAAAAGUUUUAAGUCGUACGUGCAUGCGCCUACAAAGGCGCGGAUGCCUUUUAAUCCCAGUCGGAAAAACAAACUGGUACUAAAGGGGCUCGUGCCGCACCUGGCAUGACCACCCCUUUAGUCCCGGUUGAACGACCCAGGACUAAAGAUCUCCGCGUCUCAAAAAUUUUAUCUCGGAUGCUUUUUAGAGAGAUUUGAGGCCUAUCAACCAAGACUAAUAUCGAGUUUUCUACCAGUGAAACUAACUAACGUUCACAUGGUUUUGACAUUCACCUGCCAUUUGGUGUAGACAAGGGCACCCUAACAUAUGGUUAAUAUUAUUCUUGAAAGAAAAUCCUUUGAUUCAAAAUACUUCAAACCUAAUAAUACAAUACUUCUCACAUCUGAAAAAUAUGAGACGGCCCGACAGUAUUCUAAUCGACGCAAUAAUAUUUUGAGGGCAGCACUACUACAGCGACCCUCAUUCGUGCCGGUGCUGGGACUCCUAUCACGACCCUGAUACAAAUGAGGGUACAUUAUUGGUGCCAGUGCUAGAACAGCCACGAAUAACUUGCUAAACGUGCUGUUACACUCACUACAGGGACCAAGAAGGUAGAUAAAUUACACGACAUAGCCUUGGUUGCCGUGGAAGCGCCAAGAAGGGAGACAAAUUACAGGGACCACACCAUCAAGUAGAUAGUGACAAUAUGCAAAAGAAUACCCGCGCCUGUUAGCAUGUGAACUGACCACACCACGAAACGUGAUACACGGCAAGCGUACCAAGGCCUUGCUGUGCAGACUAUGCAUGGACAACACAUGGUACCUGACCGCUUUUGGCCUCAGACACAUCGAAAAACUGCAUCGUUCCACGUUGUACAUCCAUUGCUAGUUUAUCUAUAUUACAUAAUAUAUUAUUAGCUAUUUGAAUAGAAUGAACCAAUUAAAAAAUUGCGUUGUAUUUUUAGUACCGGCUGCAGGAUGGUGUUACCAACCAGUACUAAUUGGCCUGUAGGAGUGAUGGUUAUUAGACUUGGUACUGUUGUUAGCAUCAUUAACCUAAUUGUGCGCCGUAUGAAUUUGGGGAUGCAAAGCUAGCUCUCUAUGAAUGUGAGGGAUGGAAAGCUAGUUCUCUAGUAGUAAUUAUAUAUAUGACAGUCAAGAAAUCGAACACUAUGCUGCUACGAGUCACCAUCAUUUCCUUCAUUGACAAUCUGACAUAGGUGAAGCUGCUUCAAUAAUUUCCUUCGCGCAGUCGUGGAGCUUAUUGGAUUAUCACCAGGACGGGACACGGAAAUGGCCAGCAAUGAAGCUGAUUGCCGUCUGAGGAAGACUACAUACUUACCUAUGAAAUGAAGCGAUUGCAUAGACUAAUGAAGCAUUGCAUAUUUGCAUGUGAGUGUGGCAGAUAAUUCUGCAGGACAUGAUUGCAAUCCACGCACCAUCGAGAAGACUGGGGCGAUGGGGUUGCCUCAUCAAUAAUCACGUGGAUGCAUGCAUGCAUGUUCCCGCAACCGGACAAGGGUCUGAUAUAUGGCUAUAGUAUUACUGAGCCCACAUCAAUAAUUUCCACUGGUGUAUCGUGUGGGAAGAAUCAACAUACUACACCUCGAGUUCUUGGAACUAACUGACGUUCACAUGCAACCUCCACAAGGUGCUGUAUGCUUUUGACAUUCACCUGCCAGUUCGUGUAGAGAAGGACACCCUAACGUAUAGUUAAUAUUAUCCAUUUCAUGAGUAAAAUACUGUGAUUCAAAAAUACUUCAAAUCCCUUGAGACAAUACUUCUCACUUGACUAACCACUAACCAACCCCGAAACCCUAACUCAACUCCGAACCCUAACCCCUAACGGCAUAACCACUCCGUUUUGCCGGCGAGAUGGAGGAACUGGCUGGAAGGUAGAGAGGGCAGCGGUCCAGGGUUGAAAACGACGGGCGAGCGCAGUAACAUGUGGAGGAGGAAGUGCCACGUAUUCGUUCACCGCUAUUGGGCAGCGACACACGACACGCCCAAUAAGAUCUUCGCACGGUAGAAGGACGUCAUGUAUUCAAUAAUGUUAUUGGUCCCCCAUGUGCAGAAGGGCGCGCGCGUAUGGAAUAACAAGUAGGGACACUGCAACUAAUCUACUCUGCUCGUCCAGUCCCUAGCCUAUAAAUAGAUGCCAUGCUAGCUCUUGUUGUGCUCACAAUUAAUCCGAUUACACACGAGCUUCUCUCCCUGGCCAAGACACAACCAUAGUAUGAUGAAGAACAUGGCACUAGCCGGCAAUGGUAUGAAGAAGUUAAUCCUCGCUGUUCUCUUACUGUGUCUAGUUAUAGGGCAGAUACAAGUGGAAGCUAAGAGCUGCUGCCCAUCCACCACUGCAAGAAAUGUCUACAAUACCUGCCGUUUCACGGGUACAUCCCGUCCAACGUGUGCAAAACUGUCAGGCUGCAAAAUUAUCAGCGGGAACAAAUGCAAGCCCCCUAACGACCACCUCACCCUUGACCCGGACACUGGUAAAUAAUAAAUUUAUCUCACUUGAUUUCUUCGUGAUUUGAGUCGUUAAUGUAUUUUCCAUCUGAUGAAACGUAUUGGUUUUGCAUUGAAGAGGAAGUUAAUGUGCUUAACUUCUGCAAGUUGGGGUGUGCGUCGUCUGUGUGCAACAACAUCAACGCUGGUAAGCAACUUUUGCUCAGACAGAGAAAACAAUAAUCAUUAAUUAGCGGCAGCUAGAAUCCUAUAAUCUAAUAUAUAUAUAUAUAUAUAAUUUUAUCAGCUCUGGGAAAUGAAGAGGCGAACGAUGCCGUUGAGAGUUGCGACCAAGCCUGCUCUAGCUUCUGCAGCGUGCAUGUUGGCAGCGCCACCGUGGUUGCUUAAGCAAAUGCAUCCAACUAGAUCGUCCUUGUGCUGAAUAAUUGGAUAUCGUAUCCACUUAAAGCUGCCUUGUGUAGUACGUCUUUGUGUCUCUCUUUAUAUUCCAAUAAGGUCGGUGAUCUUGAUGCCACACACUCAGAUGUGUGUUCAUCUCCAGAUACUACUCCAUGCUACCUGCCCUUUGUGUUUUGUUCAAUAACUGGGUAUCAUAUCCCAGCCAGUAUGCCGUCUGUUUUGUGUUUGUUUCCUUCUAGUUCCAAAGGGGUCAUCAUGAUGUUACCUUCUUUCAAUAUGGUGCUUUGCAUGACUACUGUUGUAUGGUACCAUCUUGUGGCCAAUAAGUACAUCUUAUCCUAUGACCUUUGCUAUGACCCUUUGCAAAUAAGUAGAAGAUUGUUAUAAGCGUCAAUACUCCGUAUAAAUUGAUCGCUGCUGUGAGUUCCCUUUCAGCUUAUCGUAGGCAUACAUUAUUGCUAGCACGGUAAAGCCAACCAACACGAAUGAUGAAGUAAACGUAGCGGUACUUCUGUAUACCAACACCCUUACUUAAAUGUACCGGUGUCAUUCCCUACUGGCACAUAUAUUCUUAUAUGCUAGCCAGCUUGUAAAAUUAACCAAUUAAAAUAAUUAUUUCAAGAUAGAAAUAACUUAUCGGUUUCUGGAAGCAUGUGUAAUGUGAAUUCAAGGACUCGACGGAAGUUGAAUCACUUCAUCUAUAUUGCUUUCAGUAUUUUGGGUAACUAAAUUUAACAUUUGCACAUACAAAUGUUAAAGUACAAAUGUUAAAUCUAGUUACCCAAGCAGAAUAUGAAGAUAGUUUAUAGUAUAUAUAUACUAUAUAAAUCUAGUUAACAUUUAGUCUAAAUGUUAAAUCUAGUUACCUAAAAUCCUGAAAGCAAAAUGUAUAAAUAUAUAUCUUUUAAGGCAGUAUAAGCUUCGAUUCCUAUUGCUGCUCUGUUAAAUCUCAUCUUUCGUUGUGGCCCAACACUCUAGUAUGCAUGUUGCACCAAGCUUCUUUGAGCCGCUCUGCCCUCUGAUUUUGCUGCGUAGGGGAAUCUUUAUCAGGUUGGGCUACUUCCAGUUGUGCGAUGUAAAGAUUCGUAUUUUCUAGAAGGUAGACAAAAAACUCGCGUUCUCUUAAGGCAACAACCGGAAGAUUCUGCAGCGCACAGGGCAUACCAUUAUUGUAGAAACGACCUUUAGUACCGAUCUCCAACCCCCUUUAAAACUGGUUUUGCAACCGGUACCGUUAUGUCGGUCCUUUAGUACCAGAUCAAAUAAGUACCGGUUGGUAACCAGUAUCAACUUGUUUUGCGGCCAAAAAAAUAAAGAAAAAAACAGUCAGAAGGCUCGCACACACGCGCAUCACAUGAAAUAUGCGUGUGCGGGGUCCAUGGGAUUCGAACCCAUGAAAUCAAGCUGCACGCGACCCUUCGUUACCAUCUCACCUACAUAGCGCAUAUGCUUUCCUGAAGUAACCCGUGGAGGAGGCUUUAGUACCGGGUCAUAACACCACCCGGUACUAAAAAUGACUCUUCAGUACCGGGUCAUAACACCACCUGAUACUAGUAUCGGAUGGUGUAAUGACCCGAUACUAAAAGGCCUCUAGGGACCCUCAAAUUUGAACCCGGUACUAAUGCUAAUAUUAGUAGCGGGUCAAAGUGCAGCCAGAACUAAAGCAUGGGAUGAAAGGUCAUAUUUCUAGUAGUGUAUAGUUGUUGUGAAGGACUGACUUGGCUGUCCUCUCUCUUCUCCAUCCCCUUGGUCUUACGCCGCCGCUCGCACGCGAGCCGGUGCCCAACCAGAGGAGUGAGAGCUAGGGGCAGGUUGGGAGGUGGGGAUAGUGACUGGUGGCCAGGGUGAUGGUUGAUCCUGGUGGGGUUAGGGUUUCAGGGUUUUCGAGCUUCCUAUGGUCGGCGAACCUAGAGGAGAAGCUCAACAUCAGCUGCAACCCGCGAUGGUGGUGGUUUGGCCGGCGCCCGAGGCGAGGCAGCGCGGGAGUGCUGCCGGUGGGUUGGUGUUGGCACUCAUUAUUGACAACUAUUUUGUUCAUAAAAUAACACUCAAACUUGCUGCUGCUGCUGCUGCCAUCGCCACCCUAGCCAUAAUAUAAAGGCAAAAUUUGCUAAAGGACAUGCAAAAUGAUGCUAGUUUGCUGGCGGGCAUCGUUGACCUUGUAAUAUGCUACAAGACACUCUAGUUGUGUAUCAAUUUGCUGAAAGACAUUGCUAUGACUAAAAUAAUGUUUCUGGACUGAGUUGGAGAGAGAGAUGGAGUGAAAUGUCUGUUUUGCCCAUGACCCCACUGGUCAGAUCCUUCUUCUUCCACCCUCCUUUGUUCUUUCUUCAACCAUUACCCAGCUCCAGCGUGUUGCAGAUCUACGAGGGUGGCGGCCUGGGGCGAGGGGCAUCGCUCGCCCUUGGAGGAGCGCUGCGAGCGACGGCGCGGGGGCGGCAACAGCGCGUCAGAACCUGACUGUUCGUUAGCUCCUCUCGCUGCUGGGGAAGAAGGAGGGGGAUGGGCCAUGGACGGGGUUCCCUUGAAAACCUCAGCGUCGAGCUCGGGCGGCUACGCGCAGGCAGCACUAGGCUGCUUCACGGGGAGGGGGCGCGGCCAAUCAUUGGCACCCCACUGGUCCAAUGCUGAUGAAGAUGGUGCCAGCGUCGUGUGAGGACAUCUCAUCUCCUCGAGUUCCAUGGCCAGCACAGGUGAGCUGCCGCUACCACAAAACAGAGGUUUCGUGAGAGUCAAAAAACCUUAUGAAAAUAGCUAAAACCAUCAUGAAAAUAAUCCGUGACAUGACACUCUCACGAAAAUCCUCUCACAAAUAUGGUGCCAUGAAAAUACCAUUUUCAUGAGAGUGAACUGUCAUGAUUUUAUAAGCGUCAAUACUCGGUAUAAAUUGACUACUGCUGUGAGUUCCCUUUCAGCUUAUCGUAGGCAUACAUUAUUGCUAGCACGGUAAAGAGAACCAACACGAAUGAUGAAGUAAACGUAGCGGAACUUUUGUAUACCAACACCCUUACGUACCGGUGUCAUUCCCCACUGCCACAUAUAUUCUUAUAUGCUAACCAGCUUUGAAAAUUAAGCGAUUAAAAUAAUUAUUUCAAGAUAGAAAUAACUUAUCGGCUUCUCGAAGCUUGUGUAAUGUGAAUUCAAGGACUCGAUGGAAGUUGAAUCGCUUCAUCUAGAUUGCUUUCAGGAUUUUGGGUAACUAAAUUUAACAUUUGCACACACAAAUGUUAAUGUACAAAUGUUAAAUCUAGUUACCCAAGCAGAAUAUGAAGAUACUCUAUAGUAUAUAUGUACUAUAUAAAUCUAGUAAACAUUUAGUCUAAAUGUUAAAUCUAGUUACCUAAAAUCCUAAAAGCAAAAUGUAUAAAUAUAUAUCUUUUAAGGCAGUAUAAGCUUCAAUUCUCUGUUAAAUCUCAUCUUUCGUUGUGGCCCAACACUCUAGUAUGCAUGUUGCACCAAGCUUCUUUGAGCCGCUCUGCCCUCUGAUUUUGCUGCGUAGGGGAAUCUUUAUCAGGUUGGGCUACUUCCAGUUGUGCGAUGUAAAGCUUCGUAUCUUUUAGAAGGUAGACAAAAUACCCGCGUUCUGGAAGAUUCUGCAACGUGCACGUUGGCGCUGCCACCGUGGUUGCUUAAGCAAAUGCAUCCAACUGAAUCGUCCUUAAGCUGAAUAAUUGGAUAUGGUAUCCACUGCUUAAAGCUGCCAUGUUUAGUACGUCUUUGUUUUUCUCUCUUUAUAUUCCAAUAAGGUCGGUGAUCUUGAUGCCACACACUCAGAUGUGUGUUUAUCUCCAGAUACUACUCCAUGCUACCUACCCUUUGUGUUUUGUUCAAUAACUGGGUAUCAUAUCCUAGCCAGUGUGCCAUCUGUUUUGUGUUUGUUUCCUUCUAGUUCCAAAGGGGUCAUCAUGAUGUUACCUUCUUUUGAGGUGUCUAUGAUGACUUCGUUAAUAUCAAUAUUAACCAAUUCAAUCUGUCUUAACUAUUUGUAAGGGGUAUGAUGUAUGCAUGAUUAUAACAAUGAUUGCGCAUACAAUCGCCGCCAAAGAAACGGUCAAUACCAUUAAGACAUAUUACAGACAAUUCUCAUAAUCUAUAAUGAAUAUACAUAUUCACUACUGCAGAAGACUGUCAUUUGUAUCGGCUCAUACGUGCCAGGGCAAAGGUCACCCUUGCAUUAAGUACAUUUGCACGGUAAAGACAACCAACACGAAUAAUGAAGUAAACAUGCCGGUGCUUUUGUACACCAACACGCUUACUUAAAUGUACUGGUGUCAUUCCUCACCGGUAGCCGGCUUGAAAAUUAACCAAUUAGAACAAUUAUUUAUUGUAUCGGUGUGAUUUUUGACCUAUUGGAAUAUGAAUUUGACCGUUACUGCAUUCGUCAAGACUCAAGAGAGAAAUAACUGAUCGGCUUCUUAGAGCGUGUGCAAUGUGAAAUCAAGGACUGGAUGGAAGUUGAAGCGCUAGCACUAGUAGAGAAACGACUUUCCAUCCACCCCCUUUUGUCCCGGUUUAAAGUUGGCUCGGGAUAAAAGGUUCACCAACCGGGACUAAAACUCAGUCACUGGUGGGAGGCUCACCAACCGGAACCUUUUAUCCCGGUUGCAAAGGCUAAUGGGAAAAAAAGACUCUGAGAGGCCUUUUAUCCCGGUUUGAAACACCAACCGGGAUAAAAGACCCCCCUUUUAUCCCGGUUGGUAACACCAACCGAGAUAAAAGGGUCAAGAGCCUUUUAUCCCGGUUGGAAACACCAACCGGGAUAAAAGACCCCCUUUUAUCCCGGUUGGUGUUUCAAACCGGGAUAAAAGGGCCCCCACGAGGUGACUGGAAGGUGACUGGAAGGGGAUUAAAUCGUGGGGGACCCUUUUAUCCCGGUUGGAAACACCAACCGGGAUAAAAGGGGGUCUUUUAUCCCGGUUGGUGUUUCCAACCGGGAUAAAAGGGUCCCCCACGAGUUAAUACAAAAGGAUAGUAUCCCCUACAUAGUCAGAUGUGGUGUGUAGGUGGGAUGGUAAGGAAGCUACGCGCGAGCUCCGGAAUUUUUUUUUUUUUUUUUUGCAGCGUCGGCGCUCUCUACCCUUUUAUCCCGGUUGGUAUUACCAACCGGGAUAAAAGGGGGUCUUUUGUCCCGGUUGAGUGACCCGGGAUAAAAGACCCCCCCUUUUUUCCCCGGUUAGUUUAUCCCGGAUGCAUUUUCGGGAUAAAAGCACCCUACCAACCGGGAUUAAAGCUCACUUCUCUACCAGUGUAGCUUCAUCUUCCGCUGCAAGUUAAUUGCUUGGAUAAGAAGUUGUAGCCGCUGCAAGUUAUAAAUAGUCCCGCUGAUGCUGUGCUCCGAAGUCUAUACUAUAUAUGCGGAAACUAGAUUGCUUUCAGGAUUUUGGGUAACUAAAUUUAACAUUUGUACAUAAAAAUGUUAGUUUACGAAUGUUAAAUCUAGUUACCCAAGCAGAACAAGAAGAUAGUAUAUAGUAUAUACUAUAUAAAUCAAGUUAACAAUUAGUCUAAAUGUUAUAUCUACUUACCCAAAAUAUUGAAAGCAAAGAAAGAAUAAGUAUAUAUCUUUUGUUGGAAAAUUGGUCCACGGAGAGGCCCAUUUAGGCCUCGUUCGUUUCACCGGGAUGGGAUUCCAGUCAGGAUUACUUCCAAGUUCGGUUUGAGUGAUUCCACCCGUGUCACUCAAUCCGGCUAGGAUUCAUUCUAUGGGUGAGGAGGUAUGGUUUCAAUCCAGGCCAUCUAAUGUAGAAGGAUUCCAAUCCAGGCCGGUUUUCGUUCCAGGCCAGACUAAAACGAACAACACUUUCAAUGCAAGUCUGGUUUCAAACCGGGCCAUUUCAAACCACCCGGAAUGGACCUCGUUCCAGGCCAAUCCGGUGAAAACAAAUGAGGCCUUAAUGGAAUCCCAAAGCAAGAGUUCAGUGGCAUUCUAUAGUCCCAUGCUGCUAGUUUGAGUUGGUCGAAGCCAACUUAAAUAGGAGAGCUCUCUCACUUCUCUAAAUACGUAACUGAAGGAGAGAAGGGGGCUUGGGUUACACAACGCACGCACGCACGCAUAUUUGCGUUCUUUUCGCGUAACCAACCGCGUGACUUGAAACUUGCGACGUAGCGUGCUGCUAAGUCAAGUUGAUAUAACCUUUUUGCCGUUUGCAUGUAAUCUUUUGACAACGGUCAUUGGAGGUGAUAAGCACGCAGUCAAUACCUUAAUCUUGAGUUAAUAGGGUGGUUACUACUGCCAAUUAGUGGGGCAAUUUUGUAGGGGAAACGGUUAGCAGAGGGCUACCGUCUUCUCUAUAAGAAGUUCUGGAGACGUCCAGGAACACACAUGUACAUGUGAGAGACCCACAAAUUCCUUCCCUUCUCCCUUUUCCAUGUGGUGAAGUGUGCUGUGGUACUGAGCUGCUUGAUCUCGCCGCUCUUCUCCUUGGCAUGCACCGAGGAGGAGGGUGAGCGGUAUCUCCGAGCUAUUGCCGUCAGGAAGCCUGCACGAGGGACAACAAAAAGUUUUUGGGUAGCGCAACUGCCAGCACAACUCUCCCUCCGCCUCUUCUUCACGGUUGAUGGCCACCACAAGCAUAAACCUCGCCUUCGCAUCCACGCAAAAGGGUCGCUGGGGUGCCUUCUUGCAUCGCUUCUCAGCCUCCUUGACUUGCGGCCAGCCAAGAACUGCGCCACCACCUCGGGUGCACGCCACCACUCCAGGGCUGCUACCCCAUGCCUGCGGCCGCCGCCGGCCACCACGCGUGUGCAACCGCGUCGCACCGCUUCCUUGCUUUGUGCCACCACUGCUGCUGUACCACCAGCUCCACCACCUUGGGCUGGUCGCCAGAGUGACUGAUAACUUAUUAUCUGUAACUACUAUUAACUCAGGGAUACAUGCGUCUUUUGCUUCUCCUACUAAUAUGUCCUAAAAUAUCUAGGAUGCCUUAUAUUUCUGGACAGAGGAAGUAUUUGAAUAAAAUGAACCAAUUUAAAAAAAUGUGUUGUACACUACUACAGAAAGACCUAUCAGUGUCAAACCCAAAAAUGUUGUCACCGCCAGUUUUGGGCAUCAUUGGUGAAAGGUUGGCGGUGAUGGGCUUUCCCUUCAACAACGGCACUGGAGCCGACGGUGAUUGACAUUAGAAAACAAAAAAGGGGACCCUACCUAGCCACCCCUGCAACCCGGCCGGCCGUGCCUCCCCUCAUCCCCACCACCUCGCCUCCCCAUGACCCCCCGCCGGCGCCCUUGCGCCUAGCCCCCUCAACUGCCCAGCCGGCCACCCUCAUCACGAGAGAGAGGUGCAUGUUGUAUAAUUGCGUGAAUUUUUUAAUGUUUAAUUUCAUGUAAGUUCCGUGUAAUAAAUUGUACAAGUUUUAUUGUAUAUAUGAAUUCCAUAUAUAUAUAUAUAUAUUUAUAAUUUAAUGUAUGGUUUCAUGUGUAUAUUUCAAUCAUGUGUAUAUUUAGUAGAUUGCCGAUUUUCUUUUUCUACUAGACAAGGGUUGAUGUAUAAUUACGUGUAUAUGUUUAUUGUACGGGCAAUUAGGACAAGUUUUGUAUAAAUUUCUUUUAUUUGAUGGUUGUUGUAUGGUUUCAUGUAUAUACAUUUAUUGUACUACUUUAGACAAUUUUUAAUUUAAUGUUUCUAUGAUUAGAUGUGUGUAUAACUAAUUGUAUUAUUAGUUAAGAUGGGAGCUAAAGAGGAUGAAAGGUAUAUAAUGGAGCAGAUUAUUGCUAGCUCAAACGUUGCAAGAACCUACACCGAGGGUGAGGGUAGCUAGGUGGACAUGUACCUCAACAUGUCCAGUGAUGGCAAUGACGAUGAGGAGCACGAGCAUGACAUCUAUGAUAAUGCGGAACAAGACAUUGCAGAAUUGGAAGGUUCUAAUGAGGUGUGCUUCAUGUUGACAAUCUAGUUGGCUUUUUUUCGUUGGUCACACCUUAGUUACCAUAGAACUUCGUCUCGGGAGAAGAUUGGUGGUGGUAUGGUGAUUGGAAUUUUAUUUCCACGAAAUCUGAUUUCCAUCGAAUCAUAUCCCUUGUAUUUAUCUUCUUUUUAUUUGUGAGAGCAUCUUCUUUAUGCUUGCAAAACAAUUCAAGUGCACAUACUACCCCUAGGGUGACGAUUGGGAGUAGAAAUAAUUGCCAACAAAACAACACCACAUCCUAAGAUUCUUAACUUGUGGCAUAAUUAGUCUAGUAAAAAGAAAGAUAAAAACCUAAUGGGUGUAUGUGAGUGCAAUGUGUAUAUGCAUAUGAGUGGAAGGCAUAUAAGCAAAGACAAUAUUUACACAUAGUUCUAAACACCAUGUUUACAGCUAGGUUGCUGAAUUUCUCCAUAGCCAUAGAGAUUAAUUAACCAAGGUCAAAACACGAUGUCUAUCCCAAGAUCAGUAAUUAUUUAUAGCACAAGAAAAAGAAAGCGCAUUGCAAAGUUUAUAAACCAACCAAUACAGCAUGAAAACAAGAUGAAUAGCUAGCAAGGUUUAUUAAACUGAAUGAUGACGGUCUGUAAGCAAGUUUAAACACCAUCUUUACACAAGAUUGCAAAUGGAAAAUGCCCAUAUGAAGCACUAACAUGGAUAUGAAAUCAUUCAUCAUAAAGCGUAAAGAACAACCAAGCCAACCAUAUGCAAAGCAUGAAUGGAAUGCAAUGAAGGUGCAAGAGAACAUUUUUGGAUGAACACAUUAUGAUGAUGGCAAAAUGCAAUGCAUGCAGAAAAAAUAAAUAUGAACAUGAAUAUGAUGAUCAGGGGCGGACCCACUAUUGUGGCCUGGGUAUUCCUCGGCAUACCCAAUAUUUUUGGGAAAAUGUUUAGUAGUUUUUAAUGGCAUAUACAUGUAUAAUAUAGUUUAGGUGUUAAAAUUGAUAUUCACAGCUAUUUUGGGCUCCAAUUCGCGUCCAAACCAACCUGGCCCACAGACCGCACCCGGCCGCCCGGCCCAUCGGCCCAUCUUGUCACUGAUCCUCCCACCACCACACUCAGCCCGUCAGUUAGUCAGGUCCCGAGCUCCUGCCUGACCUAGUCCGCUACCACCGCCAGGCGCCAGGCACAGCUGUACACGCCGCCCCCGUCCACCCACGUCCGCCGCACGGCCGCGUCGCGCCCCCCCCCGGCGCCCGCUGCUGCCAGAACCCAUUAGGCCUCCACCGGCAAGUCCACCCACAGUCCCGCGCGACGCGGCAGCCUCUUGGCUCUCGGCGCUCGCGGCGCGCCAAUGCCUGCGCAGCCCCAGCAGGCGACUGCCCCCCCCCCCCCCGCAUCGGGCCUCGGCCCCUCCCCAGCUCCCCCUCCCCCCUCCACCAGGACUGCCUGCUGGCCCCCACCGCGAGGUAAUCGAAAUGGACUGCUCAAUCUCUCAAUCUGUUGACAUGAUGCACACGGUUGCAAAAAUAGAUGUGUCAAAAUAGAUGUAUUGCCAAUUGCUAUAGAUGCAUAUGGUUGACAUGAAGAAGUCAAAAAUGACAUUUGGUUCCUUGUAGGCAGUCAAAAAUGAAGAAGUCAAACAAUAUUGAUCUGAAAUCAAUGCGGGAAAGGGCUACGAAGACACACGGGUAGAUUCCCUUGUGAACUUUUUAUGUCGUUCGUCUAAAUAUAUUUUUGCAAUGGGCAUACCCUACUCUGAAAUCCUGGGUCCGCCACUGAUGAUGAUGGUCUAAACAUAAAACAAGCCUAGAUUAAUUAGCUACAACUGAAAUUAAGCAAAGGUUAAUGUCAUUGACCCUAGCUCUAUCCUAGCUUUUACUAAAGUCCCGGCACAUAUAGUGGUUGGGCCCACUCUCUCUACUUCCCUCUCUGCUGCAUGCACACACACGAGCAACUGGAGGCCCAACAAAGCCCAGAAGGGUUCGGCCGAACCCGUCCGAUCCAGUCUGAGCGCCGCUCCCUCCCAGCCUUCGCGCAGAUGCUCCUCCAACGUUCCUUGACCCCUCCCUCAGUGUCCCAUUGGGUUUAACAUUGUAGGAGAGGAGUCCCUUUUUUAAAAUCUCAACCACCUCCUCUCCUCAUUCACUCCACUCUCAUCUCCAUCAAACUCACCAAGAUCCACAUCGGAAAUACCUGCUUACCACCAUGGCUGGCAAAGCCCUCGUCCCUUUCACCAACUUGGGCUUGACCAUUGAUCUCGAUGGGAAAAUCACUCCAGCAAAUGUCAUUGUCCCUGUCGGCGAUCUGGCGAUGGAGGAGGUCCAGGCACUAGAGGUCGAGCCCCUAGCCAUCAUACCGCCCAAGGGGUAAAGCAGGAGCAUGACAGGCGCUGCUAGGGGUUCAGCCGAACUCCCAGUUCAGCCAAACGAGGACGGCGUCGCCUCGGCCUCCCGCUCGACUGCAUGCUUCCCCUUGCCAAGGAGGACUCCAGAACAGCGGGCGCGUGCGUCAAGUCCCUACAAAAGGCUGAAAUACAAUGAAUAUCCAGGGUCACCCUUGAAGAUGGGUGAACGCUACGCCGGGUCCUUGUUUGACUAGUACGGCGAUGCAUUCUGCCACCGCUAUGUCGUUGUCGAGAUUAGCGGAUCAAGACUUAGACUAGUAAAUUUCUUUUAUGCGCGUAAGGCUUCAGAUGGUGGCGUGGGAGACAUGGGUUUUAUACUAGUUCGGGCAAUGGAAUACCCUACGUCCAGUGUCUGGAGCUGCUUGUGUUGCCCACGCGGGGUUCUGUAGUAGGGGUUACAGGUGUGCGAGAGAGGGAGCUAAUCCCAGGUCUCUUAGGCGUGUUCCGGUCCUCUAGAUGGGAGAAGUGUGUUCUGUUUGCUUGGGAGUAUCGGUUGUGUCUGAGUUGUCUCCGGAGCCUCCUCCCGUCUCAGGUCCCCGAUUCUCCUUUCAUAGCACAAGGAGACCAUCGGGGUUACAGACGAGACCGAGCGUGGGGAGGAGUAAAGAGAUAAACAUAGCUAGGUAAAAAUACAACAAGAAAGGGGGGAACCAAGUUUCUAGGUCACCGGCGUCCUCGCCGGCCUUCGACUUCCGCCGGCGCAUUUGUCGGAGGAGGGUGGCCGCCAUCGCGUUCUGUCGAUGGCUUCCUCGGUGACUGUAGCCACCGGGCGUGAUGAUGGCAUUUCGUCGUGACCCUUUGUCUGUUGGGGGAGGCGGCGGAUCCUGCCAUUCUGCUGACGGCUCGCGGAGUGCGAACGUCGCAUCCCUGCCGCUGGGCACGCGGGGCGCGAGAACGUGCGAGGCUUCCCCCUACCCCAGGCGGCGCAGGCCAUGAGUGCCCUGUGGCAAAUCGGAGGAGGCCGCAGCUACUGUAGCUUGUACUGUGCAGCCACGUAUGGGUACUUGUGGCAGGUUGCGUGGUGGAUGCGGAUAUCCUUCUCCCUGACAGAUCUGCGGCGCAUUUAUGGCGAGAUCGACAUGGGGACCCACAAGACCCGCGCCCAAGGCGGAUACUUGUCUGGAGGGCCCGGGUUAGCCUGACCCCCUACGCUUGGGGUCGGGCGAGGCGGAGACUUGCGGCGGGGCGUCGGACGCUCCCGACACUAGACCUGCGGUCGCGCAAGGCGGAGCUUGGUCUUCCGGGGGUCGGGGGUGCCGGACCCCAGGAUGCGGGGUCGGGCGAGGUGGAGCGUAAUUCUUGCCUCCCAUGUUGGGCCGAUGGCAGUCUUUGUUACCUCUAGUGGGCUUGGGCCUUUAUGUUUUGUUGUUUCCAUGGGCUUCGAGAGGUCGUUAAUAUUUCCCCCCAACAGUAGCCCCCGAGCCUGUGGUGGAGUGGGGGCGCUCCUCCGGAGGCUACUAUCAUCGCCCCUAGGGAAUCCUCGCAGUUGAUCCGGGAUAGGAGGUGUUGUUUGCACGGCUUGACCGAGGGGGUCGAUUAGGCGACGCAUCCUGUGAGCGACUCGGUGCGGGAGGGUUUCUUGUUGUUCCCUUCUGUCUGAGAGCCUUAAGUCGAGACCACCUGCGUGGCCUUUGGUUGCAAGGCCAGCCCCCGAGCCCCCGCACGUUGCAGGGGACCGGUCGGAGGCUAGGUCGACUUUUGUUCAUUACCCUCAAGCGUCUGUUCGCUAGGACGGAGGGGGCGAGCCGUGCCAUGCUAUCCUCAUCGGACGAACCAUGGUGCUCAUUGAGUUACUAACGGGUUGAUUCGAGUGGGAUCCCGGUCCCCGUUCGGGGGGGGUCCGGCUUGGGCCAAGCUGGUGGCGUACCCCAGGCUCCGGUCGGCCAGUUCAUAUAGUUCCUGAGUCCGUUCGGUCGGACCGGGGGCUCAUUGCCUUUCUUCGGGGAAAAACCAUGAACUUUGAUGCCGGUCCAGACUCGAAUGUGAGAUUGAGACGCCCGGGGCUGUCGCGUGCCCGGGUGAUGGCCGCUAGCGGACCCGUCUCCUCUCACCCCUCACUCGGGGGUAUCCUGAGGCGGCUGUCGAACCCGUGGCGGGCCAGCCUUCGAACCUCUGGAUCGUAAUGGGCCGUAGGGGCGUUUUCAGCCCCGUAUCCCUUUUUACCUUUUGGUGGGCCUUGGGCCGAAUCAUGGAGGAGGUCGGGCCUUGGGCCGGAUGCGGAGGAUGUCGUGCCUUGGGCCGGAUGUGGGGGACGUCGUGCGUGUCUUCCGGGAGACGAAGUGGUGGAGGGUGCCAACCCGCGAAUCGAGGGAGGAGGGGAUGUUUCUACUGCAGGUCAUGCGCACGGUUUCCGAAAAGGCAGCGGGCGUGACGGGACGUACCUCGCGCCGCAUUUAUUGCGAUGGGGGCGUCUGUUCUGCUUCCCUCGUGCCUUCCCUAUAAAACGAGGACUUCGCCUCGCCGGUUCCGCCCGCCAUCUACCUUCAAGCCUUUUCGCCUCCUCGCGCGCCCUUAGCUUUCCUGUGCCCGCUUCGUCUUCCUCCGCCCAGUGCCGCGCCCUUUCUCCCCAUCCGCCGUCGAGUUCUUCUCCCUCCGGCGAUGGGAUCCUGGGCGCGUUCCCACUUCGGCCCCUCACGCGCCGAAGGCCUAGUGAGGAAAGGCCUCCUUUGCGAGAGGACGGAGACGGAUGAGUGGGGGUUCCCUGAGAUGGAAGAGGUGCCGACUCCGCCCACCGGCUACGUCGUUUCCUUUGCCCACUUCCACGAGAGGGGGUUUGCGACUCCGCCGAGCCUCUUCUUCCGCGGGCUUUUGUAUUACUACGGGCUUGAGCUGCAGCACCUCAACCCCAACGGGAUUCAGCACGUCGCGGCGUUCGUUGCGGUGUGCGAGGGGUUCCUGGGCAUUGAGCCCAACUUCUCGCUGUGGAAGUACUUCUUCACGGUCAGCCUAUACCAGAAGGCCGAGAAGAGGGGAAGCCAGCAGCGGUCGACCCCGGUGCCGAUAGGGUGCGUCGGAAUCCACCUCUGCCAUACUCGCGCCAAGGAGUAUAUCGCGAUGAAGACCGCGGCAUCCCACAAGGGGUGGCACCAGCAAUGGUUCUACGUGAAGAACUACUCCAACCCCCCCUGCCGGAGUUCACCGGCCGCAUUAUUGAAGCGGCGCCGGAGGUGUGGGUGUACGGCCCGGUGGAGAAGGAGAAGAAGCGGAUCACCGGCCUGCUGCAGGCCAUCGAGCACCUGAAGGAGAGGGGACUGACCGGAGCCGGAGUCAUCGGGGCGUACCACGCCCGGCGGGUGGCGCCGCUGAUGCUCCGGGUCCGCUCGCUCGCCGACAUGACCCCCGGUGCUCUCACCGAUGGCACUGUCCUCGCGACGGGUGCUCUCGCUGCCUCCGAGAUCCGGCAGCGGAUCCGGGAGGCGCUGGAGGACAAGGACGCCGAUUACCCGGUGCCCGGCCACCCUCCGAUGCGCCCGGACGAGAAUUUCAUUGAUCUGGUAAGGAUUUUGCGCGCCAGUUUCCCUCUCUUGCGUUUCUUGGUAUGCCGUUCUGACGCGAGGCCCUCUGUGUUUGCAGGGUAGCAUGACCCGGGUCGUCGACUUGCGUCCGCCAGUGUCGGAGGACGCCGAGUGGCGGUAGCAGAACCGUCUCCUUGCCGAGAAGCAAAAGUGACGCAAGGACAAGAGACAGCGAAGAAGAAGAAGAGGGCCGCCAAGGAGUUCCAGCGGCGGCGGUGGGGAUAGGUCGUGUCGGAUGACGAUGACGAUGAGAAGGAGGAGGAGGAUGACGAGGAGGAGGAGGAGUUUAUCCUGUCCCCCCGGUCAGGGGCGCUUGUUAUCCGGGAGCCGCGCUCCCAAGCGGCCAUGGGGGACAAGGCGGGCGAGCUGCCUGCCCGGACCCGAUCCUGCGAAGCUUUGGGGGCGCGCCCCAGGGGUCGGCGCAGAGCGCCCCCCGGGGGUCGACGGAGCCGACCCCCAUCCCUACACCUGCAGCCCAGGAGCAGAGGAGCAGCGACAAGCGGCCGUUGCCAGAUGCCCCGGGGUCGGCGUCCAGCUCAGAGGCGAAGCGCGCGCGCCGCCCUUGCGCUGGGGGAACGUGAGUUGAAUUUCCUUGCGAAUCUCGUUCCUUUCCAUGCAUUGUGUUUGUUUCCGCUGAUGCUGUUUGUUGUCUCACAGCACCGCCCCUCAAGGCCUUGUCCCGCCGUUGGCGCCAAAGAAGGCGUUGCGGUGUUGUCGCCUCUGCGGGGCGGACCGCGGCUCCGCCGGCGGCGAGUGGCGGGGUCACUGGUGAGACCGCGGGUCCUACCGCGGAGGUGGCCCCUGCGGCGGCAACCGGUGGAGUGGUGCCACCGCCGGGCAUGGGACAGGGUCUGGACCCCGCUCCGUCCUCCGCCUCUUCGGCCGACCCCGCGGUGCAGAGUAUCGCUCCUGGGGGCCCUCAGGCCGGGGAGGUGAUUGACCUCGACGCCGACGAGGUGGAGGAGACGGCGGCGGUGGAGACGGGGGCGGUUGCCCCAGCGGCCAUGACGGGGACGACGACGGCGACGGGGGAAGGAGAGUCUACCCCCGCGGCCACGGCGGGGACAGUGGCGACAGAGGAGGCGGGGACGCCCGCCCCGGCGGCUGCGACGGAGGAGGCGGCGGUGACGGAGACGGGGGCUUCCGCCCGGGAAGCCACAGCCGAGGUGGCAGCGGCGACGGAGGUGAAAGUGCCUGUUCUGGAGGCCACGGUGGGGGUGGGGACGCCUGCCUCGUGGCCACGACGGAGGGCGAGGCGGCCCCAGGGACACUUGCUCCGGCACCCGCGUUGGAGGCGGUGGCGCCGACGGGUUGGCCCGUGGCGGCCUCGACGGGGGCGGGGGUGCGUGCGCCGGGACCGUCGGUGAGGCCGGCGACUUCCGGGAUGGUGGUGCCCGUCUUGACGGCGGCGGCGGCGCGGUCGGCCCCCGCCCUUGCCUCUACCACUCCCAUUCCCAAGGCGUGGAGCGGAUCCGUCCUGCGUUGGUCGUCUCGUGACGACCCGCAGAGGCCCCUCUUCACGUUGGAUGAUGCCACAGAAUGGGGCAAGUGGCAGGCGCUGCAGGGCGGACUCGCUAACGUCCGCGCCGCUCUAUCUUCGGCGUUGGGGGAGCUGGACGGCGUCAUCUUCCCCGGUGGCCGGGUAUGGUGCUUUCUCCGUUGGUUAUUUUCUUCCCGUUACUUCGUCCCUGAUGGCACAUUGUUCUGCAGGCCCUCCAAGAAUGUAGCCGGGGAAAAUCUGAUUUCCUUUGGCUCGAGCAGGGGCUCUGGGAGCGCUUCAACUUGGAGUUGCAGCGGACCGGGGAGCUGACCAUGCAAGUCGCCACCGUCUAGCAUGUCAUCGACGAUCUGCGAAGGCACGAGCAGGCGGCACAGGAGGACGCGCGGCGGGCGGAGGCCAAGUUCCAGGUCGUUGCCGAAAGGGCUCGCUGCGACCGCGAGGAGUUCCAGGCCGUUGCCGAAAAGGCCCGCCACGACGCUGAGGAGCUCGCACGGCUGAAGGUGCAGCAUGAAGCUCUUCAGAAGAGCGGCAGAGGGCCUGGCAGGACCGGGACGCCGAGAAGGUCCGGAAGGAGGAGGCUGAGAAGGUGGCGGCCAACCUUGGGGCUGAGGUCAGCCAGCUCCAAGUGCAAGCGCGAGAGCUUCAGGCCUCCGUGGCCCAGGGGCUCGACCAGGAGCGCCAGCUGAAGGCCUAAUCCGAGGGUAUGACUCUGUUUAUUUCUUUGUCUUUGUGAUGUUGCGGUGAUAUUUUAUUUGGCGGGUUCUUCUGGAUGAUCCUUGCAGAUGAGCUCAACUGGCUGAGGGAGGUGCUUGACGCGGAGCGCGCUGAGCACGGCGACCUGCGGGACGCGGUCCGCGUCAUCUGUGACUUCCUUAGUGUGGUCCAGGGGGAGGGGACGAGCUCGCUGGCGGCUCGUGUCCUCGGGACGUACCGCCGGACCAGCGAGAUCGCCCUGGAAGCGCUUCGCACCGGCUUGAGGCAAGCCUUUGGGGUCUUCGGCUCCCACUAUUCCGGCAUCAACUUCGCCGGGAUGAGCGGGGGAUACGCCACCGGCUACUACGAGGCCGAGCUGGAUGAGAUCGACGUGUCGGUGCUCAGCCCGGCGGAGGCCUUGGUGAAGCUCCUCGAGGAUGAGGCCGUCCCGCCCGAAGAUCCCCGGACGAGUUAACUAUAUCGGGCUGGCGCCCCAGAUGUAAAUACGUUAGGGAAAGACUUGUUUUUUGUGAGGGCCGUAGAGGCCUUUUCUAUGAAUUGUCGUAAAAAAGUUUUUGAUUCCCUUUCUUGCUUUUUGGACUUGGAAAGUUUAGAGCACGUUGUCGGGCGUGUCAGUAAGCUUUGAUGAGCGAAGGCACCGUAGCCGCUGGGGCGUCGUUUUUUUUGCAGUCCGAUCAAUCUUGCCUGAACACCGUUCGUGCACUUUCUCCUUUUUAUGCCCAAAAGUUCAGAAAGAGGGUCGGCUCGGAAAGAGAAAGCGUUUUGAGAGGGUGUCAAGUGGCUUAGGUACUUGCGGCAGGUUGCGUGGUGGACGCGGAUAUCCUUCUCCCUGACAGAUCUGCGGCGCAUUUAUGGUGAGAUCAACAUGGGGACCCACAAGACCCGCGCCCAAGGCGGAUACUUGUCUGGAGGGCCCGGGUUAGCCCGACCCCCUACGCUUGGGGUCAGGCGAGGCGGAGACUUGCGGCGGGGGGUUGGACGCUCCUGACCCUAGACCUGCGGUCGGGCGAGGCGGAGCUUGGUCUUCCAGGGGUCGGGGGCGCCUUACCCCGGGAUGCGGGGUCGGGCGAGGCGGAGCGUAAUUCUUGCCUCCCAUGUUGGGCCGACGGCAAUCUUUGUUACCUUGGGUGGGCCUGGGCCUUUAUGUUUUGUUGUUUCCAUGGGCUUCGAGAGGUCGUUAAUAUUUCCCCCCAACACUAUGAGGAGGACUUGUGGGCAGAAAGUCAGCUACCACAAACUUGCCUCUGAAUAUUUGGAGUGCAAACAUUGGAUGGUGGUUGUGGAGAGCCCCAGCCAUACCUCGCACCCGUGGAGAGGUAAUUGUCGGAUUGCUUGGUUCGUCUCUAGAAUGCGACAAGGUCAGGCGCCACCUCUCACUGCUGCCAGUCAGAAGGCCGAGGGGCCAGUUUCAACAUAGUAAUGAGAAUCUCCGAAGGCCAAUAUGGUUAAGCAGCUAACCUCCAUGAUCAUAGACUUACGUUUAGAAAAUAGGAGGCUUAGCGAUGCGUUAACAGAGCAGAAGUUAGAAACAGAAGAACUUAAGGACGACUUCCGUGUCCUCCGCCUUGGUCUUUGUGCUAAGAUAAAGCGCUUGUACAAUGCCACGGGGAAUGACGGUCUCUACGAUGCAGCUCAAUAGACGUGCCCCUUGUAUCCUUUCCUUUAGGCACUUUAGAAUAUGUUUAUUUGUUUUCCUUCAUUUUAAUUUCCAAUAGAUUGUUAGCGCCUCCAAUUUAAUUUCAAUAAAGUGUAGACUCACCGGUCAUCCAACUUGAUGGAGUCCUUUUGUCACCUAGUUGUCUUUGGAAGAAGUAGCUGGGUACAAAAUAAGUGUGGGGGAGAGCCACAGACUCUCUAGAGCUGAAACAAUGCACAACACCCACAAAUAGAGAAAACCACGCUGCACCAGCACGUACGUGAAAGUGGAGCCAGAGCUGGACCCAUAGGGGUUUGGCCAACCCAAGGGGUGGCCCACUCGGGCCAUCUUCAUCCACCGCGUCGGUUUGUGUCUCUUUACCCCUGAUCUCCCUGAUUCAUGAGUUUGAAUGAAUUUUAAAUCUGAUCAACUAAUUCAAACUCAACUAAAAUGAAUCAACUGCUCCACCUGCUCUACAUGUUUUCUAUGGUUGGCUUGCAUAUGUUUUAUUUCAUGCUUAUCAUCUUGAUGCUUGUGAACAAAUAUCUUUAGGACAGCAUGCUCAUCUAAGUAGUUGAUGUGUAUGAUAUGGUUCGAUGAUAUGAUCUUCACUCUUAAUGCUUAAGUGCUUGGGAAAAUCUAUUUGAAAAUUUAAAAGCCUUUUUGAAAUCUCCUCUUUGAUGUGCCAAAGUCCUACCAAAGCCAUAUGAUAAGUUAUCUUGAAAAACCAUUUGCAUAUGUUGCUUGUCUUUGCAUUGAGCUUUGUCAAAUUGGUGUGACCCUUGUCACAAUUCUUUUCAUACUUUCAUGAUCAAGACUCAUGUGCACGCCAUAUACCCCUUGCUAUGCUUCUAUGAGAUGUUAGCAUUGUACCAUCCAUUCAUUCCACAAAAUAAAUGCUCCACCAUAUGUGUUGGUCUCCUUCUAAGAUUAUUGUUACAAAAGAGAUAUGGGCUAUCAAAAAAAAAUAUGAAUGUCCAAGAAAGUUGGACACAUGAAUGUCCAAUAAAAAGAAAAAGAAAGAUAGCCAUGUCCUCAGAAAUAUUUACAAAGGGAGAGAGAUCAUACAAAAAGGAGUUUCCAUUCCAUCCACCACAUCCAUACAUGUGCACAUCUUGAUCUGAUUGUAUGACUUAUUUUUCUCUUUGGAUCUGGUCUUUGACUUUGCAAUAUAUGUGAUGCAAGCAUGCCUUAUCCUUCAUAGCCUACCUUGAGCUCCACAUAUAGCCAUCAUUAGAAGUAGGAUGAAGAAAGGCAAGUCUAAUGCCUUGGUGAGGACAUAUACACAUUGAGUGAUCUGAGAGAAUCAAAUGAGGAGCUAAGCAAGGUUUUGUUUUGAAAACUAAUUGAAAAAUCCCAAGCUACUUGGCAUAAGGAGUUGAGGUGACUUGAUUCAAGACCAUUACAUUCCUCAACUACCCAAGAUGGCAUGAUAGACACUCCAAAGUUCACAAGUGCAGGUAUGGUUUGGAAUAUCUUUUAGGCUCGCUUCAUACCUUUGAAAGUUAUGUUUCACCUUAGUCCUUUCUCGUUCACUCAAGGAUAAGCAAAGGCUAAGUGUGGGGGUGUUGUUGAUGGCUCUUAAGUACAAAAUCUGCGCCAUCAACUCUUGCAUAAACACAUAAAAUAUGAGCAUCAACAAUAGUGGUAGGAGUUAUUACAAACGAAUUCCACAAGUCUUGGUGAAUAUUUGUAUGCAAGCCCAAUAGGAGAGAAAAGACACCUCAAAAGCAAGGAAACACACUCUCAACCAAUCAAGAGCAAGCACAUGGAACCAUGGGCCCACAACCAAAAGGAAAUCGACUACAUUCCAAACACCCUAUACCCACAUGAGAACCCAUAGGGCAGUGACCCAGAGCAAAGGUGAUGCCAGAGUGUAGAUGGUAGUUAGCAUGCCAAAUUUUGAACCGCAAGCGCUCGGAUUAGUUGUUUCUUUUCCCUUAGAGAUUCCCCCAAGGUUUAUCAAUCCAUGGAACAAGGGAUUUGCACGUUUCACUAAGCACUAAUCAAUGUAAUUGAAAGCUUUUCGAAUAAGAUAUGAUUAUGCUAACAAAGGAACUAAGCAAUCUAGAUUAAGAUGGAUAGAGAGUACAGGUUGUGAACAAGAUAGAUUAAACGCUUGUAGAUGCAAUCACCAUGCAUGAAUGAAUUAGAUCUAGGUGUUAUUGUGAGUGGUUGUGAACCAUGCCCAACACUUUCCCACCCGCAACAUUGUCACUACAUGUGGGUACUCAACUAUCGGAACAUAAGAACACAUCAAGAUGAUCAUUCUAGGUAAGCAAAUAAGCAACCCAAAGUAGCGCUGGCCAGCCUUUUCAUGAAAGAGCAUCAUCAAGAUAAGAUUGAUAACAAAAUAGAUCUCAACCAAAGGUUCAGCGAUUACAAAUCAAGAUCUUCGUAUAACCCCGAUGACAAAUAGAGGUAUUACCCCCAUGAUCUUACACAUGUUGAUGAAUUUUAGGGUAAAGGACACCCUGUAGAUCAACUGGACCAAAGAUGAUGAUGAACGGGGGCAGGGAAGGCCCAGGUUGAUCAGCCUGCGCACUUUUGAGCCGAUCAGCUCAGGGGGUUUCCUCCUCCCCUGGUGCUCCUCUUCGCGUGGCCUCCUCUGGAUCCAAUCUUCUCUUCAUUUCUCCUACUUGUGGCGGCAAUGGAUGGUGUUUGCAUGGUGAUUUCCUCUUCUCCCCAACUCUCCCUCCUUGAAGUCCAUGAGGGGGUAUUAAUAGUCUCCAAUAGGCGGCAGCUCUGGGUCAAUGUCAGUGAAAAAAUCCUAGAGAUCAUCGUACACUUCAUGCUGAGGAAACAAGAGGUUGACCGAGCCCUGGGAUAGACCAAGAGGAUCAUCCUAGAGGGUCCCAGGCUAAUCGGUCUAGGCCCUUCCUAGCCCUUCUAGUCCUCUCCUUCCUCGUGCUGGCUUUUCUCGAUGACCCUUGUCCAAAUAUCCAUGAAGCUCUAUAUACAUACCCCCUUGAUUAUGUUGUAUUUCCUGUCAAAAUACAAUGCUCCAAAAUACAACACAUAUGCAAUAAUAGGGUUAUUUCAGGUGCCAAUUGGUGGGUUAGUAUACGAAUAAGCAUGAAAAUACUGUUUAAAUGACACUAAAAGUGUGUCAAUAACGAGCACCAACAAUCCCCCCACGCUUAGAUCUUGCUCGUCCUCGAGCAAGUCUAGCGACUAAAAGAUCUUGAAUUAAACCUGAGCAAGCGAGUCAAGUACCUAGCCUUGAAACAAAAGAUUAGAGGAGCAGCAAAGAUAAUCAAAGUCUGGGUGUUCAAAGAUUUAUCUAAGCAAAGAUUCCCCUACAACUAUUAUUCAGAACCAAGUAACUUCAAAAAUCAACUACACUUAUUUUCUGGCUUUUUUCAGAGGGUUUUUCUUUCAUCAUAAAACAAUCUCCCUGCAACAAAAUUGAAAAAAGAAUUAUUUUCAAGGUGCUUACAUGUCGCUUAAAUGAAUGUUGGCUAUCCUACUUAUUUGCAAGCUCUCAUCUCUCAAAAUUCAUUCAAUUAUAUGGUGGAGUUUGGGUAAGGUUAGCUAGAAUCAACACGUAUAUUAUUGAAUUAAGAAAACCCUCUAACGGUGGCCUACCUUCCGAGCCAUUGAUCAUAAGAAUAUCCACAUAAUGUGAAGUUUUCAAGGAUGAGAAGAUAUAGAAUGGUGGACAUGUGCAAAGGCAAAGAAAUAUAGUGACUCUGAGGCACAAGCAAUGUCCUCGUCGUUGGAUUGCAUAUGGUUGUAAUGAAAAUAUGUUCCUUAAACAAGUCUAUCUUUUCUUUGCACCACUCUUGAUCUUCAUGACAGUAAAAACUCCUCCUUUAUUUCUUUCUCUCUUUUCCUAUUAUUUCUUUUUAUUUGUCUCAAUACUUUUAUUUCUUUAUUUCUUUAUUUUAAUCUCUUCUCUGAACCUCUUCUGAACACCACAUAAUAAAAAUAAGUUUUAGAUCCUUCCAGAGACCUUCCAGGAAUUUGCUACAUGAAAACCGAGGCAAGGAGACCCCAGGCCGAUUGGCCUAGCCACUCCUUUGCUCUCCUCUAGCUCUUCUUUCUGGUGAAGCUUCCUUAUCUUGUAUCUUUCCAAAAAUUUCAUAAAGCUCGACUAGAAACGGAACAGAUCUUCAUAUAAUGAGUUGUGUUCAAGGAAUUGGUAAUAAAAUUGAGAAAUUUGUGGUUCGGGUUUACGAAUUCAGUACAAAAAUAUGAUUGUUCCAAUGAAGAACUCUCAUUACUGAAUAUUGACGAGGCAAGCAUUCAAAGAUGGUAAAAAGGAUAUGAUCAAUUCUCAAAAUUAAAGCAAACCAAGAGAGAGCGAUCCUAAUUCAAUUCAAAGUGUCAAAUGUUGCUUAUGGUGGUAUGAAUAAAUAUUUUUAGGCAUUGGGUAGGAUAAAUAAAAACUCUCAACCUGGUUAAAAGAUAUUGAUCAAUCUUGUUUUUGCAGAGGUUUUAAAUAAAAAAUAAAAUUUUAAAUCACCUCCAAUUCAAAGCCUUACUCAUAAAUCAUAAUCAAAACUGAAGCACUUGAUCAUCAUAAAGCAUGGGUAUUGCAUAAACAAAUCGAUUACUAAAACUCCACAACUACGAUUUAGAAUUCAAGACAAUGCUCAUAAUCUAAAGUUGCAAAGAUAAAAUAAAAGACAACCAAGCCAAGGUAGACACUAAAAACACUUGCACGAUCCUUGAAUUUUAUUCAUGCUUCUUCUCACAAAGACGCUAAAGUAGCCAUGUAGGCCUAAGUCUUCCCAAAAGCUUAAGAAAACUACUACUUUAUCUACUUUUGGUUGAAAUAAAAAGACUAAUCUAGACUCUCACAUGAUUCGACUCGACCAAAUUAGAUCCAAAAACUCAUACGAGCGACGAUCUCCCCCCCCUCACGCUUAAAAUCUACGACCUCCUCGUCGUAGCCAUAUGGAGUACAAGGAAAAGAAGCUUGUAAACGCUCUAAUGACGCUACCCGCACUACUUGCACACGGGAUGGUUGCUGCUUCCUUCGCUUUGUUCUUCCUCAUGUUGCUGCACAUCCCGAAGAGCUUCCUCACGUUCCUCUGCAAGAACUUGAACUCGUCCUCCUGACGGCGAUCAUUAUCUUCUGCCUUUUGAUCCAGAGCUUGUAAGGCUUGCAUGAUGUCAUCGAACGCAUCGAAGAGGUAGUGGAUGUUCUUCCUGCAAGCUGUGGAACAUGUACGAUCAUGCUCCUCCGAUUCUGGCCCGUCGUCUUCUAGAUCCUUCUCUUUGCCCUUGUCUUGACGGUGGCUAUCUUGCUCCUUGCUCGCCUUCUUGCCUUCAGCCCAAUCCCAGUACGUGUUGUCAUCUUCUUCAUCGUCACGGCCUGCAGCACCCUAUGAUCCAUUGUCUAUCUUGUAUGAAAGAAUCAGAAGCUUGUUCUCCUCAGGGUGUCUUGCGCGGUGCAGCGUUUGCAAGUGCAAGACUUGCUAGUUCCUUUUACACAUUGUAAUGUUCAUUGCAUGCUCUAAUUGUUCUACAUUUGUAAUUUCUUGGUGAAGUUUGGUUACUGAUCCACUGUUUGAUUAACUCUUGGGCCCAAACACUGUACUACUUCUGAUUAGAUAUCUGUAUCUUGACUUUGACCAAAAAAAAUAUCCGGCAGUUUUUGCCAUUAAAGUUUCAUAAAUCAUCUUGCAAAAAUCGUACUAUACAACAAGGGACGGUUUAUUAUAAAAUAUACGUUCCCCUUAUCACAUGCCACUUCCACUCAAAAGGCAACGAAUCAGUUUUCAAUCCUGAGUGAGCAAUUUGCUUUUAUUACCGAUGCCUCCUAUUCCCUUGUGCACCAAGUUUAUUUUGGAUAGGGCUGCAAAAAACGACUAACCAGCUCGGAUUCUCCACCUGCAAAACCGCAUCUGCAGCAACCAACCCCACGCGGUGGAAAAAAAAACAAAACCUAGAAACCGGACGGGGGUGGAUGUGGGGCUCGGAGCCCAAGCAAAAAACGGAUCGGGAGCGCCGGAGCAGGCCAUCACCGGAUGUUAGAGAUAGAAAAUGGUUGAAGUUUGGAGUGGAAAUCAAACAAGCCUUGGAGCAAAGGAAAAAAAAAGAUCAAACCACUCAAGCAUUCAUUUGAUUUAGAAAAGAGAACAUUUGUUAAGGUGGGGAGUUGAAAUCAUCUUUUAAUUAGUUCCACGUAUCUGGUAUCAUUACAGUUGGUUUACUUGUGUAAGUAUAAGUAGCUCUGCCGAAGCCUUUGCUCCUAUAAUUUAGUAACUAGUACAAAUGGAUCAAUAGGAAAAUCAAGUUGCAAUCAUUUCUCAGCCAACCAAACCUAUGUAAAUCAAAUUAUUGUCCAUGCCCGGCAUGCACAGGUGCCUGCCAUGCAUGCAUUGUUGCUCCAUUGUAAUAACCAUUAUUGUCCAUCGAUGUUGCAGCGCAUGUGUGCACUGUGCAGACACCAAGCAUCGAGAUUAUGUACUAGUAAGGUGUUGAAAUAAUGGGCCUAGCCCAUAAGUAAUUUCAGAAUUUCAAAUAAAUCUCAAAGGCCCAUGUGGGCAAGAGGUGGAGUGGUGCAAGUCUUUAGUCCCACAUUGCUAGUCGAGGGGAGGGAUGACCAACUUAAAUAUGGAAGUUGUCUCCACUCCUCCAAGCUAUGUGUGAAGGGCGCGGGCGCGAGGCACUUGCGUGAAUGGUCCGCCGAAAUCUGGCCCCCCUUGCGGGGGCGCGGCUUCCUUUUGCCGUUUUAUUUUUUGGUUACUUGGUCGUUAAGUCAUGGAAUCCUAACCGGUUUAGAUCACGAUCGUGAAGGUUUUUGGGAAGCGCUCUGCGCGACUGCUCGAUCGCUUCUUCCGCUUCGUCAAGUUCUUCGUCGACUCCUUCACCACGGCUCGUCUACCUCUUCGUCGCUCGGGCCUCACUCGUCGUCGCGAACAACGUCAGGCUGCUGAUCGUCGUCGCCUGCUGUAUCCGGUAGUCGUCCAGGAGCCGGUUUUCAUCAAGAAAGAAACGUACGGUCUCUUAACUCACAUUAUGUCUUCCAUACUAGCUAUUAUGAUUGUUGCAGUCUGAUAGCUCUGGAUAGUAUGGUAGAAUGUCUGAUUCUAUUUGCAAUGAUAGACUUGUCUAGAUCUUGCGUAGACAUGUCUAGUUUAAUCUGCUGCUUGUUCAUCAUAUUCAUGAUUUAUUUCUGGAUUAAGUUAAAACUAAAAGUGCUUAUAUAUCCAACAUAAGGUACCAAGAACACGUGAAGCACCCGGGGGAGGCUGCUCCACUCCGCAUGCACAGGUGGGCACGGCACCACUACUCGUCUCCUUCAGGCUGAGGAUAAGUGAUGUACGCUGAUCAACAGACCACGACGGAACCAGCAAUAAUAGUUUCAGCCUGCCUCACAGUAAUUAAUAUAUCCUGUAUCCUCCGAGGACCCCUCCCCUUAAUCUUGGCCUAUUGCAUCCAAUAAUGAUAUGUGUGUUUAUCCAAAUUUACGGCACCUUUGGCGGGGGUUCCACCCAGCUCCGCCCUCUCCACCUUCGGUACUCCAUGGGAAACCAUUCCUUUGGAAUCAAGGAAGCUUGAACAGUAUAACGAAUAAAGUUUCAUAUAUCCAUUUGAUUUCACAUGAAAUAAAAUAUUCUGUCAGAACCAAUGGUUUCACUGAAGCUCCAGGCAGCGAGCGAAGGGGUGAGAGAGGAUAACGCUUACUGUGUGUUACCAUCGCGUGCACCAUGGAUGACCAACGCGCAGCCGAGAUGAAACGGCGGACCUAAACAGGUCCUCGCUAUUUUUGCAGGUUCUCGACCAGGCCAGUUCUUUAGGCCAACCUAUCAUUCACGAGUUAAACAUACGGUGGCUGGAGAAAUGUUCUAUUCUUUUAAACAAUACCAGCUGGUUCCUCCGUUUUUAUUCCACCAAUACAAGCACCACCUUGUAACAUUUCCUAUGUUUUUUUUCCUUUCGUCUGUUUUCUCACUACAUGCGUUGCUCUUUCAUGCAUUUUUUUCCAUUCCUGUAUUCCAAAUAGGUCUACAUGAACACAAAAUGAACUAGGGGACAGAAAAAGCCAGUGAAGUUAGUUUUGAGCUUCACCAGCUACUUGCUACAUAAAGUGUGCUAUAGUCGCAGAAAAGCUAAGCUGGAUCAGACGUGGCCGAAACAAUGCCAAAGAGCUAGGUCCCUAGCUGAUGGCAACACAUCAGAUGACUAGCCUGCUUUUCUGUAAUAAUGAUAUUGAGCAAUACACUGCAUGGCUAACCUGCUUUACAAUAAUUGUCAUUUUAUAAUAUUGGUCAUCACGAGAGAUGCACAUUGCAUACACCGGCCCAUCCCUAUAAAUAGCCAAGCCUUUCAGCCAUCUUGGGCACCUCCUCUCAGGGCCUCGUCUCACCAUCAGACAUCUCGUUCCCAGUUAUAAUUUGCGAGGUUAGAUCAGGCUGCGCCAUGGCGUCCGCAACUGCUGUCAAGAUCGUCGCCACCUUCAUGCUGGUGCUGACCAUGGGCCACCUGAUGGCCGAAGCAUCACCGCAGCCUCGGCGUGUGCUUGCAGAAACGGAGCAUGCUGCGGUGUCCGGGAAUCCUGGCCUCCCAGGUGAUGCUAGCGUCAUGCAGGUCCUCGAACCCGCCCUAGUUUCUCGGCUUGCCUGCAAACCAGAGUGCACAGUCCCUUGGCCUCCUUUUGUAUGUAUCUGCUAGAUCCUCUUCCUGGCUCAACGGAACUUCAGGGAAAUGGCUGUGACGUCGGCCAAAGAAUAAAUUGGAUGAACAUAAUAUACCCCGGGUAGUGUAGCUUGGGCUUUUGUUGAGCGUCUGGUGCUAGUUGUAUUUUGUUUGCUCAUGUGGCUUUGCUUCUGGUUGCAUAUUGGCUUUCCUAUCGCUCUCUGUUGCAGCUAUGGUUUCUGCCAGGUGUGUGUUAAUGCGGUUUGUAAGCGGUGCUUGUUCCUACCUUCUGUUUUCAAUAAAAGAAGUCGGAGUCUCCCUCCGACUCUUGUUAUCAGUCAACAAAAAUGAGUUGUAUCAUAUAUAUCUGCGUCUUUUUUCUACGUAUCUUUGGGCUGCUUCAGCUGGAAGUUUAUCGUAAGUACGUGUAUCAGGAUGAUCGUUUGAAUUAAAACGAAAUGAUAAUGUGUGGCUGCUAGAAAUGGAAUGAGCAUCUUACUAUAUUACUAAUUGGAAGCCUCCACGUGAAGCCACCUAGAAAUUCUAGGUGGACGUUUUAAAAAAAACAAAACUCAUAGAAGCCUCCACCACCUAGGAAUCCUAGGUGGACACUCUAAAAAGAGACAAAUCCUAGAAAUUCUAAAAAAAGAAAAAAAUAAUAACAAUAAGAUUUUUUUGCAGUCAAUUACAUAUAUUUUUUUGAGACACCGUGCUGCUAGCUCUUGCCAUUGCGACCAGUAAAGCAAGCAGAUAGUAAGAUGACAUGCGUGUGGAUUGAUUAAAACAAAUUCAGUUAGUUGAUUCUAAAUCGUAUGUAUCCUAAAAGGAAGAUAUGUGCGUGCAUGGUCCCUAGCGAUGACAUGUAGACAUGUAUUGCAAUUUCUUUUUUAAAAAACAUGUCUAUCUCUAAACCAACAAACAGAAAAAAUAUCAAUCUAAAUCUAAAUCUCUUCCGUUCUCACACGCCUAUUAAAGAGAAGACAACCAAUCCCAUCCAUGUUCCAUAGAAUCCAUCUAAAAGCUUGCUCACUGCGGACGGCAUUUGACGGCAAAUCAAUGAAAGAUCAUCCUCUCCAAAUAGCUGGACGGCAUCACCAUCUUUAUCUCACCAACCUACAGAGCUACAACGAUGUUGUAGAGAUCAACUAGGUAACCUACCAAUCACCCUCCCCUUUUCUAUAUGCUCUAAAGAACACGUGGAGUAAUUAUAGGCCUAUAGGAGCCGACUAACCUAGAUUAAUAUGAAAAAUAUUCCAAUAUUAAAAGCAAGCAGAUAGUAAUACUUGCCUUUGACCAUUUUUCUAGAACUGUUAUUCCUAUUGAAUGUUCAAGUGCUACGGCCAGGCAUCGAAUGCCUGCACGGAACCUUCCUAUUGAAUGGUUACUCUAGAGAUCAACGCACCGCGAGACAUUUUUAUGGAAUUUGUUUGAUUCCCCUUCUACAAUUAGAUUAAUUUUUCAUGGCAUAUAUUACUACUAUUAAAUUAUUUGUUUAUUGUCGGGCCUGCUGCAUGUGUGGUAUAUAUGACUUGCUUCUCACCAUUGUUCUCAAACUAUUAUUCCUAUCGAAUCUUUCUAUCGAAAUAUAUUUUAAUUACUUGAUUGUUGUUUGUGUACCAUAACUUCUGUAUAGAAAAAUUCCAUGUUUGUAGAUAAUGUCUUUUGUAUAGAAAAAUAGCCCAAUUAGAUCCAUCACCAUCUUUUGCUUAUGUAGUUGAACAAGUUGCAAUGUUGAACAAAACUUUAAGUGAAAUUAGACCAGGAAAAGGAAUUGUGGAACAUUAAGGCAAGGGUAACCAGAUUGUGGAAUGCAACCUUACUCAGUAGUGGCGAACAAUUAAGUCUUGACAUGAUCCUUAUUGAUCAAAAGGUAUGAUAGAUGUUCACUUUGAUUGCAUUAUUGGUAUAAUUUUUGGUUUACAAAUUAUUAAUGAUGAUGCAAAAUUAGGGAACCAUGAUCCACGGUGUUAUCAAUAAGCCCUAUAUGAAAAAGUUCAAACCAUUGAUUGAAGAAGGCAAUGUGUACAUAAUUGCAAAUGUCAGAAUCACACCAGAACCACAGAAGUAUCGGCCAGUGGAAAAUGACAGGAUAGUCAACUUCUUACCCACAACUGCACUAAAAACGAUCAAAGAUACUGAAGACAUUCCAAAGUAUAGUUUUAACUUCAUGAGCACGGAUAUGCUUUCAGCAAGAAUAAAUGUGGACAUGUACCUAUUAGGUAAAACAUUACUGGCUUUUCAAUUUUUACACUUCCACUCAUUAAAUGACCAUCUAAUAAUAAUACAUAUUUAUGUUUCAUAGAUGUUAUAGGUAUCUCAGCUCACAUUGGACCGAUAGAAGAAACAAGGACAAACUUCGGAUUUACUAAAAUCCGUGAUAUUGUGCUCCUGAUCGAGUAAUUCUCUUUUCUUUUGUAGAAAACAACUACAAAACUUUCAACAUUUACAUGUAUGUUAUAGAACUUCUGUUGAACUAAAAAAUAUCUUCUACAGUGCCCCUACAAAUAAUUAAUUUCGUAGUUGGAUAUUUAAAAUAUUUAUUAUUCACUUUUAAAUUUGUGGCCAUGAAGUUAAAGUUAGAUUUUGGGGAGACAAAGUUGAGGAAGUUGAUGAUAAGACAAAAUCCCAUGUCAUUGCAAUAACAUCUACAACUGUGAGUAAAUUUGGCAGUAAGUCUUCAUUCAAUAUGAGUUAUUCAAUAUUAGUCAUUCAACAAACUAACCUCGUAAGAAAAAUAAAUAAUUGAUGUUUUAUCAGGGUAUUCUCUAUCGUCAACCAAUGCAACAAAACUUUAUGUAGAUCUACCUAUUCCUGAAACUAAGGAUGCACAUGAUAGGUGAGAAAAAUUAGAUAUUGUUUUUCUAUUUUAAUCUAUGUAGCAUGCACUCUAACAUGAUACAUUCUUUCAUAUGAUAAAAAAAUGUUAGUUCAAUUGAAAAUAUUGUCAAAGAGAUUCAUAUUGAGGACCAUCUAAAAGGGACAUUGGAAGACCAAAUGCAGUACAAUAGAAGAACUUUAGAAGAAUUAAAUUUCAUAUUAUUUGAAACAUCAAAUCAGGUAUGGAUUAGUAUGUUCAUUGUACACUAUACUAUUUAAAGACUUACAUACAUAAUGAUGGUAUUGUUCCUACUUUCAGGAUGAGGUAUUUACUAUUGAAGCAACAAUAAAUGAAAUUAAUGCAACAUAUGGUUGGUUGUCACACCCGAUUUUAAGGACAAAAUUGAGUGCAUUAAAUACAUGUGCACCAGGAUCAAGUUACACACAUCCUAUGAGUACCGUCCUUCUUUGGCACAAAGAUAACCGGUGCUCCCCAUGGUGAUGAACUAGGCCGAAUAAACUAUUUUGCUGAUAAUUCCUCUAGUUGUUGUUUCAAUUCUUUUAAUUGUUCAACCAACAUUCUAUAAGGACGUUUGGAGAUAGGUGCAGUACCAGGUAAAAGAUCAAUAGCAAAUUCAAUGUCGCGGUCAGGUGGCAUACCUGGUAAAUCGUCGGGGAACACAUCCGGAUAGUCACACACCACUUUGAUAUCUUCCAAGGAUUUUCCAGCCAACUGAUUAACUGCACAAUCUGCUGCUGAGGGUAGAGUAGCUACAAACUCCACUUUCUCUCCAUCAGGACCUGUUAGCAGAACUGUCCUCUUGGCACACUGAAUCGUUGCAUCAAAAGCGGCUAACCACCUCAUCCCCAGAAUUACAUCGAUUCCACUGGACUCAAGGACGAUAAGAUCAGCCGGAAACUCUAUACCCAUUAUUCUCAGUUUAACUUGUGGACAGAUGUAUUGAGCCUUCAUUGACCCCCCAGGUGAACUCACUAGCAUAUGACGCCUCAUGGUAUGCAUGGGUAAAUUAUGCUUUGCUACAUAAUGACUAGUGACAAAAGAAUGCGAUGCUCCAGAGUCAAAUAAAACUGAUGCGGGGGCAGAGUUGACAAAGAACAUACCAAGCACUACAUCUGGAGCCUCCUUAGCAGUCUCGGCUUCCAUGUGGUUCACCUUGCCACAAACAAAGCUUUGCUGCCCCUGAUUGCCUUGUGGGGUCUGGUUCCCAUUCCUCGGUUGCUGCAUCUGAUUCUGCCGAGGAGCACUGCUGUUCUGCACGGGGGUAGCUGGCCCACCUCUCUUAGGACAAGAGCUGGCAUAGUGACCAACCUCGCCACACUUGAAGCAGGUAGGACCCACUGGAGCAUUGGGCCUUGUUGGAGUGCCAGUAGGGGUCAUCUGGCGGUUCUGCGUAAAGCUUGGGCGCGGAGUCUGCAUAGUCUGCAUCCCUGGAUGCUGGAACUGAGGGCUAGGGCGCUGGAAUGACUGCUGAGCAGGGCGCGGAAAUGAGUGCUGCCAAAAAUUCCCACUCGGGCCCCCUGCGCGGAACGGCGUCCCUUGCUGUGGAGCAAAGCGAGGGCGGGUGUUGCUUCCUGAAGACUACUGGGAAUUGAAUUUCCUCUUCAUCUCCCCGAGCUCGUUCCUCUUGUGUUCCAGGCCAAUUGCCUUGUCUAGCAUCUUCUGGAAACUGGGGAAGGUGUGCGACAUAAGCUGAUAUUGGAGUGGUCCAAUCAACCCAUCCAAGAAUAGCUCCUGCUUCUGCUCAUCAUCAGCAACAUCUUCGGGAGCAUAUCGGGACAACUGGACAAACUUGUCCCUGUACUCUGCCACUGUCAUGUUCCCCUGCUUGAGAGCAAGGAACUCCUUCUUCUUAAGCUUCAUCAAUCCGGAAGGAAUAUGAUGACUUCUGAAGCUAGUCCUGAAUUCAUCCCAGGUGAUGCCAUUAGCAUUGGCAUGGGUGGUGGUGUAAGCAUCCCACCAAUCAGCAGCUGGCCCUUCCAGGCGUCCUGAAGCAUACAGGACCUUCUCCCUGUCAGUACAUUGGGCGAUAUCCAGCAUCUUCUCCACUGUUUUCAGCCAAUCAUCAGCAUCUAAUGGAUCCGGAGAAUGUGAAAACGUCGGGGGCUUGUGGCUCAUGAACUCCCUAUGCCUGUCCCUUGGCGGCGGCUGCUGCUGGUUGUUGUUGUUGUUAUUGUUCAGCUGAGCUUGUAAAGCUGCCACGGUGUUGGUCAGUCCGGCGAGAAGCUGAGUCUGAGCUGCUAGAAACUGCUCCAUCCCUGCAGGUGCUUGUUGGUUCUGUUGCGGAGCGGUGUUGGGAUUGCUGCUGUUGUCCCUGUGGCGUGGCACUGUGGGACGGUCAACUCCUGAUCCGGACCUGGUGUUUACCAUCUGAGCGUUAGAGACAAUGGAUUUAGAUAGAUGUGUGAAAGAAUAACUGAGAAAGAUAAAGCGACCAGAUGUAAAAGUAACACAGAUUCUGUUAGCUCCAUUUAAUUAGGUGUGGUCGUCAGAAGAAGUGUCCAUAAAUUCUGAACAAUUACCAAGUCGUAACUUAUUAAAUUUGUAAACCAACCCAACUGGAAUCAUCUCAAUCGGACUUCUGGAUCUCGAGUUACAAAAUUAACAAGCUGACAGUGUCGGUCGAUAGGUUCAGAUUCUGAGUGCUUUACUAAUUCGCAUACACCUCCCAGACAGAUACACCAAAAAUUCUGAAAAAUUUACAGAUAGUACUCCACGAAAUUCUGAAACUAACCCCACUGGUUUCAUGUCAUUUGGACUUCUGUAGCUAGAGAUAUAAAUAAAAAAGUACUGGCGUGUCAGUUAAUGUCGAGAACAGAAUUGAAUGUCGCUUAGCUUGCGUGAUGGAUAGAUUUAGACAGAUGGUAGAUCAUGAUUAAGGAAGAUUAAAUACUGAUUUAGAACAGAAAUAAAACCCAACUAAGCACUUUAUUUAUUAAGACCAGUAUCGUGUGGCAAUUGCCCCACAUACCGCACUCAUUACAAAAUCCAACUCAAACAUGUAGCACAAAACCAAUCAUCUAAGCACACUUUAACUAACACACUCGAACGACGUCUAACGAUUACAAGAAUUUAAACUAAAACACUCCUAAUUUCCUAGAGGUCUUCUGCGGCGGUGCCGGGCGAGUCGUAGCGGGGACGCUUAGGCGACGGCGACGAAGCGGGAUGAACAGCAAACUCCUGCGGCGGCGGUGCUCCCGUCGCGGCAGCCAUAUUCGCAUCCCUCUCCCACCGGAGUUCCUGAACCUCCUGUUGAAGCUCCUGGAUGUGGUUGUUUGCUUCAUUCAAUGCGGUGAGAGCUGCCGACGUGUACUUGCGGAGGAAGUCUGUAGCCAUGUCAACCCCAUCGUUAGUAGCGAUGAAGGUUCUUGCUUCCCCACUAGCUCGGUAAGGAAGGAACCGAUGGUAAGUGUGCUGCAAUCGCGGCCGUUCCUUGUGGGAGACGACCUCAAGUGCCCUCCUGGCGGCCUCGGCAAUGCCGGAUUCCAUGGUCCUCCUUAUGGUCACAUCAUGGUGAAAAGCCUUCACCUCCCAUCCUCCCUCGUGCUCCUCACGAAGGACAACCUUCACCUCCCAAAAAGUGGGAUAGCGAGGGUGGGUGAACCGGGAGCACUUGUAGAGUGGCCUCAUGCCGUACCCCAAGCGGUGACAAGUCCACCUGAGUAUGUCGGCCAUGUGCACUCCUUGGCCAUAAUCUUCCUUCACCCAUUUGAUCCAUGUCUCGGGCUCGGGAUCUGCUUCGGGCUCAUCAUCCGUCAAGUCGACGACCGGUACGGGCGUCGGGGCUGGUGCAGGAGCGGGCGCCGGUGCUGGCGACGGUGCUGGUGACGGCGUGGUCUCCUGCUCCACGGUCACGGCGUCCCCGUCAGAGUCAUCCCCCGGAUGCUGGAAGAUCUCUUCCUCUUCUUCCUCGUCCCAAGGCUCCAUGGGGGCGUACGACGGCGCGAUGCCAUGACGCGGCGGACGGGUGCUCUUGCGUGCGGUCAACCGGGUGCGAGCCAUCUAACAGAAAGAAAGAAGAAAAUUUUAGAAUAAAAUUUUGAACAAAGCUAGAUAAUAAAAUAGCAAUAAGGAUGAGACAAAUCAAGUUUAAGAAUAAUUAAGUAGAUUUAAAUUAAGAAAGGUAGGAAUGGCUACUAGAUUAUUAUAAUCCUUAAAUACGACCAUUUUCUAACUAGGCUAACGUCCUACAGUCAACACGGCUCUGGUACCACUUUUGUCACACCCGAUUUUAAGGACAAAAUCGAGUGCAUUAAAUACAUGUGCGCCAGGAUCAAGUUACACACAUGUACGACAAUAGUGAAUAGUAAAGCCAGUGCUAAAUCGAAUAAAGAGAGUAUUAACCAUUAUUACAUGACCGAAUGUCUCAAAUAAACCACAAAGUCUAAUUAUUACGCAGCGGAACUCCAAAGAUGACGACGACUCCAUAGGCAGCUGACUGAAGAAACGUACGCCUAGAACUCCUCGAAGUCGUGGAAGUACUCCUCUUCCCAAUUAACUUGGUCUGAACAGCGGUUUUGCAAGGGUGAGUACACUUAUGGUUGGUACUCAACAAGUCGUGGGAAGUAGUGUAGUGUAAGGCUAAUUCAAGGUAUGGCUAAGGCGUAAAUAGCAUUCGCUUUUAAUUAAGUUGGUCAAAUUUUAUUAGCAUUUACUAAGUAUAAGUUCAUACCACCCGAAAUUAAACAUGAACAUAAAGUAAACCACAUGUGCAUGAAAUGAUAACAAAUUAAAUCCAUCUUCCGAUAAUAUUAUCAUGUGAGGGUCCAGGCCGCUCUUAACCGUGAGCACGGCUGAUUGAUCAGUUUAACACUCUGCAGAGGUGGCACAUCUUUACCCACAAGUCGCGUAAAAGUUCAAAAGAACUUUGGACCCAACCAUGCGGUGUUUGCAAGGCACCAUACCACACUUCCGAGGUGUGAUUGCAUAGGGACGCUACGAGGCCUUUACAAAGAUUCAUUAAUCAGUGGUAACCCGCUAAGGUUUCGGUGUCUGGCGUGCACCACCCAUCCCAGGUAAAAUGCAACGACUCAGUCCCCCCCCUUGAAUCAUCACGAGUAAGGUCACCCCAGACUAAGGUUUCUAAUUAAUCAGCCAAGACCAGAGCUAUUUAGUCUUGUGGUAGCACUGUUUUCCUGGGUGGUCGCUCCAUGUUCUGAUUAACAAAUAAUGAUCUUGUCUUAAUGAAAGGUAUAACAGAAAUAAGGCAAGAUUAAGCAUUGUUUUUAGUUAAACCACCAUGUACCAAGUAAGCACUAAGCAUGAGCUACCCAACAUAAAGUAAACCGGUUGGUCAAGGCAAAGGUAAAACAAUCUAGGCCAACCUUAAUUGGGACCCAUCAAUUUAAUCUUAAUAUGUGCACAGCAUAAAUGUUGAGUACGAGAAAGUAAAGGUGUAUAGGACAAAAAGGUAGUGAUCAAGGACACGACUUGCCUUCUUGGCCUUGCUCCUGCUGUUCGUACUCCUCGAAGGCUUGAUCGGCAACUCCCUCGAACUGCGGGGCGUCUACACGCAUCACACGAGCACAUACAAGCAAACAUGGGCAAAAGUAAGAAAACAGUAUACCAAACAUAGUCAAACAGAGAAAACAAGCUUGAAAAGAUGAUCUACGCUUUAAAACGAACACGCGGAUAUAAAGAACGCGAAAAACGGAGUUAAGAUGCAAAAGAUAUGAUUAAAACAAAAUCCAGGGACUUUUCUGUAAGAAAAACAAAACUUUUAGGGCCUAUCCGCGAAAACCGAGGGCUUAUACGUAAUUAUGCGUAUAAACCGAGGGUCUGAUGCGUAAAAACAUCAAACCCGGACGGCGGGUUGAUUUCUGGAAAGGUCAAGGGUUAAACCGAAAAAUGCGAGGGCAGAUCUGUAAAUACUUUCAACGCGAUCUGGACCGCGGGUUGAUUUGCGAAAAAGGCGGGGGCUAAAGUGCAAAAACUGCACGGCGCGGCUCGGUUGACCGGUACGCGAUCUUGAUUGACUCGCGUCCGGCCGUCGGAUUAAGAUCCGACGGUCGCGGUGAUCCGCGACAUCGCGGCGGCGGCGGCGAGCGGCGGCGAGCGGCGGCAAGCGGCGGCGGGUCGCCGGAGUUAGGCAAAAUAGCGCCACGAGGCACGGUUUAACGCGCGGGUUGCACCAAAAAAGAGAGGGGAACACGUCGAUCCCGUUUUGGGGGUUCUUGUCGACGGGGGCUCACCGGCGACGGCGAACGGCGGCGAGGAAGAGGCGGCGGCGCUAGGAGCUCGGGCGGCUAGGGUUUCGGGGAGCUGCGGCGCUGGUUUUGGGCGGAGGAGACUGGGAGGAGGCGGCGGCUUUUAUAGGGCUUGGAGAUAGAGCCGGCGCGGGUUCAAAUCCCCCGGAGGAGUCGGAGCGGAUGGAGUCCGGGGCGGAGACGGCGCGCGGCGGUUGCGGAGUUCUGACCGGAUUCGGCCGGAGGUGGGAGACGAUGGGUGGGGUCCACCCGUCAGUGGCGGAGGGGAGCGGUAGACGGGCCGGCGCGACCGUGGGCUGGCGCGCGCUCGUGGGCUGCGGGGAGCGGGAGAGAAGCGGCGAGCGGGCGCUGGCGGAGCAGGCCGAGCGGAGGUAGAGCUGGGCCGCGGAGAAAAAGGAGGAGGCCGGCGGGCUGCUUCGCAGGCCGGUAAGGAUGAGGCGGCCGGGCCGAAGAAGAAAAAGAAAAGGAGGGACAAGGAGCUUUCGGCCGAGGGAAAAGAAGAAGAAAAAGAAAAGGAAGAAGAAAAGGGAAAAGGUUUUGGAAUUUGAAUUUAAAUCUGAAAUUCAAAAUUUGAUUCAAACUCAAGCAACCAAAAAUUAUGCUCCAGCAUGAAUGCACAAAUAAUUCCUAUGAUGAAUUAAUUGAAUUAAAGAAAAUGAAUUUAAAUGCCUAGAAAUUAAAUAACACCCUAAUUUGAGCAAAUUUUAAUGAAUUUGAAUUAUUGAAAUUUUGGGUGUUACAUUGGUACUACAUCUCAUGUAGUAGAGGCGAUUGUAAGAAGCAACUUGAAAAGAAGUUUGAUCACUACUAUUGCAAUAAAUGUGACAAGAGAGCCGAACCUAAAGCCCAGUAAAUUAUUUAGUAGUUUACAAUCUUAUUAUAAUACUUCUAUUUCUAAUAGGAGAAUAAUAUUUUCAGAUUCAAAUUAAGCUUCAAAUAAGUGAUCCAACAACAAGUGCAACUUGUGUACUUUUGACAAGGAAGCAGAAAUGAUAAUUAAUGAAUGAGCAGAUUCGAUGAUCACCUCAGUUGAUCAUGAUAAUAAGUAGCUACCAAAAUCAAUUCAGGAAAUAUGUGAAGAAACAUUGAUUUCUCAAUUCAGAUUGACCGAGUACAACUUGACAAGUUUUAGACCUGAUUAUACUGUUUCAAAGAUAUUUUUUCCAAAAGAAAAGGGCAGUUCAAGAAUUGGUAUGGAAAGUGUAAAAAAGGUAACACUUUAUUAUUAAUUUUUUAUUGCACUUUUUUCUUUUGAAUCCGUAAUACUUAAUAAUUUUACUAUAUCAAUGAAACAAAUUCUAACCUAAAUUUAUUUUCUUUUUUAUUAUUUGUAGGAAGUAGAAGACAACUCAGACAAAUGCUACACGAUAACUACCGAGAAUGAAGAGGUAGACACUGAUGACUCUUUUACCGAGAAAGUAACAUUCGUAGAAGAAGCCAUAAGGACUGGGGAAAGAUUGGCUAGAAAAGUAUACUCACUUCCAUGUCAGUGUUCAUUCUAUUUACAAUACAUGCAAAAAAAAUAUUAUUCAUGCAAAAUUGCAGGUCUACUAAGCAUUAAAGGAAUAGCGGAUAGUGCAAUAUGUAAUCUGAGCAGCAUGCAUUACAAAGUGCUCUACUGCAAUUAAAUUAAAAAACAUGAUAUAUGUUGAAUUCUUAGACUUUAUUAUUAUACUUUUCUACGUGACAAUUCACAAUUUUUUAGAAAAAAGAAGAUCCCAGAAGAAGUGACCAUGAAAAAAGGUCUAUGACCAGCAAUAAGAAAAAAUGCAAGCAUAGAAACAAAUCCGUAGAAAACAUAGAAAAUAAGGUACUCCAUAAACAAAAGUAUUCUCUUAUAUUUUUAUUAAAUAUUUUUUUAACACUUGACAAGUUCUUUUUUAGGAUCAAUAUAUCAGCAAUUCAGAUGUCAUUGGAGAUGAAACCUUAGUUCAUCCAAAAGGUCAAAAAAAAACAUCUGAAGAAAGGUGUUUGGCUGAAAAGGAAAAGCAAAAAAGUGGUAAUGCAGACAAACACAUGCAGAAAAAUAUAAAAACAUGUCAUAGGGAGGCAGACCAAUCUUGCAAGGAGGUAUAGACGAAACGUGAUACACGACCUGCCUACCUUGUCGUGGAUACCCCAAGAAGAUGUCAUAGAGGUGCAGACCAAGCUAGCAAGGAGGUCGAAACGUGAUACACGGCCUGCCUACCUUGCCGUGGAUAUUAGCCCUGAGAUCAUUCUACUGUUCAAGGAAUAACACUCAAUGCUGCUGCUGCUGCUGACCUGGCUCCAUAAAGUUAUACUCCUCUAGGUGCUUGCACUAACUUUAUCUGAAGUAUUAUUCUCUCUGCACUGUAUAUAUGGUUAUGGAGUUUGCUGGAGUAUCCGGGGCGAAGAACCUACAUAAUACGUCUUGGAACUAAUUGACAUUGAUUCACAGACAAACUCUACAAGGUGCUGUUCUUGCCAUUUUAGAGCAUCCAAAGGACUAUAAAUAACAUAGUUUACCAUAUACCAUAUACCAUAUACCAUAAUAUGUUAGCUAAAAUAAGAGCAUACACAUGUUGCAGGAGUCCAAAAGCACCGGUUGAGGACCAGGUACAUUGAAUUACUAGAAAAAGACAGGGGACAAGGUUUAGGUAACCACAUGAAACAUUUGAAUUUAUUGUACUAUGAACACUUAGUUACCAUGCCAGGAGCACAUAGUUAACACUAACAUUUAGCCACUUUAGAUCAUCCCGAAUCACCAAUGACCCUCAAUAGUGACAAAUUUUGGUUUAAAUGCCAUCACCAAUGAUCCUCAAUAGUGACGUAUUUAGGUUUAAAUCCCGUCACUAAUAACCCUCAAUAGUGACCUGUUUUGGUUUAAAUCUCAUUACCACUGAUCCUCAAUAGUGAUGUGUUUUAGCAAAACAUGUUAUCAAUGACUUGUCAUUGGUGACGUGUUAAAACGCGUUAUCUCAAUGGCAAAUCAUUGGUGACGUGUUAUCUCAAUGUUAUCAAUGUUCUAUUCUUUUCAACAAUACCAGCUCGUUCCUCCGUUUUUAUUCCACCAAUACAAGCACCACCUUGUAACAUUUCCUAUGUUUUUUUUCCUUUUGUCUGUUUUCUCACUACAUGCGUUGCUCUUUCAUGCAUUUUUUUCCAUUCCUGUAUUCCAAAUAGGUCUACAUGAACACAAAAUGAACUAGGGGACAGAAAAAGCCAGUGAAGCCAAUUUUGAGCUUCACCAGCUACUUGCUACAUAAAGUGUGCUAUAGUGACGUGUUUUAGCAAAACAUGUUAUCAAUGACUUGUCAUUGGUGACGUGUUAAAACGCGUUAUCUCACUGGCAAAUCAUUGGUGACGUGUUUUAAAAAAACAUGUCACCGUGAGAGUCAUUGGUGAAGGGUAAUUAAAAUGCGUCACUAAUGUUGUAGCAUUAGUUAUGAUAAUUUAGUAACGCAAAAAUCUACCAUCAGUAUUGAGCUUUAGAGCCAUCGCUAAUGUGGGUUUCUUACAUAGUGAUGCAAGCUCUACAAGGUGCUGUUGCUGCCAUUUUAAAGCAUCCCAUGACUACAUGUUAAUAACAUAGUUUACCAUAUAUCAUAAAAAUAUUAGUUACAAUAAGCACAUACGCAUGUGGAAGAGUCCGAAUGCACCGGUUGAGGACUAAACACAUUGAAUUACUAGAACCAAAUGUAUGUUUAGAACAAAGACAGGGGUCAAGGUUUGGGUAACCGCAUUAAAAACAUUGGAUUUUACUGUACAUGAACACUUAGUUACCAUUACCAUGCCUUGAGCACCUAGUUACAACAAACAUUAAUUUAGCCACUUUAGAGCUUCCAGAAUCGCUAUAAAUAAUAUACCUACGCCGUACCAUGAAAACAUCAAGAAGAGAGACGGAUACAUGGACCACCAUCAAGCGAGUAGUGACAGCACGCACAAGAAUACCCGGAACCUGUUAGCUUGUCUGUAGUGAUCUGUUUUCUUCCCCAUAAAAUCCAUGAGUAUUGCCACAAAUAAUGAAAGAGGCUGACCAAGCUAGCAAGGAGGUAGAGCAAACGUGAUACACGGCCUGCCAAGAUUGCCCUGGAUACGCCAAUAAGAGCGACAGAUACAUGGAUCACACCAAUAUGGUGAAACGUAUAUUCAUCACACAAGCAAAGCUGGUCAGUUUAUCCAUGGUCAAAUUGUGGUCUUUGUUUUCACUUGAGAGCUAAUUGAGGCACUAUAAUAUGGGCAGGCCUAUCUUCAACAGACAUGACAGCUACAGGGAACUUGACAUAAUUUGCUGGGCCGCCUGUGCACAAUUAUUUGUUUUAUUGUCCUUGCAUAGAAUGCUAAAAUACUCUUUACAAAAUGUUGGAUCUAAUAUUUGAAAUAUAGAGUAGUAAUCAUAUAUUGAUCAACAACUUGAAAUUAUCUGUACAUUCUCGGUGAAGCUGUUGAACUAAUUUUUGCAAAUUAUUAAUUCAUCUCAUUACGUAAAGAAAAAAGUAAGUGGAUAAGAUAUUUCGUGGACCACAUCACUGCAAACAUGUCAUGGAGAGACAGACCAAGGAGGCAGGACGUGAUACACGACUUACCCUAGGUUGCCGUGGAACCGCCAAGAAGAGAUACAGAUACAUGGACCACACCAUCUUGGGAGUAGUGACAGCAUAUAUGCAGAAGAAUACCCCGUGCCUAUUUGCAUGCAUGUCUCAAGUGAUCUGUUUUCUUCAGAAAAUACAUGAGCAUUGCCAGAAAGAAUGGCAAGAGACAAACAUGUCAUAGAGACUUGCAUGUCUUGCCUUGGAUACGCCAAGAAGAGGGACACAUACAUGGAUAACACAAAUCUAGUGACACGUAUAUUCAUCACAAAGGCAAAUCUGAUAAUUUUAUCCAUGGAGCAGACCAAGGAGAAAUUGAUGACGGACAUGUGAUCUCUGUAUUCAGUUGAAAGCUAAUUGAGCUACACUAAUAUGAGCAGGACUAUAUUCAAGAGACUUGUUGAGAGCUACAGGGAACUUGUAAUAAUUUGCUGGGCGGCCUGCGCACAAUGAUUUGUUAUACAUAGUUGAAAUAUUUCAAGAAUUUAUCAACCUCAUACUCUGAAACCCUUGGUGCAAUGUACUCUGCUUUCCGAGGUAGACUGUUCACGUAAAAUGAGGUCAUGCGUAAGACGGAAUCGGAUUGGAUUCACAGGGAAUCAGAUUUGGAUAGCACCUUUUAGCAGGUUUUUAGUCAAAUGCAAAUUCGGAUCCACAUGUGGUUGAAUGCGAGUUCAAAAUUCUACUUGGAUAUCCAUUUAAUUUAGGUGAUAGCAAUUAGCACAAAAUGUUGGAUGAACAAAAUCAUAGUUAGACAUACAAUUACAUGUAUGGUUAAAGUAUAAUACAAUACACCAAGAUUAUUCCUUGAAAAUAUUUCUUAAAAAUAUUAUAAUAAAUGAAUAAAUAUAAUUGUGGCCACCAACAAAUAGUCGGUGGUCGCUAAGUUGGAGCCAUUUCUGGUUACUAAUGCGGCCUUCUCCUCGACCAGCGACGACAGCUGAGCUUGUUCCUUCUGACACUAAAUCAUCAGAGUCUUCCCUCCACUACUAUAGAAUGCACCUUUAGCACCAAUUGGGAAAUCCCCUUCAGUAUUGGAUGCUGCAACCAGUGCUAUAUAUCAAAAUGGAGACUAAAAGCCUCGGUCUUGGGUACCGGUUGCAUAACGCAUUACUAAAGGAGGCAAAAGAGAAAUGUAACAAAAAAAAUAUUUUGAAUUCCAAGAAUGUUUCACUAUUCAAGAUGACUAGCUGAGAGUCAACAGACAAGAUACUAGGAAUGUGGGUGCUUGAAUGCAUUUGUACAGAGGUCAUACUAUUUACAAACUCUUCUAUGUUUCCAUAUGACUACCUACUUCAAUGUCACGCGAGCCAUUCAGCUGGACACAUGGCACACUAGCUUGCAUGUCGAAUCCAUGAUUAAUUAUUUGCACUUGUGAUCUCUUACCAGUAUUUGUCCAGACUAGAAACGUGCAACACAUUUUUAGGAUAUGGACACGCAUAUAUUUGGACUAGUAUACAGGUCACCUUUGGAUGCGUACAAGGAUGACCGGGAGGGACUAAUGGAUACAAGGAAGGGACCAUCAGGAUUAAUAUUGACAUAUGCCACAUGACAAUCUUCAUUGUCAUGCAAUCCCUAUCAACAAUCAUGGAAUCCCUAGUGUACUAAUCCCUGGAGGGUUGUGUGGAAAUUUAUUUUACCUUGCGGUGAAAAUCUCAUGAGCAGUCAUUAGUUAAGCUGACUAGCUGAGAUAUAAUAGACAAGCUAGUAAGAUUGGGAGCAUCAAUGCAUCCAUACAGGGUCACAAUAUCCUUUCCAUUCACUUUUAUAUAUAACCCUACGAAUACAAGUCCAACGAAAUGCGGGCCUUUCGAUCAAGAUAAAUUAAAUGGCCCACUUGUAUUUCUAAUCCAGGAUUAACUAUGCCCUCUGUUCAUCUCUUGCAAGCACGUGCAACACAUUUUCACGAUAUGGACAUGCAUGGAGGUUAUUAUACUGUUUGGACAAACUCUGAUGUGCCAUGACCUAAAUGCUUAGGGCCUGUUUGGUUUGAGUUGCUUAUUAUAAGCAACUUAAAGUUGCUUAAAGUUGCUUAUUUGAAGUUGCUUAUUUUUAGUCUAAACUGUUUGGAUACCCUUGCUUAUGAGCAUUGAAUGAGUUGGACAUUGUCAAAUUUGCCCCAUGUGUUGCUACCCCUCCAAUUUGCCUCCCCACCCUUCUUCUUCCUGCACACGUCCGAUCCCGGGGGCCGACGGCGGGCAGGGAGCAGCAGCAGCUGGCCAGGGCGGCGGUGGGGCGGGAGCGGCGGCGCACACCAGCACGCGCUCGCACGCCAGGUGCUAGGGCGCGGCGAGGCAGUCGUCGUAGCCCACCGGGAGCGGGUGCUCGGGCGCGAGGCGGUACUCGACGGAGAUGCCGAGCGUCGGGCGCGCGGCGGCGAGCGCGUUGAGGAAGCGAUGGUAGUGCGGCGACGUCGCGGACUCCGCCACGAAGCCGCCGCCGUGGACGUACACCACCACGGGCAGCUUCGUCUUGCCGUCGGCGGCCGCGGCCGCGGCCUGGGGUGGCAGGUAGAGGCGGACGGAGCAGGAGCCGAGGUCGACGUCCCUGGAGUCGACGCCCGUGGCGGCGUCCAGGCUGGGCCCGACCGGCGGCGGCACGAGCGGGCGCUCGAUGCGGCCGCUCUUGUAAAUCCGACGGGUCUGUGCGGAGGCGGGCGGCGGGCGGGAGCGGCGGGUGGGAGCGGCGGCAGGUGGUGCGGAGGCCGGCGGCGGCGGGUGGCGCGGAGGAAGGGGAGCUGGUGAGUGGUGACAGGGGAGGGGGGGAGAGAGAGGGGGGGUAGGGUGCAUUGAAUGAGGGCAGGAGGUGUAAAGUGCACCUUUUAGUCCCCAUGAGCAACCAUAAGCAGCCCAAGAGUUGCUUAUUUGCUUAUAAUAAGCAACCUCAUAAGCAAGAGUGAUUGGUUUCAUAAGCAACUUAUUUGCUUAUUUUAAGUUGCUUAUGCAUAAGCAUGUGAAACCAAGCAGGUCCUUAACCUAUGGUUGUGGCACCACACAGUACAUAGUAUUUAAUAAUGCUAUUCGUUUGGUAUGUGCACAAGGGCACGCAUGAAAUGUCUGGCCCACGGUAAACAAGUACGGACGCUGCAAAUAAUCUACUCUGCUCGUCCAGUCCCUAGCCUAUAAAUAGAUGCCAUGCUAGCUCUUGUUGUGCUCACAAUUAAUCCUGACUACACACGAGCUUCUCUCCCUGGCCAAGACACAAUCAUAGUAUGAUGAAGAACAUGGCACUAGCCGGCAAUGGUAUGAAGAACUUAAUCCUCGCUGUUCUCUUACUGUGUCUAGUUAUAGGGCAGAUACAAGUGGAAGCUAAGAGCUGCUGCCCAUCCAUUACUGCAAGAAAUAUCUACAAUGCCUGCCGUAUCACGGGUACAUCCCGUCCAACGUGUGCAAAACUGUCAGGCUGCAAAAUUAUCAGCGGGGACAAAUGCAAGCCCCCUAACGACCACCUCACCCUUGACCCGGACACUGGUAAAUAAUAAAUUUAUCUCACUUGAUUUCUUCGUGUUUUGAGUCGUUAAUGUAUUUUCCAUCUGAUGAAACGUAUUGGUUUUGCAUUGAAGAGGAAGUUAAUGUGCUUAACUUCUGCAAGUUGGGGUGUGCGUCGUCUGUGUGCAACAACAUCAACGCUGGUAAGCACCUUUUGCUCAGACGGAGAAAACAAUAAUCAUUAAUUAGCGGCAGCUAGAAUCCUAUAAUCUAAUAUAUUUAUAUAUAUAUAUAAUUUUAUCAGCUCUGGGAAAUGAAGAGGCGAACGAUGCCGUUGAGAGUUGCGACCAAGCCUGCUCUAGCUUCUGCAACGUGCACGUUGGCGCUGCCACCGUGGUUGCUUAAGCAAAUGCAUCCAACUGGAUCGUCCUUGUGCUAAAUAAUUGGAUAUCGUAUCCACUUAAAGCUGCCUUGUGUAGUACGUUUUUGUUUGUGUCUCUCUUUAUAUUCCAAUAAGGUCGGUGAUCUUGAUGCCACACACUCAGACGUGUGUUCAUCUCCAGAUACUACUCCAUGCUACCUGCCCUUUGUGUUUUGUUCAAUAACUGGGUAUCAUAUCCCAGCCAGUGUGCCAUCUGUUUUGUGUUUAUUUCCUUCUAGUUUCAAAGGGGUUAUCAUGAUGUUACCUUCUUUCGAUAUGGUGCUUUGCAUGACUACUGUUGUAUGGUACCAUCUUGUUGGCCAAUAAAUACAUCUUAUCCUAUGACCCUUUGCUAUGACCCUUUGCAAAUAAGUACAAGAUUGUUAAAUACUCGGUAUAAAUUGACUACUGCUGUGAGUUCCCUUUCAGCUUAUCGUAGGCAUACAUUAUUGCUAGCACGGUGAAGACAACCAACACGAAUGGUCAAGUAAACGUACCGGUACUUUUGUAUACCAACACCCUUGCUUAAAUGUACCGGUGUUACUCCCCACUAGCACAUAUAUUCUUAUAUGCUAGCCGGCUUGAAAAUUAACCGAUUAAAAUAAUUAUUUCAAGACAGAAAUAACUUAUCGGCUUCUCGAAGCAUGUGUAAUGUGAAUUCAAGGACUUGAUGGAAGUUGAAUCGCUUAAUCUAGAUUGCUUUCAGGAUUUUGGGUAACUAAAUUUAACAUUUGCACAUACAAAUGUUAAUGUACAAAUAUUAAAUAUAGUUACCCAAGCAGAAUAUGAAGAUACUCUAUAGUAUAUAUAUACUAUAUAAAUCUAGUUAACAUUUAGUCUAAAUGUUAAAUCUAGUUACCUAAAAUCCUGAAAGCAAAAUGUAUAAAUAUAUAUCUUUUAAGGAAUCCCAAAGCAAGAGUUCAGUGGCAUUCUAUAGUCCCAUGCUGCUAGUUUGAGUUGGUCGAAGCCAACUUAAAUAGGAGAGCUCUCUCACUUCUCUAAAUACGUAACUGAAGGAGAGAAGGGGGCUUGGUUACACAACGCACGCACGCACGCAUAUUUGCGUUCUUUUCGCGUAACCAACCGCGUGACUUGAAACUUGCGACGUAGCGUGCUGCCAAGUCAAGUUGAUAUAACCUUUUUGCCGUAGGCGUGUAAUCUUUUGACAACGGUCAUUGGAGGUGAUAAGCACGCAGUCAAUACCUUAAUCCUGAG